rnacentral:lncRNA from 1 species
UACCGCGGAGCACCUUCAGUUUGGACAAACAGCACUACGUCGAGGCGGACUGGUUAUCUAUCCAAGUCUCGGUCGAGAAGGAUUUUUGAAUCCUUUUUGGCAGAGGUCAUCUCAUUAGCCUUCUCGGCGAUUUGAGGUGAGGUGUUACAAGUUACUACAUUCGAUACAUUGAAAGCCGAAUUUGAUAUUGAACUUCGCAGAACUAGCAGCCUUGUCUUCAGACUCUAGAACCCGAAGGCUGAGACUUGUUCCUUCCUCGGCCGCAGUCGCAAGAUCAAGAAGUCAGCAGUGCACCCAACGCAACAUCAACAAAUUUUACUCCUCGACCGAGCUCGGCUGACGAGUUGGCACGCCCGCAUACAACCGAAGGACGUAGUUAGCUUACUAAUUACUCGGCCUGCGCGCCACGUAGGCUUGAUAGUUUUUAGGGUCAACAGAGAGCUAUUGGUUGUAUUGGGUUUUGGGUUGUGAACUUGCCAACACUUUGUAAACUCCCAUUUGGUUGAUAGUGAAUUAUUGGGUGAGCUCCUACUGCUCCGAGGACGUACUCCAUUUACACUAACUGUUGAAGAACCUCGUUAAAAUCUUGGUGUCCUUUAAUAUUUUGUUCUUGCAUUCAAUUUGAUAUAUUUCCUGUGGAUUAGCUUGAGUUGGUUCCAUAAGGUUUGGUGCUAUCCUAGCACAACACUUUGGUGGAACAUAACAUGUUAAGCAUAGUCGUUUGUGUAACGUUACUUGUCCAACGAAGAUAAAGAUGACAACGAGAAUCAAUGCAUCAUGAUCCAACCAAUUGGGCUCGUGUAGGACUCGAAUUCAAAAAAUUAUCGUUAUGUACGUCAUAAGUGAACAAAUUAACAUGACAUGAGCGUCAUAUUAAAAAAAAUAAUAAAUGAAUUUUUUAAGUCAUGUGAAGUGGGUGUGAUUUUGACAAAAGUAGGCACUGAUAACAAAAAGUCUCGUCCUUAUCCAGACUAAUGGCUACAUAGAACGUGUGGCUGUAAAUGUGAUUAGACACUGCAAAUGACAUAAAUUGUUCAUACAUGCAUAGCUCUUGACAAAAAGGAAACAAAAACCAUGGCUUCUUCUCUUCCAUUAUCAUCCAACACCAAGAUUGCCACUUACGCUAUCGCCCCUUCACUCCCUCAAAUCUUCCCAAACAAAUCCCAGAUCUCCUUAGUCAGAAAUCUUAGAGGUUCAUGUAAAGCAACAACAAUCAACAGUGACCAAAACCCUAAUCAUGAUCCGCAAACUUGUCUGGUAAAAUUGGAUAGGAGAAAUCUCCUCCUUGGUCUAGGAGGACUUGCCUUGGCUACUCAUAACAUAACAAGGCCAGCAAACGCGGCAGAGACGUCAAAGAAGGUAGUGAAUUGUCUUGAGAACAUAACGUCAAACAUUUGCCUCAACAUUUUUCAUGUUUCUCUAACCCAUGUUAAAUUGCGUAUUUAAUUUGUUGAAUCAUGUGUGAUUAAAAUUUAGCAAUUAUAUUCUGUAUCUUUUCAAUAGGUAGUUUUGGUGGAGAGUAGUGAUUUGCCAAUAGCUUUGGACUCUGUGGUGAGCGUGAUCGUGCCGCGGCCGAGGAGGUCGAGGAGCAAGAAGGACAAGGAGGAGGAAGAGGAGGUGUUGGCGAUUGAAGGGAUUGAGUUUGUGGCAGACAAGGUGCUCAAGUUCGACGUGCAUGUGAACGAUGAUGAGGACUCGCUGUGUCGACCUGACAAGUCUGAGUUUGCAGGGAGCUUGGUGUUUUUGCCACAGUCCAAGAAAAAGGUUAAAACCAGCCUGCAUCUUGGGAUUUCGGCCUUGUUGGAGGACUUGGGAGUUGACGAUGAUGGCAGUAUUAAGGUAACUUUGGUGCCAAGGAAUGUCCAGCGACCCGUCACCAUUGGUCGGAUCAAGAUCGACUAUUUUGCCUAGAUAAUUAGAAAAGAAGCUUGCUUAAUUUCAUGUAACAUAACAUUGUGUAAGAUGAUCAAGAUUCAAAAGACAACGGUAUACCUAUAAAUCAAUCAUCAGAUUCAGAAUUUCAGACCAAGUAACCAUGCCGGCUGCCGACUAAACUACCUGCUCUCCUCCACUUGAUCUUGUACUAGUACUAGUAGUAUUGCCAAAGAUUCCACUCUUAAAUAAUUUGUCCCCAUGAAAGUUGUACCUUUUCUCUUCAACAUAUCUUCUGCUGCGGUUUGGUUGUUGUCCACUUUCGUGUCUUCGUCAUUGGCUUUCCUCUUCUUACCUGCUUCCGCCACAUGAUUUGAAGUACUAGAGCCCGAUUUAUGUCUAGUAACUGGUGUCGGCCACCAUGGGAGCGCAAAUGGGAAGACAGCCGUCGCGGAGUUAUUAACUGGAGCAUAAUUAACCGGAGUGACCUAGUAGUCGUACCUUUCUUGCACGAAUGUUGCACAUGACAUUGUGUUCAUUGAGUUCUAGAUAUAAGAUAUCUUCACUAUUUGGGUCGAAAGCAAGCACCCCUAUUGUGUUGAUCAAUGCAUUUCGCAUAACCAUUCUGGAUACGAAACCGUGCCUACCAAACACCAUUUGCCUGCAGAGUUGUCAACCUGAUCAUCAUCUAUCAACUCCCAAACACUCAAAUCAUUCACUCGAUUAUGAGCUAACUGGCACUUUCGCAGACACGUACCUCCUCUAGCUCUGUUACACACACCUGGGAAUUCAAAUCUUGUAGUGACAGUGACCAGAUCAUCUUUAGGCAUAUCAAUGAAGCGACAAUUAAUAUUAGUAUGACCAGAGCUAUUACUUGUGGAGCUUGUUGUGUUAUUAUUAAUGGAGUUGGGAUGCAACCCAAUUAUAAGUGACCCCUUCUUCGAGAGUCAAGCUAUCGAAACAAAAGCUUCGUGGGCUUAAUACAACAGUAGUUGUCCAUUUACGAGUCUCAGAAGAGAAGAAACUGGAAGGAUGAGUCUUUUGCAAGUUUAGAAAAAAAAAUCCACACUACCUUCUACCUAUACUCAACAUUGAGCUGGAAUAAUGUUUUACAACCGGUUCUACCACAACUUUCUUCUUUUCUUCGGUCGUCAUCUUCCUUGCAUCCGUUAUAGUAGGGUUCACAGAUGAAUCCUACUUGUAUGUCCUCGUGACACUGAGGAGGGGGAGGAAGAGCAUCCCACUGUUUAGUGUAUGGAUUGCAAAUGUAGUAAUUACAUUAACGAUACAUGGUUGCCCAACAUAAAACUAAGCAGUAUAUAAAUACUACCACAAUUGGUUCAUACUCUUGUGACUUGACAGGACCUUGAUGAUAACGAAGGAAGCUCAAAAAGAAGUUCCAUGCUUCGGGCGCCAGAGGCUGCUCGGACAAGGAAAAGAAUUUCUUCGUGUUCGUUGGAUCAAUGAACACUAAAGUAGCAAGCGGAAUUGGAUGUUCGUUAUCACUUUGAGACGUAGAAAGCGUUCAAUAAAAUAAAGAUUAGAAACGAAACUGAACCAGCGUUUCAUGGCAAAAUGAAGAUCGAUUGAGCUGCAGAUUUACUGCGUAGAGGUUUUGGGAGUUAGACGGGCAUAUUUCUUGCGUUAUAAACUUAAUUUAUAUAUACAUACAGUGCAGAAUAUAGGUUGCCCAUUUUCAUCUUUAAGCAGGUUCACCUUUUCUUUUGGUGGCGGUAUUUCAAACUACUAACGCAUUUAUUUGUGUCUUAAAUUUCUUAUAUGACCGUCUAUUAUUAAUUUAAGAUACCGUUAUAUACUAAGUAAUUUUUGGUUCCUUUUCUACCAACUAGUCAAACAUUUUACAAACAGUUGGUGGGCUAAAAAAAUUAAGUAUUAAAACCAAGCUUUCCGCCAUGGCUCCCAUCUCUCGAGCCCACUCCCUUAUUUCCUUCCUCUAAAUCACAAUACUCCCUACACCCUAGGGGGCUUUCUGGUUGUCGUCCCCUUGUCCCAAAAGUUCGCCUCCGGCGUACAAAAAUCUCAAUCCCCCCUUUGCAUAAGGGUCAUCAAAUUAAUCAUAUUAUUAGCUUACAGCGAUUCAAAAGAGAAAUUUGAGUACAAAAGAGACGUUAAGGGAUCGUUUGAUAACCAUUUCGUUUUUUGUUUUCAGCUUUCAUUUUUUUGAAAAUUGAAAUCUUGUUUGGUAACUGCUUUUAGUUUUUCAGUUUAAAAUAAUAAUAAAAAGUGAAAACUCAAGGCCAAUAUUUGAAAAUUGAAGUCAUAUUUGAAAAUAAUUAUCAAAUAUGACUUCAAUUUUCAAUUUGAAAAUAAGUGAAAAUUAAAAUUGAAAAUAAAAUAGUUAUCAAACAGCCUUUAAGAAACAAUAUCUACGUACAUGACGACGAAGACGGGCUAAGUCGACCCGAGAAGGCCGAGUUCGCUGGGAACUUCGUGUAUUUACCGCAUAAGCAGAAGAAGGUGACAACAAGCCUCCAACUAACAGAGUAACGGACUUGUUGGGGGACUUGGUGAUAACGGUGACGACAGUUUUAAGGUUCCUUGGCACCUAAGCUUGGUACCUGAGUACGUCAAACGGCCCGUUACCAUCCGUCUGAUCAAGGUCGAGUUGCUGAACUAGGAGUGCGUAGAUGGAUAUUUCGGGUGUGCUGAGAUGAUUUCACGUGCAAAAUAAUGUAGUCACAAACAACCCACUUAAAUUAAGUUUUCUUAUGUUUAUGACGUAUUUAAUUAGUUUCUUGCUUGUUGUUUGUUUUUGUUGUAUUUUCUCUUUAUAAUAUGUUCUGUAAUUCUCUCCAGAUUAACAAUAAAUAUCAGAAAUGAAAUUGAUAUUAAAAAAUAAAAAUUGUUAUUUCUCACCCUCCAAAAUAUCAUUUACUUCCAUAAAAAAAAGAAAAUCAUGUGCUACAGAAGAUUUCAUUCUUCCGCAGGCUCAGCCCAACGUGUUUAUCAUAGCAGAUUGGGCUAGCCCAGUAAUUUGGGUCAAACGGGCCUGACCCAGAUCACCAUUUUUUUUUUAUUUAAUCAAUGGAGAUCACCAAUUUGAUCAUUGCAUGGAGUGGUGGUGUACAAUUUGGAUAGGUUCGACCCAAACUCAGAUUCAGAUUUCAAUCCAGCAGGGGCAGGAUAAGGCUUAAAACACUUUACGCCGAGAGAUGAUUGGUUUGGAGUCAGUUUUAUAAUUGAUUAGGAGGUUUUUUUUAUUUUUUAUUUUUUUAACUAAAAUGAUUCCCGAGAUUAGCAUAACUCCUCACUUUGAUUCUGGGAUUUGAAAUCGAUAGAAGUGGUCUUGAGUUUGUAAAUUAUUUUGGCUCUUAUGUGAAAAUUCUCCAUUAAAUAAGGAUAAAAUGAUUAAAAUAUCCUCAUUUUUUGUCAAAUCAUUUUGGUCCACUGUUUAUCAAAUUGAGGAUAUUUUCGUCAUCUUGGUCCUUAUCUAACAGAAUUUUUCAUGGAAUGAUAAAAUGAUUGAUAGUGAACAAACUUAAGGAUCACUUCUAUUGAUUUCAAAAUUCAGGAACCAAAGUGAGGAAGCCUAUCUCAACUAGCAUUUGCCUACACAUUUUGUGUGUAUGUACACAAGCCUAUCUCAACUAGCAUUUGCCUACACAUUUUGUGUGUAUGUACACAUUUUUUUUUUAGAAAAUGAGGAGAGGGAGAGAGAGAGAGAGAGAGAGAGAGAGAGAGAGAGAGAGAGAAGGUGAGGGGGGGAGUGGGAGGUUUUUGUUUGUUUUUUUAAAUAUUGAAGGUAUUUUAACAUCAUAUGUAGGUGAGGUUUCAAUAAAAAACAGUAAAAUUUGGACCUGUGAAAUUAUAUUAUUACCCAUCAUUUUUUUGUGUGAUAAAAGAUUAAAUUGUCUUUUCACCAUUUUUUAUUGACAAAGAGAGUUUCAUUAAUUAGUAGAGAUAACCAUUUUUUUUUCCAAAUUACACAAGAUUGUUUUCACAUUCAAUAACCACCAUUAUCUAAUGACUUGAAAUUGCAGGACUCGCCCCCAAAAUAUCCUCGAACUAUUUUCUGUGGUUUGGUUAGUGGGUUUGGAGGAUGAGUCAUGCUCUGAUUGCUAACAAUUGACGAUACAAUCAUCCUAACAAAGGGUAUAAAUUUGAAAAUUUUCUAACAGUGGGGUGCAACGUGCAAAAAUUGAAACUUCAUGACUCAUUGUAAAUUGACUUCAAACAUUGAUAGUGUAAAAUAUAUUUAGCCCAACAAAUAAGUCGGUGUUAAACCAUGAAUGCUCGCUACACUAAGAAAGCUACACUAAGAAAGGGGGGAGAGUUUGGACUCAAGCACAGUAAAUUAAAAGGGAGACUCUAACCACCAAUUUGUGGUACAUGGUUUAAAGAACAAUAUCGAUAAUUCAUACAUAAUUAACACAAAUCUAUAUGUGGAAAUAAAAUCGUCUUAAAUUUUGUCGAUGUGACAGAUUUCUAACCCAAACCGUCCCAUUGUGGUUUUAUUUUACUCUGUUGUGCUGGUUCUAUAUAUGAUAUCUUAUUAUAAGAUGACACACAAUGGUUGAUGGUUCAUUGAUCAAUUUGAAGUAGCUGUGCAAUUUAUGUUUUACUUUUUUUAUUUUUUUGUCAAAAGAUAAAUUUGUUAAAUUAGAUGUCAGAUUAGGGAGCAGGGUUCGAAUUCAUGCCGUAGUGCAAGGGCAACACUCAUCUCCACCAAUGUGAUAGAGGGCCCAAUUUAAUUUGAUAGAAGACUUGAGAUCCUCAUCAGCCAUAUAGGGUUAGGGAAUAAACAUUACUUGCGAUACUAAAGCUAUAAACAUUACUUGUUUGUCUAAAUAUAAAUUUUACAAAAAGCUAGUGCCGGAUUAUUGUUGCUAAUUUUGAUCCUCGUCUUACACAAGCAGUAAUCUGUUGAAUUCAUGAUUCAUAUAGGUUGAACAAAGGAAAAAAGCAGCACUGCCGGAGCAUGUCAAGAGGGACCUUCAUCGUUGGAAAGUUCAUUGCAAGAUGUUGCAUCACGAUCGAUAUAGUUUCAUGGAUCUCUGGCCCUGCUCUUCAAAGGACUGGGAUCAUUUAGCCCGGCAAGAGGUACCUUUAGUGAAAAUGUUAUGCUAGUAUGUCCAUUUCCACCAUGAACAUCUUUGUCAUCAGCCUUUUCCUUUUUCGUAGUAUGCACACAUGCCCCGUACUACCAUCUAUUCAAAAAGCUGAUGUCUAAGAGAUUAUAUUUAUUUAUUUAUUUAUUUUACAUUUUCUUCAUGCUACCGAAAACACUAAAAUCAUAAGAACGAAAUAUGUAAAGGGGACGGUGUAAUUUAAUGUUGAAUCGGUAUUCAUUCACCAUACAAAAUGGAAUAGUACUAGCUUAUGUGUAGAGUAAACCCCUGGACGCUAGUAAGCUCUAGCCCUCUGCAUGGACAAGGGAAUUAUUAAGCUUAUUGUGGAAAUGCAUUCUGCGGCUGCUGUUACUUUGCUGCAGCUGGAUGCAGCUCAUAAGUUUCACCCUCUUGCCUUUCUUUUGAUCAGUUGCCAUAAGAUUUCCUGCUUUGAGAUCAAACAUUUUUUUGUUGUGAAUAUCGCGUAAAGAAAUGAACCAUUUGAAAAAUUUGCAAUUGAGAAAGAACAGUUUUCUUCAUCCUUGAAUUGAAGUCAAAUUAGUUUGCAUUGGUCUGUCUUUCUUGUGAAUAUAAUUUGACUAUUUCUGCCAUAAUGAAGUUAUCCAAUUUCAUUGGAGUUGGCACAUUAACGCUUUUGUCAAAUCAAACCCCUAAGUUUGGUCUUUUUAAGAUGAGUAAACUGCCGAUUUGCCCCCUGAACUAUCACCCAACUUUCGAUUUGCCCCCUGAACUUUUUAAUUGGAAAAUUAAGGACUUAAACUAAUUUUUUUGGCCGAUUUGCCCCCUGCUGUUAAUUUUUCAUUCAUUCCAUCAAAAUUUCUGUUAAAUGGAAGCAUAUGCACAACAUGUGUAGGUAGUUCGGUCGUUUCAUUCUUUAAAAUAAUUGAAAAUCUUAGAUUUCUAAAAUAUAAACCUAUGCAAAUAUGUGUGAUUCUAUAGCUUUUUUGUCUGAAUGUCUAGUGAAAUGACGCUUUUGUCCACAAAUGAGAGUUACGUGGUUUGCACACGAUAAGAGUUAACGUUAAUUUGGAUGAAAUCUAUGAAAAACUAAUGGUAGGGGGGAAAUCGGCCAAAAAAAAUAGUUUAAGUCCUUAAUUUUCCAAUCAAAAAGUUCAGGGGGCAAAUCGAAAGUUGGGUGAUAGUUCAGGGGGCAAAUCGGCAGUUUACUCUUUUAAGAUCUCCAUACCCUCGUUUUCCCUCAAAAGUCUAAUCUAGCAUAUGCACCAAGUGGAAAAAAUUUAUCUUUACAAUCUACCUAAAUCUAAUAAAAAUAUCAGAAGAAUGAAUUUAGGUCGUUGUAUUUCUGAGUCAGCAGAGAGAGGGCAAAUAGUCUUUAAACAUGGAGAGGUGGCAAAAGAGAGAGAUCAAGGAAAGAUUUUUUAGUGUGUCAGGAACACAAUCAUAUAUGUUAGACAUCAUCAUACAAAUAGAGGAUAUAAUAAUAUAUAAUGUACUGCCACAUAUUCUGAACAUAUUAAAAAAUCUCUCGAAAUCAAGGACAGUUGCGUCGUGUGAGGGGCAGGCAAUGUUGAGCCCCUCUUGACAAAUUAUUACAUCCGGAGGGUCCCGUUUUGUGCCUUUUUUUUUCCUCUUAGCAAACCCACAUGCUGCCCAUCUGCAUUAUUAAUAAAAAAAAACCUCACAACUACGUCGUCCCUUGGAUUGCCAAUUGCAAUUGGGGAUCGAUCAUCGAUCUCUCUAUAUAUGCCUUGAAAGUGCCUAUCUGCAUUAUUAAAAAAAAUAAAAACUUCUCGAGAUUACAUGAGAUACCACUUUACUUUACUCAUCCACCUCACUCUCUCUUUCCCUUUUCACGUUUUUUGAUAGGCAUCGAUCACACCUCGAUCAAUGAUGGGAAACUGGCAUCGAGAAUUCCACUUGUGUGGAAAUACGGUGACUCAAUCAGCCAUUAUAUAAAGAGGACACUUGAUCUUCAUUUCUGCACACAUGCAUGUAGCUGAAAAAACCUAAUUGAUAAAGCCAUGGCUUCAUUUCUUCCACUUGCACCCGCCACUACGCUUAUUAACCGCCCUUCUUCCAUUCGUUCUAAUACUUCAACUUCCCUUAGUUGUUUCCCUAGACCUUUGUUCUCAAUACAUCGUUCAUUUGAAAAAGGUAAGCAUGGAUCUCCAUGCAAAGCAAGAAAGAGCGAUGAUGAACAGGGUAUUAACCAAGACGAUGGAAAACUGGACAGGAGAAACAUGCUGAUUGGUCUUGGAGCUGGAGGUCUGUACGGGGCAACCAGUCUUGGCCUUGGGACCAACCCAUUCGCCACCGCUGUUCCGAUUCCCGCUCCUGACCUAAAAACUUGCGUCCGGACCACCGAAGAUAUGAAAGGACUUAAUUGUUGUCCACCGUCAACCGAAAUCAUCAAUUUCGAGCUACCCGAAGUCAAAACACUCCGCACCAGGCCAGCGGCACAUACAGUCGAUCAAAAGUAUAUAGAAAACUACAAAACGGCCAUCGAGCUGAUGAAGAACCUCCCCGAGGACGACCCACGUAACUUCUGGAACCAAGCUCAAGUCCACUGUGCCUACUGUGAGGGUGCAUAUUACUAUGCUAGCAAUGAUUGUGAUGGCACCAAGGAAGAAAUACAAGUUCACUCCUCGUGGCUCUUUUACCCCUUCCAUCGCUGGUACCUCUACUUUUAUGAGAGAAUCCUUGCCAAACUCAUUAAGGACCCAAAUUUUGCUCUGCCCUUCUGGAACUGGGACGGUAAAGACGGCAUGUACUUGCCUCCUAUUUUCGAGGAGGGCCGCAGUAGUUCCCCACUCUUCGACCACUACCGAAACGCCAAGCACCGGAAGAAGAAAUUUGUGUUGGACCUCAACUACAAUUGCACCGACUCCGGCAAAACAGAUGAAGAAAUUAAAGAGGAUAACCUCUGUACUAUGCACCGGCAGAUGUACUCUGCUUCUACUGGUAAGGAUUUGCGUCUUUUCUUUGGCCACCCUUACAGGAAAGGCGACAAACCUAGCCCCGGUGCAGGAAACAUUGAGCGUAUUCCCCACAACAAUGUCCACAUCUGGACUGGCGACCCCGAUUGGGUUAGAGAGGACAUGGGAAACCUUUACUCUGCUGCUAGAGAUCCCAUCUUUUUCGCGCACCAUGCCAACGUAGACCGCAUGUGGUACUUGUGGAAAAAAGAAUUACACUGCAAGGACAUCUCCCAAGAUGACUGGCUGAAAGCCGAGUUUCUAUUCUACAACGAGAACAAGCAACUCGUCCGAGUUAACGUCGAACAAUCUCUCGACACGGACAAGCUCGGGUACAAGUACGAUGAUGAUGUUGAUAUCGAGUGGAUGAGCAAUAAGUACAAGCCAAAAGCUCGUAAGUCAUUAAACAAGGCAAAGCCAAACGUCUCUAGGUUCCCGGUGAAAUUGGACUCCAAGGCAAGUGUUAAAGUGCAGAGAGCAUCUUUGAAGCGGCCCGCGAACGAGAAGGCAGAACGAGCAGAGGUGUUGUUGAUCGAAGGGAUUGAGUUCCCUGGUAACCAGGCUGUGAAGUUUGAUGUGUAUGUCAAUGACGAUGCAGACACGGAGAGCGGGCCUUGCAACUCUGAGUUUGCUGGCAGCUUUGUUCACGUCCCACACAGGCACAGCCACACUAUUAAGACCAAUAUGACAUUAGGGAUUACGGAUCUGUUGCAGGACUUGGAAGCUGAAGAUGACAGCCACGUGGUUGUGACUUUGGUGCCAAGGUAUGGGAAGGGGCCUAUCACCAUUGGUGAUGUCAAGAUUGAGCUCUGAUUCUUUUCUCGGCCUUCUCGAUCCACUGGAUCUGUUUCCAUGCAUGCUUUCUACGUAUCCUAGCUACCCCUUUCUUGCUGCCAGUGCUAAUAAAUUGCAUGCAUGCUUUGAUCAGAGCACUGCGAUGUUUCUGCUGCCUUUCAUUUCCAUCCUUCAUUACUUUCACUUCUUGUUUGUGUCAAGUUCUUGUGUAUGUGUAAUGCAUGCGUCGAUCAAGACCACGUACGCAUGUACCACAGUGCAUGCUUCCGUGGGAGAUCAUUUAUGUUGGUUGUUGCUAAAUAAACCUUAUGUUCAGUGUGUUUAAGUUGCUUUAAUUUGCUUUUUGUUCUCUCUCUCUUUUUCCUAAAGGCGAUUCAUAUAUACUGCAGUGGCGAAGCCAGGAAUUCUCGGGAGGAGGGGCAAACUUAUAUGCGUGCAAGGUUAAAGAAAAAUGGCAACAACCAAAUCUUUUUAUAUAGAAAUGUCUUAUAUAAUUAAUCAAUACAAAUAAAUUACAGUUGUUGUCGGCGAAGUUUCAUGUUAUGAAAACGUCACAUAAUAGGAUCAUUAUCAGUAAAAGCAAAUACAUCUCUCUCAAAGUAACAAUCAUGUUAUCACUCAACUAUUGACUCUCAUUUUGUUACGCAAUGAUGUUUUCACAAUCUUCAUAGUAGAAAAAACUCUUUUCACCGAAACGGUUGCAACCGGUAACACUAAAGUUAAUGUAAGAAACUUAUACAUUAACAUGUAGCUUUCACACCUCCUGGUUCAUUUUGUGAGAUUUAGGUUAACAAAGUUCAUUUUAGAGUUACUACCUACGAAUUGCUUCGCGAUAAUUGGAGAAGGAUUUAAGCACUGUUUCUUAUAGUAUCGUUCCAUUACAUAACUGUAUAACAAAAGAAAAAAAUAUAUCUUAGACUCUUAAUCCUAGAGUAGACUAUAGGGUAAUAUCUAAUCAAAUCACAAAUUAAUUAAUCAAUACUAACAAUCAUAUGAAUAAUCAAGAAUUCAAUUUUUAUUCUAAACCACAAUUAAAAAUUGAGUAAGUUGAUUAGGGUUUAUAGCGGUUACUGCAAUCAAUUUUUAUUACUAGACCACGUGUGAUUCAACUUCAUAUAAUAUAUAUAAUGUAUGAAUCCUCUUUUAUGUACUUCAAAAAAAAAAUAAAAAAAAAAUCAAUAAUCAUAGUAUUUAUAUGAAUAAUCUAUAAUCGAUAACCAUAAAUUUAAAAAAAAAAAUUAAAAAUUAACCUCACUUGGAGCGGCUGGCAUGGCGUCUGGAGCUUGGUGGGCAACGGAACAGGACUUUCUUAUGUUCAAUCUCGGGAUUUGAGUCAAUUUUGAAAAUUGAAAUAUGGGAAUAAAGGUGGGGGGAUGGGAUUUGUAAUUUAUGGGCAAGAGUGGGGGUAAUAAUUGAAACGGGUGGGAGGAUUGGGAUGGGUACCAGUGGCUCUUUAAAAAAAAAUUUAUUUGAUUAAUGCAAAACGACGUCGUUUACCAAACCAAAAUUAAAAAUUAAAAAAAGAACCUGCAAGCUCACAGUUCCCAGAUUCGAACCAUGAACCACCGUGGUUCCCAGAUUCCGGCCGAACCAAAGGGGUUCAAGCCUCGCUCCUGCCUUUGUUUUCCGGCGAGCGGAGGGGCGGCCGCCCCCCUUCGCUCCUAUGUAGCUUCGCCAUAAUAUACUCCAACUGCAUUUGAUUCGGUGAAUGUCUCAUUACAUGUCUUUUACAUUUUUGAUAAAUUUUUUUAUAGAGGGAUGGCCCGGAUGGGCAAUUAAUGAUAUUAUAUAUGAUCAAUCGAACGAAAACUAAUUAAAUUCAAGACGUAAACCUAAAACUUAAGUGUAAAUGAAUACACACGUGCUAAAGGAUUUUGGUGCUUGUAGACGAGAUGAAGACCUAGUUUGGGAGUGAGGUGCUUAAAAAAAAAACACCCAUGAAAAAAAGCUGUGAGGGUUUUAGGUGUUUGGUAAACUGAAAAAAAAGGGCUUAUUUUAGAAGCUGCUGUGAGAAUAAGCUGAAAUCAAAGGAAAAAGCUGAAGCUGCUAUUUGUAGCUUUGGAAAACUGGCUUUUUUUCAAAGCACACGGAGCUACAGUGCUUCUUUAAUGAAAAGACCCACUAUCAGACUGCUUUUUUUUUCCAAAAGCACUUUUACAAAAAAGUUUACCAAACACUCAGCUGAUUUAUUUCACAGCCGCUUAUUCUCACAGCACAGCCGCUUAUUCUCACAGCAGCUUUUUUUCAAAGCACAGCAAUACCAAACCAGCCCGAACUUAUAUAUGGUGGCUGGUUAACUGACAUAAUGUAUAUGACACAUAUUUGAUCACAUAAGUAUAGACACCAACAUAGAAGAUGAAGAUGGAUUAGGAAGUGAAGAACUUACCAAGAGAGGCUGCUGAGAGGCCGUGGAAAAAUUGGUUGAGACCUUUAUGAACUGGUUGGUUUAACAAGCACGUGAUAAACAAUGAAAUAAAACUAGGUCAGUAACUAUUGAAUUAAUAGAACAGAAAGAAGAAGAUUUUGUGAAGGAGUUGUAGACAUGUAAAUUUCAGUGAAAUAAAUGUUCACCAAUAAAUUAAAUUUUGAUCCACUAGAGCUUAAGACGCGCACACCAUGGGCUCCACAAAUUGCUCACAUUGCAGGUGAUUCAUCAAAACUGGAUGAAUUAAUAAGAGUGACACGUGUCAGCAUCUGAAACCUCCGUCAAACAAAUCAAAUCAAGUGCAAAAGAUAACAAAUUAACCCUAUAUAAUAUGAUCAAAUUAUAUCAAUUGGGGUUUAAUUUCCUAAAUAAAAAAUUAUGAGCUAAAUUAAAUAAUUUGCUCAAAUUAAAGCACAUCAGAAAAUCAAUCCCACAACUCACAGGAUUCAAAUUGAGUGUUCUAAACGAAAACUCAAUCCCUUGCCUAUAAAUACUAGGCUCAUUUUCAAAACACAAACUUCAGAGAAAUGAAGCAAUUCCAAGCCUUUGGAGAAACUUUGACAAAAAAAAAAAAAAAAGCCUUUGGAGAAAACCAUAAAGCUCUUUUGCCAAAGCAAACACCAAACAUUCUUGUUCUUCAUCAAUCUCAUGGAGGAUUAACAAGCACAAGAAAUACACGUGCCAGUUCCUCCACCAAAGCCGAAGAUCACAACCACACUACUCGUGGUCCCAAUUUGUUCAAGAUCAAGUCUCUACAACUUUUGACCAAAUCACAUCUGGUUCAAGAGUAGUGCUCGCCACCCUUAGAUCAAACUCAAUAUUGGAGAUCGAAUAAGAGAAAAUUCUUUUCUUGUAAAGAAUAUUCCCUAAACAUUCAUUUAAUACAAGUAUUACUUUGUAAACGUGUUCUUGUUUUAUUUGUUGAAAAAAAAAUCAUGUUUAUAGGAGUAUAAAUCCCAAUUCAGAGAGGAUUUCAGAGCAAAAAAUGAUACGGCCAACAAGAGGUUUAAUAAGCACCAUUAAUCCUAGAAAUAAGUAAAACUAAGGAAUUGUAUUGAUAAGAAGAGCUAUAGUAUUAACCCGCCUGCGACGACCAUCGGUCAUUCUGGCCAACGAUUAACCGUUUGAUUCAUAUCUCUCAAUUUUUUUUUCUCCUCCCCUAUCUGCCUCUUCCUCUCUCUUUAAACAUUUACCUUCCACAGGUUUCGAUCCAUCUCAUUUUUCCCAGAUCUUGGAUGCAAGAACACAAGGCCUAGAUUUUCCAUACAAUAACAUCCAUAUCUGGUGCGGUGACCCGAACCAUACCAACCAGGAGGACAUGGGCAACUUCUACUUAACUGGUCGGGAUCCCCUGUUUUACGCCCACCAUUGUAACGUGGACCGGAUGUGGAACAUUUGGAAAACCCUCGGGGGCAAGCGUAAGGACCCAACCGACACCGAUUGGCUCGACGCUGAGUUUCUUUUCUACGACAAAAACGCGGAGAUUGUGAGCUGUAAGGUCCGGGACAGCAUCCAUCCUGAGAAAGAUCUUCGUUAAACCUACGAGCCUGUUAAUGUUCCAUGGCUGUUCACGAAGCCAACCGCUUGUAAGCCGAAGACCAAGACCAAAGCCAAGGUGGCGGCUACUGAGCUGACAACCAAGUUCCCAGCAACGUUUGACUCAAAGACGACGGUGGAGGUAGCGAGGCCAAAGCUGAAGAAGAGUGUUGAGCUAGGAUAGCACCAAACCCGUUGGAACCAACUCAAGCUAACCCACAGGAAAUUUAUCAAAUGAAAAAGCAAGAGCAAAAUAUUAAAGACACCAAGAUUUUAACGAGAUUCCUCAACAGUCAGUGUAACUGGAGUACGUCCUUGGAGCAGUAGGAGCUCACCCAAGAAUCCACUAUCAACCAAAUGAGAGUUUAAGUGUUGGCAAUCUCACAACCCAAAACCCCAAUACACCCAAUAACUCUCACUCACCAAAGAAACAAAUAGAGAGGGAAAUAUAGUGAAUAAUUUCCUCUCUAUACAAAGCUCAAAGCUAAUACACAAAUACAACUUUGAUUGAGUGAGUACCAACAAAGAAAGAAAAUCACCUUUCUUUCUUCUCUUCAAAAUGGGGCUGUAGCACCUCUGUUUUCUUCUCUGUUUUUCUGGUGCACUCUAUCACUACAAUCAGAAAAUGCUCUCUAUUUUCUGCACCUUCUACAACUCCCCUUCCGUUUCUCUUAUUUCCAAAGGCUAAAUAAAAAAUUAAUUUUCUCCAACAUCAUCAUUUGUCAUCAUCACAAAGCAAGGAACAACAUCAUGAUGUUUCCCUUUUUUUUCUUUUUAACAAACAUAAUCAUUUGUCUUUUUCUUUCUUUUGCUUUGUUUAAUAGCUAAAAGGUGAUGUUGAGUUGCCACUUGGCCACAAUUCAACAAUCUCCACCUUGGCCAAGUUCCGAAAACGCCAUGAUAAGCCAACCAACACAAUUGAUUCAAAAAAUCACUCUCAAACACUAGCAAGAGAACAACUCAUGCCGAGCCAAAUGCUCCAAAAACUCCUACUGCUCAAUGCCUUCUUUAUAUAGGCAAAAUGUGAGCCAAGUUCAAGCAAUGAACAAACUUGGCGACACCAACAACCUUAGUCAACAUAUCAGCGGGGUUGUCUUUAGUUGGAAUUUUCUGGAGAAUGAUUUCCCCUUCACCAACAAUUUCACGAACAAAGUGAUAACGCACAUCUAUGUGCUUGGUCCUCGCAUGAUGAACCUGAUACUUAGCCAAAUAAAUGGCACUCUGACUAUCACAAUGUACCUCCACCUGCUUCUGAUCAACCCCCAAAUCUCUAAUCAGCCCAUGUAUCCACAUGGCCUUCUUUAUAGCUUCAGCAACUGCCAUAUAUUUAGCCUCUGUAGUAGACAAGGCAACAGACUGCAAAAUGAACCUCCAACAAACUGGCUCUUUAGCCAUAGUAAACACAUAGCCUGUAGUAGACUUCCUUCCAUCCAGAUCACCUGCAUAAUCUGAAUCAACAUAACCAACUGCAAAAUGACCAAUACCAGAGUCAUCAUUCUCAAAGCAUAAACCAACAUCUCGAGUACCAUGGAGAUAUCUCAAUAUCCACUUAGCUGCUUGCCAAUGCUCUUUACCUGGAUUAUGCAUAUAUCGACUCACCAUGCCAACUGCAUGAGCAAUAUCCGGUCUAGAGCAUACCAUUGCAUACAUCAAACUACCAACCAAAUUUGCAUAUGGUAUAUUUUUCAUUUGCAGCUUCUCUUUAUCAGUUUUAGGACACUGUAGAGAACUCAAUUUAAAAUGAGGAGCUAAAGGGGUACUAACCGGUUUGGUUGAAUCAUGAACUCCAAACUUCCGAAUCAACUUCUCAAUGUAUUGUUUUUUAUUCAAACUGACCAAACCCUUCUCUCUAUCUCUAGUGAUCUCUAUGCCAAGGAUCUUAUUCGCUUCACCAAGAUCCUUAAUCUCAAACUCAUUCUUCAUUUGCUUCUUCAAUUUUUCAAUCUCUUCAACAUUCUUUGAGGCAAUCAACAUAUCACCAACAUAUAUCAACAAAUAAAUGAAAGACCCAUCUUGCAACUUUUUGAAGUACACACAAUGAUCAUAUUGACUUCUAGAAUAAUUUUGACCUCUCAUAAAUUUAUCAAACCUCAAAUACCAUUGUCUUGGAGAUCGCUUCAAGCCAUAAAGUGAUUUCUUCAAUUUGCAAAACAAAUUCUCCUUCCCUUUCACUAUAUACCCAUCCGGUUGACACAUAUAAAUCUCUUCAUUCAAAUCAUCAUGUAGGAAAGUCGUUUUCACAUCAAGUUGCACAAGCUCAAGAUCAUACUGUGCAACAAGAGCUAACAUAAUGCGAAUUGAGGAGUGUUUCACAACCGGAGAAAAGAUUUCAUUGUAGUCAAUGCCCUCCUUUUGUGCAUACCCUUUAACAACUAAUCUUGCUUUGAAUCUCACAUUGCUUUUCUCAUCAGCAUCUUCCUUCUUGGCAUACACUCAUUUGCAACCGAUAUCUUUCUUGCCCUUAGGCAAUUUAGCUAACUCCCAAGUCUUGUUCUUCAAGAGAGAAUUCAUCUCAUCACCCAUGGCAUUGCACCACCUCUCAUUUUCUUCACUCUCAAUAGCUUCCUCAAAAUUGGAUGGAAUCUCAUCAGUGAUAAUAGGAAGAGCAAAAGAAACAUAGUCACUAUACCGAGCUGGCUUGGUAAUUUGUCUCUUUCCUCUGUUCUUGGCAAUAGACUCUUGAGGUGAAACUUCCUCUUCAACUUGAAUAGAAUCUUCAAGUUCAACUUCUUCAACAUCCUCAUGGUCUUCAACUUCUUCACUUGUAGUGGCUUCGACAUCAGCGGAAAUAGGAUUUGAAGUACCAGAGGCAACUUUCUCAAGCUCCACCUGUUGGACAUCUUUCACAUUCUUCUCAGAGACUUUGAACAUACUUUCUUCAUCAAAUGUCACAUCUCUGCUGAUUACAAGUUUUUUCAUCUCUGGGCACCACAACCUGUAACCUUUGACACCACUACUAAAACCAAGAAAGAUAGCCUUUUUGGCUAUAGGAUCAAGUUUAUUUUCAGUCACAUGAAAAUAAGCAGGUGAACCAAAAAUACGGAUAUAGUCAUAAUCAGAAGAAGGUUUUCCAAUCCAUACCUCCAUUGGUGUCUUACCCUGAACAGCAGCUGAGGGUAACCGGUUGAUGAUGUGACAUGCAUAAUUAACUGCUUCUGCCCAAAAUGACUUGCUUAAACCCGACUGAGACAACAUACAUCUAACCUUCUCAAGCAAGGUUCGAUUCAAUCUUUCUGCAACUCCAUUUUGUUAUGGAGUUCCCCGAACACUAAAAUGUCUCACAAUUCCUUCCUCUUUGCAAACUUUAAAGAAAGGGUCGGAUGUGUAUUCACCACCAUUAUCCGAUCUCAAAAUAUUAAUCUUUCUCCCAGUCUGGUUCUCAACCAUUUUCUUCCAACUCAAGAAAAUGCUCAAUACCUCACUCUUGUGCUUCAUAGUGUAAACCCAAGACCUUCUUGAAUAAUCAUCAACAAAGGUCACGAACCAAUGUCUAUCACUCAAAGAGGGAGUCUUUGUAGGACCCCAAACAUUCGAAUGCACAUAAUCAAGAAUGCCCUUCGUCUGAUGUACAGCAGUACCAAACUUCACUCUAGUUUGCUUCCCCAAGACACAAUGCUCGCAGAAAUCAAGCUUACAAGUCGUGACACCUUUUAGAAGACCUUUUUUCACAAGCCCUUGUAGAGCUUUCUCACCGGCAUGACCUAAUCUCAUAUGCCACAAUCUAGUAGUAUCUGAAUCAGAUGUGCCCAUAUUUUCAGAGACUACUGAUGCUUCACCUGUCACCGUGCUUCCCUGCAAUAAAUACAAAUGGCCACAUCUAGGAGCUUUCAUCACAACAAGUGCACCAUAAGUAACUUUCAAUGUUUGUCCAUCUGAAUGAAACCUGAAACCCUUGGAUUCCAAAGUACCCAAAGAAAUAAGAUUUUUCUUCAAAUUCGGUACAUACCGAACACCUGUCAACUCUUUAACCAUGCCAUCAUGCAACUUCAAACGAACUGUACCAAUCCCUUUUGUUGUGCAAGGAUUGUCAUCUCCCAUGAACACAACUCCACCAUCAAACUCUUUCAAGCUUGAAAACUAAUCCUUGUGAGGAGUCAUAUGAUGAGUACAACCCGUAUCCAACACCCACUUAGUAGCACAAUCAAAUGAUGAGGAAGUGGUUAAAGAAAAAUCAGAAAAAUCUGUUUCAACCUCAGCAACAUUAGCUUCAGAACUUUCUUUGCCUUUGGUCUUCAACCUAGGACAAUCUUUCUUCCAAUGACCCUUAUUAUGACAAAAGGCACAUUCAUCCCUUUCCAAAGGUUUUCUACCUUUAGAGUUUCCUCUAGGUCGAGACUGUGAUUUUUUCCUACUAGAAGAUGAUCUUCUCUCCGAUGAUCUACCUCUAACAAAUAAAGCUUCAGAUGUACUAUCAUGAUUUUUAUCUCUAUGCCUCAUUUCAUAAUUCAUCAAGGCAUUUGACACAUCUUCAAAUUUCACAGUUUCUUUACCGUGUAUAAUAGUGGUAACAAAAUGCUCAUAAGAGUCAGGCAAUGAAUUCAACAAUAUUAAGGCCUUAUCUUCAUCCUUAAUAUCCUCAUCUAAAUUUAAAAAGUCGGCAAUCAACUUAUUAAAAGCAUGAAGGUGUCUAAUCAUUUUUGUACCUUCUUUGUAUUGGAAGCGGUAGAGCUUUUUCUUCAAGUGUAGCCGGUUCUCUGCACUCUUCGUCAUAUACUUGUCUUCCAAUUUUUGCCACAACACACUUGCUACCGUCUCCCGCAUCACAAAAUACUUUUGAGUUUUUGCAAGGCACAACCGAAUUGAAGAGCAAGCCCACAAAUUUAAUUUCUCCCAUUCCGGCUUCGACAUAGCUUCCGGCUUCUCUCCCAAAGCGGCAAGUAGAUCUUGUUGAGCCAACACAUCUUUGACCUCACAUUGCCACAUCCCGAAGUUGUUUGUGCCAUCAAACUUUUCAACUUCGAACUUUGCAUUUUGCACCGUAGUUCUUGCAAACCCGGAGGUGCUUCUAAAAGGAUUCUCAUCUUGCCCGUCUGACAUAUUUGGCAACUAGACAGUACCCAAGAGCAACCAGUGCUCUGAUACCAAUUGUUGUGCUAGGAUAGCACCAAACCCGUUGGAACCAACUCAAGCUAACCCACAGGAAAUUUAUCAAAUGAAAAAGCAAGAACAAAAUAUUAAAGACACCAAGAUUUUAACGAGGUUCCUCAACAGUCAGUGUAACUGGAGUACGUCCUCGGAGCAGUAUGAGCUCACCCAAGAAUCCACUAUCAACCAAAUGGGAGUUUACAAAGUGUUGGCAAUCUCACAACCCAAAACCCUAAUACACCCAAUAACUCUCACUCACCAAAGAAACAAAUAGAGAGGGAAAUAUAGUGAAUAAUUUCCUCUCUAUACAAAGCUCAAAGCUAAUACACAAAUACAACUUUGAUUGAGUGAGUACCAACAAAGAAAGAAAAUCACAUUUCUUUCUUCUCUUCAAAAUGAGGCUGCAGCACCUCUGUUUUCUUCUCUGUUUUUCUGGUGCACUCUAUCACUACAAUCAGAAAAUGCUCUCUAUUUUCUGCACCUUCUACAACUCCCUUUCCGUUUCUCUUAUUUCCAAAGGCUAAAUAAAAAAUUAAUUUUCUCCAACAUCAUCAUUUGUCAUCAUAACAAAGCAAGGAACAACAUCAUGAUGUCUCCAUUUUUUUCUUUUUAACAAACAUAAUCAUUUGUCUUUUUCUUUCUUUUGCUUUGUUUAAUAGCUAAAAGGUGAACUUUCCAAGUGGCAACUCAACAAAGAGGACCAAGAAGGAGAAGAGCAACGAGGAGGAGGUGCUGAUCAUCAAGGACAUCGAGUUUGAGAGCAACGAGGCGGUGAAGUUCAAUGUGUUUAUUAAUGACGAUGCUGAUUCGCUGAGUCGGAAGGACAAGUCUGAGUUUGUCGGGAGUUUUGUGCACGUGCCGCAUAGCCAGAAGACUGGCCUAAAAACAAGUCAAGUCAUUUCGUUUAUUUGUGAAAAAACGAAUUGUGAUUCUUUAUUUGUUGUUUACUAAGACCAUCUCCAACCCUUGGGCUAAAAGCCAAAUUUUUUAGCCCGGAAAAUUUAGCUUUUAGCCCAGAAACAUCUUUUCUGCUUCAACCCUUCUACCCUAAAUUUUAGCCCGAAAUUAUUAAAGAAUGAAAUUAGCCUAAAUUUUUUUCUUAAAUCAAUUUUUUUUAAAAAAAAUAAAUAUGUAGAUUAUUGUAAAUUAAUUUUAUGAACAUUUUAAUCUAAAAAAAUUUAAAUUCCGAUAAACAUUUCGCAUUUAGCCCGGGGGGAAAAUUGGGGGGUAUUUGGCCCAGAAAUAGCAUUUGGCAUUUAGCCUAAAAUUUUAGCAUGGGUUGGAGAGUGUUUGGGGGGGUAAUUUGGCUUUUAGCCCAGGGUUGGAGAUGGUCUAAAAGAUCAUUUGAUAACCGGUCAUUUCGUUUUUACUUUUCAUUUUUUCGAAAAAUGAAAUCUUGUUUAGUAACUAUUUUCACUUUUCAAAAAAAUGAUAACAUAAACAAAAAAGUGAAAACUUAUGGCCAAAUUUUAAAGACGGAUAAUAUUAGGGAUACUAAUUUGUAGACAAAAGUUACAAAUUAAAUGAUGUUUUACCAAUAAGACUGAUUAUGUUUAUUGAUGCUUAAGUAAUAAACCAAUCAUCAAAUUUCAGUCCUUUAGUUUUUAAAAUUUUGUCUACAAAUUUAGUAUAUCAAGCAUUACCCUUUAAAAACUCAUGAAAAUAGGUUUCAAUUUUCAGCUUUCAAAAAAGUAAAAAUGAAGGCUGAAAAUGAAAUGGUUAUCAAACAUCCCCUAAAGAAGUCAUUCUUAGUGAUAAUAAGGAGAGACUAGAGAGAGAUUCCUAUACUUAGCCGUGAGAGUUUCCCAUAUAUGAUUUUCAUUAACAAGAUUGAAAUGAUUACAGAGAGAAGAUCAAGUAUGGUUUAUUUUUAUUUUGUAGAGUGUAGACUUUAUACCUAUACAUUCAUAAUAACAUGAGUAAUGUUAUAUUUAUCACAUUUGUACUUUUUUUCUAAUAAUAGUAGGACCUAUUAACACAUGUGAGUUCCAUUUGCCCAUCAACACAUAUGUGUCUCAUUUCUGUGAGAAAAAUAUGAUAUGGAAAAUAUGAUAAGAUCGCAAUUUUGUAAUAACAUAUAUACUCAACUAUCUAUAUACCGACCCCCCCCUCUCUCUUUUAGUGUAGAUAAUAUCGCUUGUUCAAAAAAAAAUGAACUUGUCAUAAUCAUUGAAUCUAUUUACCAUGAACAAAUGGCAGUUUACUAAACUUGCCCUCAUAGUAUAUAUAAAAGGUCAAUCACAAUCUAUUGGAUUAAUAUAAGGAAACAAUAUGCUAUGCACAAUGAAAAUUAAGCUCACACUUUAUCCCAAAUAAGGUGUUGCACAUUUAAUUUAUGGAUGCUGGUUUGGUAAAAUGAGAGGUUCGGAAACAAGGAUAAAGGCCAUUAUUGAAGCAAAUAAUUGGAGCAAUAAAUCAUGCAAAUAAUUGGUUGUCUCAUAAACGCCUAUUCGCAUCACUAUAAAUGCGUAUUUCCUAUAUUGCACAUGGAGUAGAAUUGAUCUUACAGUAUUGGUAAUGCUAGGGACGAACUUAUUAAAUCAAAUUUUAUAAAUUUGAUAACGUAGUUGUUGAUAAUUUAAGGGAAUUGUUAUUAGCACUCUAAAAAACUCAUUUGGCAUUCUAAACUUUCUAUAAUUAGAAAGAAAAAUACACUUAUAAGGGAGUGUAGAAUGAGAUUUUGGAGUAUUAAUAACAUUUCUCUAAUUUAAUUACUUAAGUGUUGAUUAACGUGUUUAAUUUCUAUUUGUGACACAUCAUAUAAUUCGCAUAUUCGGUCUAUCUAGCAUUACUCUAGAGUAAUAUAGAUCAAAUUUGUAAACUAUGUGAUGUGUCACCAAUAGGAAAAAAUUUCAGUAUGCUGGAAAUACGGCUCAGAACACCAAGUGUCAUAAUAUAUACUUGGUUGGAAAUUUUUUAUUUUCAAGUUUCCAACUAAUUGUAUUGUAACACUUCGUAUUCCAGACUAUGUUCUUAGUGCGCUGGAAAAUCUCUUCACCAAUAGGAAAUAAGCAUAUUAAUGAACACUUAAGUAAUAAUUCAAUCAUCAACAACUACGUCAUAGAAUUUAUGAAAUGUGGUCUAAAUUGAUGGUCUCCAUAGCAUUACCUUUAUCUUAGCGUAUACGUACCCCUUCACAUGUUUAUUUGCUGAUAUGCAGCUUGAGUGAAAAUUUCUUUUUAAGAACAUAUAUGUGAAUAUAAACAUAUAUAUCUAGUGACGGAUGUAGCGUUAUUUAAAAAUAAACAAAUUAAUUAAUUAAUAAAUGAACUGUGUACCUGUCUGUGUCGAGUAAUCCAUAUGUAUGCUUGAAUCCUGAUCACCACGAAACCCUAACAUAUAAGCUACUCAAGGCCCGAAAGCUUGGAUUGAAGAGAAAAACACCCAGUCAGAUUAAGCCAAUAUAUCAAAGUUAUAAUUCCAAAUGUAAGCUUUAAGAUUGAAAAAUCACUUACUACCUUGAGCAGUUGAGCUUCUUCAAUGGCAUAAAGCUUUUAGCAUGAGAUGGACUGCAUCACAACUAAAAUUUUCUCUUGGAAACUACACAAGGAAUAGCAUACAUACCUAUAACAUUGAGAAAGUACGCCAAUUUUUUCCUUCUGCUCGUUCAUGUUUAAAAUUAAUCCUCAGAUGAACUUGCCCACAAUGAAGUGCAAUUUGAGGUAGUCGAGUGUUCCAUUUCCAUCCUAUGGAAAUUACUACUAAACUUUAAGAUGGCAAAAGUGUUUAAGUUAAUAUUUAAACUAUGGGCUUUUAGGAAGGGAAGCCCAAAAAGGAGCUCAAGGAGGAGAUUCAGCUCGAGGCCCAGCACCUAAGCUCAUAUCAUCCAUCCUAAAAGCCAGUUGGCACCCCCAUUAAUACAAAUGCUAGUUGCAUACAAGAAGUGACAACCGAUGGGAGUUCACCUGCUCUAGGCCCAAAAGCACUUUAUGGAUGGCAUAGCAUGUAAAUAUCAAUGGUUCUCUACCCUCCAAAUUACUUUCGGGCAAGAACAGGAGCAGCACAAAUCAAGUUAACUCAUCUAUAAAAUGGGGAUGAGGGCCCAGAGACAAAGAGACUCAACCAAUCAAACAAACAUACAACUUGACUCUCAGCCAAGUAAAUGCCCAGAAAGUCGUGCUUUGUCCAGACUCUGCACCCUUUUAGCCUUAGAUUUCCUUAGAAAUACAUCUUUUGUCUAUGUAAAAGCUCUACUACCCUUUCCCAGAUGUCGUAGUAUCGAUCUUUAGUGUAUAAACUCCUUUCCAGUCGUUCCCCUUAAUAUUCAAUCAUCUGCAAACUGCAAGGAGAAGAGAUUGCAAGACGUUUAACCUUGCCCAACAAGGUGAAAUCUUGCUCGACUCUCUUUGUUUUGUCUUUCAAUUAAUAGAUCUGCACUACUACAAUAUUAGCUUUAGGUGGCGGAUGAUGGUGGCGGAUAUUAAAAAAUCCUGUCGAAUAAAUUAUAUCCGACACAUCAUUUAAUUACUGGCGGAUAUUAGAAAAAUCAUGUCGGUUCUAUCCAACAUAAAUUUCGGGCGGAUAUUUACUGGCGGAAUUUUUGAAUCUUUUUUUUUAAUAUUUUUUACAUAUCCUGGCGGUUUUACGUUAAUAGUGGCAGUUAUAACCGACAGAAAUUGACUAUUUUAUUAUUUUACUUUAUGGCUGUUAUAACCGACAUAGAUGAAAAUUUUAUUAUUUUAAAAUGUUAUAUUGAUUAAAAAUAAAUAAAUAAACACAUAUUUUAAAUAAAAAAUUUUCACUCAUGACCCUAAAGUCUAAUGAACCCAAUUCUCACAAGUCAUAAAUUUUCUGAGAGAAUAAUGACAAUAGACUACAAUCUAAAGCUCUAUCAUUUUUGUAAUAAGGAUUAUGCUCCCUCAUAGGCAAGCAACAAGAUACAAAGAAAUUUAAACAAUUUUUUCUAAUGCACAUAAACACACAUAAACACACAUGAACAUCUGAUGUACUUUAUCAUGUCUAAUUUUAUUAUUUUAAAAUGUUAUAUUGAUUAAAAAUAAAUAAACACAUGUUUUAAAUAUUAUAUUUUUUGCGAUUUUUUACACAUGCUAUCUCAUAGUAUAUACGAACAUAUUUGACGAAUGCAUAUCCUAUCAAAUUGAUAGAUUUAACAAACAUUUAAGAGUUAAUGUUAUGCUUCCAUUAUUUAUAAAAUAAGAUUUAUCCACUAGUGUGAAUAUUUUAAAUUGAAGAUUGAAUUCAUUCAUUGCAUUCUUAAAGGAUCGAGGAGUGUAGCUGCAAAAAAUCAUCAAAAGCGAAGCUAAAAUAACCGUUAAAUUGUGAUAUUUCCUUUAUAACCGUUGAAAACUUUUGUUUUGUUACCUAAUCUCUGAACGUUUGCUUUUUGUGAUUUUUUACGUAUGUGAUCUCGGAGUGUUUACAAACAAGUUUGACGGAUAGAUCAUUGAAAAAAGUUUCGUAGAAUGUGUAUUGCGUCAAAAUGGUAGAUUAAAUAAACACUUAAGAGUUAAUGUUAUACUUCCAUUAAGUAUAAAAUAAAAUUGUGUGGUAUCCACUAGUGUAAAUAUUUUAAAUUGAAGAUCAAAUUCAUUCAUUACAUUCUUAUAGGGUCGAGGAUUGUAGCUGUAAAAAAAUCAUUAAAAUCGGAGCUAAAAUAACUGUUAAAUUGUGAUUUUUCGUUUAUAAUCGUUGAAAACUUUUAUUUUGUUACCUAAUCUCUUAAUGUUUGUUGUUUGUGAUUUUUUACGUAUGCGAUCUCGGAGUGUGUACAAACAAGUUUGACGGUUGGAUUGUUGAAAAACGCUUCGUAGAAUGCAUAUCCUAUCAAAUUGAUAGAUUUAACAAACAUUUAAGAGUUAAUGUUAUGCUUCCAUUAUUUAUAAAAUAAGAUUUAUCCACUAGUGUAAAUAUUUUAAAUUGAAGAUCGAAUUCAUUCAAUGCAUUCUUAUAGGGUCGAGGAGUGUUUCUGUAAAAAAUCAUCAAAAACGGAGCUAAAGUAACCGUUAAAUUGUGAUUUUUCGUUUAUAACCGUUGAAAACUUUUCUUUUGUUACAUAAUCUCUUAAUGUUUGUUUUUUGUGAUUUUUUACGUAUACGAUCUCGGAGUGUGUACAAAUAAGUUUGACGGUUGGAUCGUUGAAAAACGCUUCGUAGAAUGCGUAUCGCAUCAAAACGGUAGAUUAAACAAACACUUAGAGUUAAUGUUAUACUUCCAUUAAGUAUAAAAUAAGAUUUAUCCACUAGUGUAAAUAUUUUAAAUUGAAGAUCAAAUUCGUUCAAUGCAUUCUUAUAGGGUCGAGGAGUGUUGUUGUAAAAAAUCAUCAAAAUCGGAGCUAAAGUAACCGUUAAAUUGUGAUUUUUCGUUUAUAACCGUUGAAAACUUUUCUUUGUUACCUAAUCUCUUAAUGUUUGUUUAUUUUUAUUUUUUACGUAUGCGAUCUCGGAGUGUGUACAAACAAGUUUGACGGUUAGAUCGUUGAAAAACGCUUCGUAGAAUGCGUAUCGCAUCAAAACGGUAGAUUAAACAAACACUUAAAGUUAAUGUUAUACUUCCAUUAAGUAUAAAAUAGUGUAAAUAUUUUAAAUUGAAGAUCAAAUUCAUUCAAUGCAUUCUUAUAGGGUCGAGGAGUGUUGCUGUAAAAAAUCAUCAAAAUCGGAGCUAAAGUAAACGUUAAAUUGUGAUUUUUCGUUUAUAACCGUUGAAAACUUUUCUUUUGUUACCUAAUCUCUUAAUGUUUGUUUUUUUUGAUUUUUUACGUAUGCGAUCUCGAAGUGUGUACAAACAAGUUUGACGGUUAGAUCGUUGAAAAACGCUUCGUAGAAUGCGUAUCGCAUCAAAACGGUAGAUUAAACAAACACUUAGAGUUAAUGUUAUACUUCCAUUAAGUAUAAAAUAAGAUUUAUCCACUAGUGUAAAUAUUUUAAAUUGAAGAUCGAAUUCGUUCAAUGCAUUCUUAUAGGGUCGAGGAGUGUUGCUGUAAAAAAUCAUCAAAAUCGGAGCUAAAGUAACCGUUAAAUUGUGAUUUUUCGUUUAUAACCGUUGAAAACUUUUCUUUUGUUACCUAAUCUCUUAAUGUUUUUUUUUGUGAUUUUUUACGUAUGCGAUCUCGGAGUGUGUACAAACAAGUUUGACGGUUGGAUCGUUGAAAAACGCUUCGUAGAAUGUGUAUCCCAUCAAAACGGUAGAUUAAACAAACACUUAGAGUUAAUGUUAUACUUCCAUUAAGUAUAAGUGUAAAUAUUUUAAAUUGAAUAUCAAAUUUAUUCAUUAGACAAUAUUUAUUUAUGUUUUUCAAGUAUUGAUUAGACAAUAUUUAGUUUGUGUGAUGACAUUUUAUCGCAUAUUUUACAUGCAUUAUUCUCUAUUAAACCAAAAGUGUAAAAAUUAUCUAUUAAACCAAACAAUUAUUUAUUUAAUUUUUAAAAACAUAUUCUAUUUAAAUACAUAUUAUUUAUUUAUUUAUUAAACCAAACAAUUAUUAUUUUAUUUUUUAAAAUUGUAACAAAAUUUGGGGGGAAUUUAAAAUUUUGAGGGAAAAUUUUAAAAUUUUCGGAGGGAAGUUUGCCGCCAUUUUUUUGUCUGUCGGUUAUAACCGACAGUAAUGAAAUUUUUCUGUCAGUUUUUAUUUUUAAAAAAUGUUUCUGUCGGUUUUAACCGACAGUAAAUAAAAUAACCUAAAUUUUUAAAACCCAUCCAUCUUCCUUGCGCCGAUGCUUCCCCCUUCCCCCUAUUCUCCUGUCCUCAUUUCUUUCUCCUUCUCCUUCUCCUCUUUUCUUUUCUAUUCUGUUCGAACACUUGCAACCCAUUCCAACCAACAAUUCCAGACACACUGUAGAGGGCGUGGACAGAGGGUUGAUGGGAAGGGUUGGCCGUGGACGGAUGGUUGAUGGGAAGGGUAGGAGCUAGAGAGAGGGGGUGAGGGGUGGGUUCUGUCCACUGACGUUGGUUGCUGGGAGAGAAAGAGAGAGAGAGAGAGAGAUGGGGAAAAGUAUGGGGUUAAGGUUGAGGGGAACGAAACGGGUACAGAGAGAGAGUGAGGAAGGGACAUAGGAGUUAGAGGUAUGGAUUGAUUUGUCAGGGGCUGCUGCAUCCUUCCUAUUCGAAAGGUAACAAAUAAUUUUCAAUUCAUUCUGCUGCAUCCUUACUAUUCGAGAGGUACAUGAAUGGCUUCUCAUCUGAAAUUAUUAAACAUUGGAUUUGCUAGUUUGGUUGCGCAACUAUGCAGGUGCUCUCUCCAAUCUAUCGAUCAGUUUAGUGCUAGCUGUUAUUGCUGCCUUGGAAGUCAACAAUAUUCCUUCAGCUCCUUGGUUCCUGUCAUUGUGUUUGCAUAUUUUAUAUCAUUUGGUUUCUCAGGUUAUGUAUUUAUGUUUGGCGUUGCUUGCUUAUUGUUUUCGUGUUUAUAUUGUAUCAACGACUCUUAGCUUGUUUUGGCUUCUUGCAGGCUUACGGGAUUCUGGAAAAAUAUCUGUGUUAUUUUGUUCCUCUCCUCGAACUGAAGAGAUGAUGUUCAUGUUAGCAUGGAUGUUUGUCUAGUCUCCUCACAUAAUGAAAUGUUGUGCUUGACAUGAAUAAGGGUACUUGAUACAACCAUUUUUUCCGAUUUUGUUUGGCCAAGAAUGUAUCUGUAUAAAAUCCAAAUGCAACCGCAGUUGGGUGAUGGAUUACAUUAUCGCUCGUUUGUUUAACUUCUAAGAUUUCUACCUGCGAUAAUUUUGCAAUAUCUUGUCUGUCAUUGUGAUUUUCUUUCCCUGAUUGCAACCAUACGAAAACUUAGGUUGAGGAUUUAGAACGAAUAUUAGCAAGCUUCUCUUAUCUAUAUUGUUAAUUUGUUAUAGCCUAGAAAGGAUGAUCAUGACCCUCCCUGUUUAUCAUUAUCAGUGUAGGGGAUGGGCGGAGGGGUCGGAUGACGAGUCGUGGACUAAGAAAACGGUGCCCAUUAUUGCUCCCUUGCCUAAGACUUUAAAGGCCCUGACAGUCACCGGUGAGAUCGAGCUCCGGCGAGGUUGGAUGGUGAAUGUGGGGAUAUGGAAAAUGCAGAAAGCAAUUUUUUUUUUAUUAUUAAUAUAAGUCAUAUCGGUUUUAGCCGACAUUAAAUGAUUUUAUUUAUUAUUUUUAAUUAAUUUCUGUCGGUUUUAGCUGACAGGAAAUGGUUUUAUUUAUUCAUUUUUAAUUAAUUUCUGUCGGAUGGUUUAAUGAUUUUCUGUCGGUUUUAUCCGACAGAAAUAUUUCUGUUAGUUCUAUCCGACACAAUUUCUGUCGGUUUUAGAGUAUUUUCUGUCGGAUCUAUCCGACACAAUUCCUGACGCAGGCAAUUCUGUCGCUUAUUAUAUCCGCCACUGCAUCCAUUUUCUGUCGGAUUUUGCUUAAAAUCCGACAAUAAUAUAUGUUUUUUGUCGGUUUUCAAAACGCCACUAAUAACUGGUUUUCUAGUAGUGAUGGUGCUAUAAUGUAUUCCCUAGUUUAUAUUCAAGUUGUUUCUAGUCUUUUGAUGAUUCAAAGCCCUAUCAGUUCCCAGAUAUAGUUCACUUAGUGGUUUUAUCAAGAUUGGAAUGAGUUAAACUGAUGACUUGAUCAGAUCUGGACCUCCACCCCUCGAGCAUACAAGAUAACUAAAAGUCCUUGAUAUCAAGGCAUAGAAAAGAACUUAAUGUAGACUUAACCCAUCCUUUGAUAAACAAGAAAUCUGAAAUAACUUGGGGUGCAAGUAAUCGGCUUAAAACACACUUGUUCUACAUCUUCCAUACAAAAUGGCAAUGGCACGCCUAAGCAUUUAGUUGGUUUUGAUUGCGAGCCUCAAGGCCUACACCUAAGGCCCCAUGAAGGCACCUUUCAGAACUAACUCUAUUAUCCUCUUGCAGCAUUGUGACAAGCAGGAGUCCGACAAUCAACCAAAGUGCCAACUCCUCGGGGAGCUAUGUGCUCGAGCCAGGGACGCCCACUGGCCAAAUUUCUUGCCCGAACAAAAAGGUCCAUGAAGAAUUUUACUUUUGAGAUUGUCUCCUUAGCAUUUCUCUUAGCUAUAAUAACGAGGAAAUACUUCAUCUUGUAUCAAACAAGGGAGACAGAAAGUCAACUACAAAUAGCAUCACAGAGCCAGCAAGAUUGAGGAGGCCAUGAAGAGGAAAGAGAAAAUACACUCUUGUUUUGUAAGGACAGAGAUAAUACAUUCAAUGAAGGGUACUGAUGUUUAUAUGCAAAGCUGAUAAAUAGUCGUAUUUAUUCUCUACAAUGCCAAUAUUACCCCUCGUUAGUACACUUUCAAGACACUAUACUCCAGUGUAUGCACUAUGCAGUACGUUGUACUCCUCAUUUUUUUAGGAAAUUCGUUAUUGGCCUUCAUGUCUUCUUUAUUUUCCUUGUCCUCAUUGUGCCACAUGUCUAAAACACUAAUUAUAGGUAAAAGAAAGAUAAUUAAAUGUCAUUUAGUACUACAAUCUAACGAUAUUCCUCUUCAGUGUAAAAAUUUUAUAAUUAAAACCGUUCAAUUUUUUAAUAUCUUCAUUUGAAUAUUAUCUGUACAGAAAAAUUAUUCGAAUCAGAGAUCGUUUAUGCAUUCAAAUGUAUGAAAUAAAUUGACAUUGUGAGUACUAAUUAAUAUUUUUUUUAUAAAAUACAAUUAUUUAAUACAUUUGAAUGACCAAAUGAUCUAUAAUUCAAAAUAAAUAUUAAGAUAUUAAAUAUAAUUAUGAAAUUAAUAAAGUAAAGAUACAUGACCUCGUGAAGGAUGCAUGUAUUAUUAAAAAAAUAUAAAAAAUUUGAAAAACGAUGCCGUUGUUGCCACCACUUUUGCAAUGAUCGUUGCCACCACUUCUGCAAUGAUCGUCGCCACCAUCACCAAACCCCAACACCCCAUUACAGCUCAUAAAAGCACAUCAAAAGAAAUUUAUAAAAUAAAAUUACUCGAAUACCAAAUUCCCCCUUAGUUUAGGUCACCAAUGUUUAGAUUUUAUCACAACUUUCAUUCCAAAUUUACUUUUUAUCCGUUGCUUUGUUUGUUCAAAUUUACUUUGGCAUUUCAAUUAGUAUUAAAAUCUAAUUUAAAUUUUAGUGUUCAAACUAGAAGAAAAGAAAACUAACGAAAAGUUCAAAAAAACUUUAGUUUUAAUGAAAAAUGACAAAUAAAGAUGUAGCGAAUAGUACCAGGAAAAAGUAAAAAUAUGUUUUUUUGUUAAAAAAUGAAUAGUACCGAAAGUGUUGCAAUUCCCUAGAAGAAGUGUUCCAUUUAAUAUUUAAUAUCAGUUUUUCUCUUUAUUCUUUUAUUGGGAUUUGGUUGCAUCGUAUCUCCAUUUUUCUUGGUGUUGUAUGUUCAUAAGGCUUGUGAAAUGAGUUGAAUAUCAGAGUGCGCAACGAACGAGACUACAAAAUAAUAGGAAUAUUAUUAAAUAAACGAGAAUGCCGGAACGGCUACAAAACCCUAAAGGCUACAUUGUGAAUGACUUUUUCUCUAAUGAAUAACAAAGCACCCUAUUUAUAAUAGCCUAACCCUAAUCUCUAACAAAACCUAAUUCUAACCGGCUAAGGCCAGAAAACCAAACAUUCAAAUAAACCAAAAUACUAAUAUUUUCCAACAAAACGUUGGCAUGUAGUGCAUGGUACUCAUUUUUUGGCCCAAAAUGCAUAAGGCAUGUAGAUAUGUAGACUAAAUUUUAUAAACUAAAUAACAUGAAAGUUGAUGAUUAGAUUAUUACUUAGGGUAAUGCUAGGGAGACUAAAUUUGGAGAGAAAAUAUACAAACUAAAUGAUGCGUCACCAAUAAAAAUGAGCAUGUUUAUCAACACUUAAGUAAUAAACCAAUCAUCAACUUUCAUGUCAUUUUGUUGAUCUUAAAAACUACCAAGCCUACGUGGCGCGCAGGCCGAGUAAUUAAUAAGCUAACUACAACCUUCGGUUAUGUGCGGGACAUCACAACUAGUCGGCCGAGCUCGGCCGGGGAGUAAAAUGUGUUGAUGUUGCGUUGAGCGCGCUGUUGACUUCUUGGUCUUGCAACUGCGGCCGAGGAAGGAACACGUCUUGGCCUUCAGGCUCUAGAGCCUGAAGACAAGGCUGCUAGUUCUGCGAAGUUCAAUAUUAGAUUCGGCUUUCAACGUGCCAAAUGUAGUAACCUGGUAACACCUUACUUCGCCGAGAAUGCUAAUGAGAUGACCUCUACCAACAAGGACUCAAAAAUCCUUGUCGAUUGAGACUUGGAUAGGUAAUCAGUCGGUCGAAAAGCAGUGUUGUUUAUCCAAACUGAAGGUGUUCCUUGAUCGGUUGAUUCUACAAAUCCAGUGUUGUUUAUCUAAACUGAAGAUGUCGCCGAUUGCCUUCACAGUGUUGUUUAUCCAAACUGAAGAUGUGUCAGCGGAAAAAAGAAAAUAAAAAUCUCAAGGUUAUUGAUAGGUUUUGCGUAGAGCGAGAGUUUGCGCAGGGCAAUUUGUGUGUUGAAUUGGAGAGAGAUUGAAUGUUGUCCGUGACUCUGUAUUUAGAAGCAAAUGUUGUGUGGUGCGACCAGAUAAUUUUGUAGAGUCCAACUGCAACUCUAAUUCGCGGAACUAAACUUGAUCCGCGUCAAAAGCCAAGGCAUAUCCUUCUAAUUGAUCCAUGGGAUUUGUUCCUUGACCUCUCAAACCUAAUUAAAGUUAGGCUUAUCAUAUCACAUCAGAAACCAAACCUAUUUAGGCUUCUUCAUAAUCUUUACCAUCAUAAUCUUUACCGAUGCAUGCAUCCUGAUCCCUACCAUACUUUGAAUAGACAAUAAUCAGUUUGCAACACACCACUUGUCAGUCAACCACACUGAUCUCACCUACACAUUCACACGCCAAAACAUCCAAAUCAGCUUGAAUUGUGCUGCCAUGUUUCCAGUUGGAAAUACAUAUCUCAUCUUUCAUAAUAAAUUAUUAUUAAAAGAUAAUUAUGAUAAAACACCAUAACAUUAUCCUUUAAUAAUAACAAAAUGAAUUAUCUCCACUUUUCAUCUGACGGUGUGAAACUAUGCUCACUCAACGACCUUGAUUGCACGGGCCGAUGGUGACACGCCCCGAUCCCAAUAUUCCCCGAAUACCAGGAUAGGCAUGUGCUGGCCGACAUCCGAGAGUGACGAAAGCCAUUUAUUGAGUACAAAUGCUGAGAAUAAAGGAUGGAUAUGACUUAUAAAUAUAAAAGAAUCAAGAAUAUGCAUUUAAGGAACGUGUUCAAAGCACACAACUAACUAGAUUACUAAAAGAAAUAAUAUAAAAUGGAGUGAAUAAAAGAAUGGGUCAUACACCGAAAGGACUCGAAGAAGUUGAUGUAGGAGUCCUUUGACGUCAGGAUUGUAUGCCUCGAUUCUAAGUCCUGAAGGGGGCGCAAAACAAACAUGAGUGGACCAAUUUGAUAUAUAAAUAGUAAAACAGUUAUCAACGUACUAACCCCCAGGUUUUAUGAAAACACAUAUAUAUCAUGAUAAACAUAAUUUUUUCGAAACCUAGCAUGCCGUGCAAUGUCUCAAACCAUACCUUGUAUAUAUAUAAUAAUCACUAGUGAAUUGUUCGAUAAACCCCAGGCCCCAUGCCGGCUCCCCGUCUCUGAGCAGACAGUCAGAGGAAAAUAUACUUCAGGCCCCAUGCCGGCUCAUGCCGGCUCCCCGUCCCUGUGCUAAAUAGCCAGAGGAAACACAUUACAGGCCCUAUGCCAACACCAAACCGUCGCCCAGGACGGACCGGAUCUAUCCCUACUUCCCGUAGCGGAAAUGACCACUAGGUAAAUACAAAACCAUUGAACAUACAUAUAUUGAAAAGCAACUUCAUAGUAUAAAGUCAUCCAUCAUCUAUAUUAUAAAGAGGUGUUCGAAACAUGUUCUAAAUAUCAUAUCGUCAUCCAUCGGAUAUUCUAUAAGAACAUGAGUUAUAGGAAAAAUAGUAAUAAUUCAAAGUAGCCUUAGUAAGCAUGUUAUCUCACAAAACGUUUCAUAAAAUGUAAUCAUCAAAUCAUGCUUUUCAUGUAUGCAUUUCUACUAUUAAAACAUGAAUUUUGAGAAGGGGUCCACUCACAGUACUUAGCCGCCGAAGAGCCACGCAAACUAGUAACCACGAAAACAUCACAAAUAUUGCCCUUAAGCACAUAAAUGGUCCAAUUAAUAAAACUCUAUUGUAACAAUUGAAUUUGGGAAAACGGAAGUUGGAAACGGAUUCAGAACGUCAAAUUACCCUAAGAAGGGUCCUGGAUAAAUUUCGUAAAAUGUCAACAAAAUAUUCCCUGACAUAAUAUUUCCCAUAAAAGGUAUGGGCCGAUUAGGGUUUAGGGUUAGCUAAUUAGGUGGGCUAGGUUUAGAGGAGAGGGCUUAGGGCCCUGGUUCAAAAGGCCCGAAGGCCUUAAGCCUAAGGGUUUUGGGUUUUUAGAUAAAAAGGCUUAGGGCCUUAGCUAAUUUGGCCCAAAGGCCUUUAACUUAAAACAAUUAAUAAAAAUACAUAAUAAAAAUUGAAAUGGGUUUUGGGUUGGGCUCGGCAGGAAAGGCCCAAAGGCCUUGGGAUUUUUGGGUUGCAGAAUUCAAAGGAAGGAGAAGGCCGGAUUCGGCCGGAAAACUACAUCAACUUUAAACGGCCAUAACUUUGUCAAAACUCAACGAAAUCGAGUGAUUCAAAAACAGAAAUUGUAUCCCUCGAAGAGACGAAGAGAAUGGUACCUCGCACGAUGUGGUUUAAAGUUGUUGGACUCGCCGGAAACUGGGUAAGAUUCAAAUGAGUAUAACUUCUUCAAUACUCAACAAAAUUGGGUGAAACAAAAAGGAAAGUUGUAGUACUCAGUGAGACCAAGAGAUUGAUACCUUGCACGCCGGCCAACUCACUAUAGUUUGGCCGGAAAUUGCCUCGAAAGUGGCGGUGCUCGCCAGAAAAUUUGGAAAAGCUUUCCCGAGCUAUUUUCUGUGAUUCAAAUGUAUACACAACUUAAAACAAGCUUCAAUCUAACCCUAAAACACAUCCCAGGGGUUUUUAGAAGCUUACCAACAUUGAAAAAUCAAGAAACUCAUCGGGGAAGAAGAUGAACAGUACCGGCCGAAUGGAAGAGAGGGGUUUGGGGUGCUAAUGGAGAUGUUGUUGUUGUUGUGGUGUUGUUUGUUGGUAAGAAAAGCCCUUGGAGGGGCUGAGAUAGAGAGAGCUGAGAGAGUGUAAGGGAGAGCGAGGGAGAAGAGAGAAAGAGAGACUUUUCAAAAGAAAGAAGAAAAAAAAUAAAAGAAAGGGAAAGGGAACGGGAACGGGGGACAAAACAGGGGGUGGGCCCCUUGAGCACAAUCCAAAAAUAAUUUUAAAAGCAAGAUAAUAUCAAACUUAGUGAAAAUACAAUUUAAAUUAGGGGUGAGUGUAACAGAUUGUGUAAAUUUGGGUCCAAACACCUUUAGUUUCCAAAAUUUAGUAUAUAAAUUUAGUCUCCCUAGCAUUACUCUAUUACUUAAGUAUUGAUUAACGGACUUAUUUCUUAUGGUGACACAUUAUUUUAGUUUACAAAUUUAAUCUACAAAUUUAGUCUACCUAACAUUACUCUUUUGAGAAUUUAACUAUCUUGUCCACUAAUAUAAUUCUAUUUUUCUUAUGAUCAAAACUUCAAAUGUUAGCAAGUCGCACGUAAAGUCGCUUCUGAGAGAAUGUGCUCACAUUGUAGUUGAAAGAUUAUGUGGCUAGCAACAUUACAAAUUUAAUUUGGUAUAAUUUUAAAAUAUGGAUUGAGGAAAAAAAUGAUCACAUUAACUAGAAACUGAAAAGGUUUCAGCACAGUUUGUUCAAGCAAGAAACUCAAUUUUGAUGCUACCGAUCUUGAGCGCCGUACCUGGGCACCAAAGUCACCACCACACUCUCAUCAUCUUCAGCACCCAAAUCCUCCAACAGGUCCGUUAACCCCAACCUUAAACAACUCUUGCUCUUUUCCUUCUGCUUAUGUGGCACACUCACAAAACUCCCAGCAAACUCGCUCUUGUCGGGUCCACUCGGUGCCGCAUCCUCAUCGUCCACGUCAUUCACAUACACAUCAAACUUCACAGCCACAUCUUUGUCAAGCUCAAUCCCCUGAAUCACCAAUAUCUCCUCCUCAUCCUCUUUCUCCUUCUUGCUCCUCUUCUUCGGCUUCGGCCUUGACACCACCGUACUUAUCUUCGUCUCCAAAUUUAUUGGAAAAUCUUUACCCGCCACCACCUUCCCUGAUGACGUCGUCUCAGCGGCCUUCGCCACUCCAGCCGCCUUUGCCUUUCUCGCAAGCUUUGUCCGACGUGGCGUCGGUCUAGACUUGAGCCAUGGAAUCUCAACAUCUUCAUACGUAUACCCUAGCUUUUUAUUAUCAAGAGUGUCCCUCACCGUGACCCUAACAAGCUCAGCAUUCUCGUCAUAAAACAAAAACCCCGUAUCCAACCAAUCCUUAUCGUUAAUAUCUUUAUUUUUAGUCCCUAUACUUUUCCAAAUAUUCCACAUUCGAUCUAUAUUCGAAUGGUGCGAAAAAAAUAUUGGAUCCCUUCCAGCGGAGUAAAAAUUCCCCAUGUCUUCAAAUUAGGUUGCGUGUUAUCUCCGGUCCAUAAAUGAACCGGACCAUGUGGGGUCGUUUCGAUUGAACCGCCCCCUGGAUCUGGUUCAGUGCCAGCCCUGUAGGGCGAACCAAAGAACAACAGCGGUUUCUUGGAGUUGGAAACCAUCUGCCUAUACAUAAUUUUGAGGUUGGCUUCGAUUUGAGCAUCGUUGGACAUUGUUUCAUCCGUGCCGUUGAAGUCAAGAUCGAUGAGAGUCGGCGGCUGAUGGCUGGCAGCGCGAAGCUCGUCGUAAAGCGGAGAGUCCGGGUUAGCGAACAAGGCAGGGAGUUGCAUGCCAGCUGGCGCGUCCCAGUUCCAAAACGGCAACGCGAACGUCGGAUCGUCUAUGAGUUUGGCCAAGAUUCUUUCGUGGAAGUAUAGGUAGUAACGAUGGAAGGGGAAGAAAAGCCAGCAUUGAUGGAUUUGGAGCUCGAGGUUGGGGAAGCCGACUUGGUCGUACGCGCCGUCGCAAUAGGCACAGUGGAGAUCGGCUUGCUGGGUGAAGCUACGCGGAUCGUCGUCCGGGAGGGCUUUCAUGAGCUCGAUGGCUUUUGAAUAUUUUUCGAUGUAGGCUUUAUCCACGGUGUGAGCUGCCGGCCUGACGCGGAGUUUGGUAGGGGAGGGGAAUUUGAAGUCUACGAUUUUUUGGGACGUUGGCGGGCAACAGUUGGUCGGGACUGCUCCACUUGGAAAGUCCGCAGCUCCGCAUUUGGCUAGGUCAGGCGGCGACACUGGCUUUGCAACAGCGAAGGGGUCGCUGCCAAGACCAGCCACUCCACCGUAUAGGCUUCCGAGACCUAUAAGUACAUUUCUUCUGUCUAGGUUUACUGGAGAAGGGUUUUCAUGGUCGUGAUCGUUGGAGCUAGUGGAAGGGUUUUUGUUUUGGUCACUACUAUUAUUUGUGGCUUUGCAUGAGACAGCUUGUAAAUUGGAAUGCCUAGGGUUUCCAAAUGAGGAUAUUCGGUGAUACUUUUGGGAGAAAGGGGAGAGGAAAGUUGUGGGGAUGAUACUUGUGGCGGAGGUGACGAGUGGAGCUGACAUAGAAGCCAUGGUUACUUUUGACUCUGAAUAAUACGUUGUAUUGGCUUUGCUUUUAUAAUGUGUUCUAGGUUGUACUUUUCUUUGCACAGGUGGCAGGCCGUACACACGUGGUCGGUCCUUAAGGGUUUGACGAGGAAUACUACGUAGUCAUUUAGUACAGGACAACCAUACACUAUAGCAAGUGGCAUGUAUUUAGAGAUCGAGAGAGAAUUGGGUAAGGUUCACGAGGGAUUUGUAGUUUCAGAAGGUGAAUUGGUUUUGGUCUUCUUGUGUACCAAUAAUAUUUACUUAGUCAUUUAGUGCAGGACAACCAUGCACUAUAGCAAGUGGCAUGUAUUUAGAGAUCGAGAGAGAAUUGGGUAAGGUUCACGAGGGAUUGUAGUUUCAGAAGGUGAAUUGGUUUUGGUCUUCUUGUGUACCAAUAAUAUUUACUUAGUCAUUUAGUGCAGGACAACCAUGCACUAUAGCAAGUGGCAUGUAUUUAGAGAUCGAGAGAGAAUUGGGUAAGGUUCACGAGGGAUUGUAGUUUCAGAAGGUGAAUUGGUUUUGGUCUUCUUGUGUACGGCUGUGGGUCUGCUGUCCCGGACUCUCUGUCUCAUUUGUGUCUUAUUUUUUAUUUUUUCACACGUGUCUUUUACUUAACGUCAAAUCAUGAUAGCAAUGUUAUGCAAUUGGGAGCUAAACGACCGAUGCUUUUAUUUUUUAGUUUGCUUUUUUUCCAGAUCUGAUCAAAUCAUGAUAGCAAUGUUAUGCAAUUUUCAAGAGGGAAAGAUGCACCUGGGAGAGAAACGGUACGGUGACUUCUAAAUCACCGUCCAACAGAACAAUUCUCAGUAGAGACUACUAGAGAGAGAUGCACCUCACCAAUGAAAAAUUUAACUGCAAAAAUUCUGGGUAUUGGGUAAGGAAAUUCGGUGAUACUUUUGGGAGAAAGGGAAGAGAGAAGUUGUGGGGAUGAUACUUCUCGUGGAGGUGACGAGUGGAGCUGACAUAGAAGCCAUGGUUACUUGACUCUGAAUACUACGUUGUAUUGGGUUUGCAUAUAUAUAUAAUUAGGAUUGAAGGAUGUAGAGCUUAUUUUGUUAUGUAUUUUAACGAUUUAAGUGCUUAUCUUUUAGGUUUUCUCUUAAACAUCAUGUCUAUAAAAAAUCACCAAAAUUCAAACCAUAUGACCAUUAGAUCCAUAGUCAUUUUAGUGUUUAUUUGUAAAAUGUAUUCAUUCAUUUUCUUCACUACAAAUGAGUGAAUUAAUGAUUUUAGAAUUUGUCUAAUUUUUUACAUUGAUUAUUUAUGAAUGUUGAAUUGAAAUUUAGACGAUUCAAAAAUAGUUGAUAUGCAUUACAAAAUGAACUCCACAAAAUAAGUGUCAAAAUAUGUAUAAAAAAUGGACAGCGUGAAUGGCUUGGAAAUUGGAAUAGGUUUGAAAAUUGUGCUUUUUGUAGCAAAUUUUAGCAAAGUUUGCUUGGACUUUCACAACCGUAUAAAUUAAAGGGAAACUUGAUAUAACUCCAAUUUUUUGAGCCAAUAGUAGGAAUAGUCCAGUUUAUUAAAAUAAGUUCAAUUCUUUAAAUUUAAUUAUUUAGUUAUCAAUAAUUAUCUCUUAAAAGAAAAAACUUAUUGUAAAAAUCAAAUUUCUUCCUAAUUAUCUCUUUGAUUAUUUCUUUUUAUUUAUUUAUUUGUUAUUUCUUGUUCUUCCUCCUGCUUUAACCCAUUUAUAGAUUUUUUUUUUAAUUUUAUAAUCAACCUAUGUCACAGGUUAAUUGUAUUUAUCUACCUAUAUGACAUAUUCUUUUUCAUAGUCAACAUUUCACAGAUUAAUGUGUCUUGCUUGUAGAUAUAUUAUGUUUUUUUCUACCUUUUAGUUAGGUUUCAUAUCUCACUUAUAGGUAUAAUAUACAUUCAUAUAUUUGCUACUUGAGUUAGGGUAGAAUGUUUUGCAGAUAGAUUUAUGUUAGUAUAUUAAUUUUUUUUUGUUUAUAAGAUAUUAAUUAGAUAUUUUGGAGUUGAAAAAUGCAUAAUAUUAAAAGCUUUUAAUUGAUUUUUAAUAUUUUUAGAAAAUAUAAAAGGAGUAUAAAAGAAAUCAAAACAUAUAAUUAGAUAACGGGAGUCACUCCUAAAAACACUCUAUGUUUUUUGACCUGGAUCUUAAAGCCCCUAAAUUAAACUGUUCGCUUUGUUGGGAAAAAGAAGUGGCCCUAGUUUCCCUUUGAUUUUUCAAGCACGGUGGGAGACUGGUCAUAGUUUCUAGAUUGAUGCUCUAAUUCUAAUGUUAUACAACGCGUACGCUAUAAUAUUUUUAUCAAAAUAUUAGUUUUAGUGUUAUCAAAACAAUAUGUUAUUCUUACCAUGUUUUUGUAUCACAAUUAUAUACCACCUUAGAUGGUAUCUGAUGUGGACAGCCACAUCAUUUAAAUUAAUAAGCAUUUAAUUUCAAAAUGUUAAUCAAUAAUUAAUAAAAAGAUUGUUAAUUAAAUGAUGAUUGUGGUAUACAAGGAGUCUCCUUCUUCCUUCCUCUUUCCAUUCUGCUUUUUCUUCUUACCUCUUUUUUUUUUUUAAUGCCAGUUUUGUAUUGAUUUCUGUUGAUUUCCAUGAUUAUGGUCAAUCUUUAUAGAAUUUACUAGUAUGCCACAAUCACCAUUGAUUUCUAUCUCCAGACUCAUGCCCCGUAGCCCUAAUCCUCAUUCCCCUUCAAGUAUUUCUGUCUCCAAUCUUCUUUGGUACUCCAUGAUUGUUCAUCUCGUGAUAUUUUUUUUUUUGAUUAUUUCAUUAAGUAACGCUUAUUAGCUUUCAUGCGAAUUAGGAGUCAAAAUCAAAUUUGUCUAUCGGAUUAGGGUUCAUACCCAAUUAAGUUACUAACGCCAGAGGGAUUUUGAAGUAUGCAAUUUUCCUUAUUUAAGUGUUUUAAUUAAUAAGAAAAUUGAAAUUAAACAAUUUAGCUUGUCCAACUCAUCUGCCACCUAAGAUGGUAAAUAAAUGUGGUAUAAAAUUGUGGUAAGAAUAUCAUUACUCUUAUCGAAAUUACAAAAAAAAAAAAAAAAGCUGAUUCAAUAUUUAGUUAUUAAAAAAAAAAUGAUCAAGUAACUAUCCAAUACCCAUGUAUUGGGUGCUUUGUUUGAAAAUUUUCAAAAUGAUAUUGGGCUCGUUUGGAUAUGUUUUUAAAAUGACUGAAAGCAUUUUUAGAGAAAAUAUUUUUUUGAUUCCAAAAGCACUUAAAGUGCUUUCUGCAAGAAGCACCCGUUAUGUGCUUCUUCCUGGAAGCACUUUAAGUGUUUUUCCAGCAUUUACUUGCUUUUUUACUAAGGACUGGUUCCAAAAACAUUUUCACAAAAAGUGUUUUCAGUCAUUUUAAAAGCACAUUCAAACGAGCUCAUUGUUUUUCCUAUUUUAAUCGAGUGCGUCGUCCUCUGUUGAGAAUGAAUCUCAUAUUAUGGGAGGAGGGAUCUUGCAUGAAUGGGAGGAGGGACCUUGCAUGAGCUUAUAAGUAAGUUGGGUUACUCUCCAUAUUGCCAAAAGAAAUUUUAUUUGGACCCAGUUUUCCUCUCUCUAAACCCAACUUUAAUAUUUUGUUACCUAUAAACUCUCUAGUUUACCCUCAUAAAUUAUAAACAUAAAUAAACUAGAAAAAGAAAAACUCAUCAAACCCAUUUCCCAACUGUUCUGGCGUCUCUUCCCUGUAUUUGUUGGGUCUGUCUCCCUCCCGACUGUUUUUUUUUUUCUGAUAUCUCUGUGUGUUCCCCCACCUCUCCCACACCCACCAAUUCUUUGUGGUGGCUAUUCCACCAAACGUCCAGUGAAUCUUUCCAUUUUUCUUCUAUUGCGCGUGAUAGGGCCUUGCUAUUAAUAGGCAAAACUAAGCGGCAUCGUCGACUCCGUAAGCGACUUGUUGCAUAAGUCCAAAAUGGAGUCAAAUGGAUUUUGUAUUGGGUCGGGUUGUUGAAGGCGAUGGCUGAUUUAGCAAUCCCGCCUAACUAUUUCUAUAUGUAGGAGAAGGAAGAGGGAGGGAGGUCUGAAGUGGUGGUUGAGUGGUGGCGAUGUAUGUGGGUUCUCUCUCGGUUGAAUGGGUGUAGAAAGAUAUUUAAUUUUCAAUAUCUUAUUUUAUUUUGUAUAAGGGAUAAUAUAGGAAUUACAUAAAAAGUUUUUUUUAUAGCUAGGUGUAGAAAUAGUAUUGUUGGGUCUAAAUAAAAUUACCCUAUUGCCAAUUAGUUUUAUGGUGAAAUCUUAACUUUGUUCAUGCUUUCAUAGUAGGUUGUUCCACGUGUGAAGUCAAACAUCCACACGCGCUGCACGUCACCCCGUUGUGUUGUUCACGUGUUAAGCUUGAAAAUUCAUCACACAUGAGGGAGCGUGUUGAGAAUAAAUUCCACAGUUUAUAAGUAAGUUGUACUACUCCGUAUAUUACCAAUUAAUUUUGUGGAAUUCCGUCAAAGCUGAAUUUGACGGAAAAAAAUAACUUCAUGUUUGUUCUUAACUAUAAAGUCAGUGAUACACUAAUUCUGGUUUGUUUGUUUUUUCCUUCCUUCUUAAGGAAAUUCCCAAUCCAACCAAAAAAAUGAAAUUCCCAAGAGAAUAGUAGCACGAACAAUCGUAGCUUUCUUCUUCGAUAAGCCUUGGGGAAACAGAAAAGGGAAAACCGGACUUUAACCCUAAUUUCUCCCAAUGCCGCAGCACUCUCUAUUUUCUCUCUCGCUCUAUAUCGCGGUCCCUCUCUCUCGCCGUCCUCUAUUGCUCAAACUCAAUGUCUCCAACUUCCUCUGUAUGGUUCCCGAGGAAGAUGGUAAAACAGUAAGGGCAAGAAAUUGUGACAAGGUUAGAUUUGGGUAUUAAUCUGGUGGGGCUACAAUUCUCCAAUCCACACCCCUUUCAUCUGUGCUAGUGUUUGAACCCAAUAUUAGAUAACCGGUCCAUGCAAUCGAUGCCGUUGAAUGAGAAAAAUUCUAGGCCGUGGGAUCAAAUAUAAUGAUGUGGAUUAAAUAAGGAAAAUUUAAAGAGUAAUGAUAUUCAUACCAUGUUUUUGUACCACAUUUUCAUACCACCUUAGGUGGCAUUUGAUGUGGAUAGCCACAUCAUUUGAAUUAAUCAGAUUUUAAAAUUUAGUUGAUUAUUUAAUAAACUAAUAAUUAAGAAAAACUAAUUAAUUAAAUGAUGAUUGUGAUAUACGAGGAGUCUUUCUCGUUCAUUUCUUUGGGUUUUGCAAAUUUUUCAAAUGAUGUGGCUGUCUACAUCGGAUGCCACCUAAGGUGGUAUAGAAAUAUGGUAUAAAAAUAUGGUAUGAAUAUCAUUACUCAAAUUUAAAUGUUUAUCUUGGUUAAAUUACCAUGAUAAUAUUGUGGAAUUAUCUUUUGCAUAACGGAAGAGCGAGAAAAGUCCAAGGGUGUAGGGAAGUUGUGUGGUUGACUACCGCUAUUUUGAUGGUAUAAUCUGUAGAGUAAUAUUACAUUUAACAUCUAUUUGUAUCAUAUUUCUAAUAAAGAUAAGGACCAUCAAUGCAUAAAUAAUUAAACAAAUAUAUAAUAAGAGUAUCAUUUUUGUAACUAGAAUAGGAGAAGAAAGACUUCAAGAUGGGAUCAGCCAAAUAAUUAGCGUUAAGAUAAAAAUAUUGAAAGGAAAACUAAUGAAAAUGGCUUGAAAACUUUGAGUUUUAACGAUAAGGACAAGAUAAAGGGUAAAGUGAAUAGUACCAGGAUUGACUUUUUAAUGUAAAAAUAUAGUUUUUCGUUAAAGUGAACAUUACCGGGAACUUUUCGUUAAAGUUUCCAAUGAGAUAAUAUUGCAACAGCUGGCAUGAGACAAUGAUGGUAUAAAGAUGGCUACUACGGCCAAACUACUACAUAGGAUUCCAUACAUGCGGUCAUUAUUUCGACAAAUCAAUGGCUGCCGCAAUCAUGUGCUCAUUAUUCCGACAAAUCAGUAGCUACUUGCAUUGGAUUAGGAUUGCAUGCGUGUGGUCAUUGAAUGAGGAUUGCGUGCACGUGAUCUUUAUUCAAACAAAUCACUAUUGACCAUAUAUUGCAAUUGGUUAAUGGUAGGCAAAUUGAAUUUUUACAUCAAAUAAUGUGAUUGCUGAUAAUUGAAUUAUUAUUUAAAUGUUGAUUAAUAUGCUUAUUUUUUAUUUGUGAUAUAUCAUUUAAUUUGUACAUUUAGUUUACCUAACAUUACCAACUGUAAUUUGUAUAAAUGGACUGGUACCUAACAUAACCAGUUGUAAUUUGUAUAAAUGGGACUGUAAUUUGUAUAAAUGGACUGGUGCCUAACAUUACCAGUUGUAAUUUGUAUAAAUUUACUGGUCCCAAGAGCACAUGCUACUGCUCAAGAAGCAAAGUUCUUAUUUGCCCAAAAAAAAUCAUGGUUUUUUAAUUGAUGCUCUCAUUUUAAUUUACUAGCCCCUUACUUGGCCUUUUUUAUUUAUCAUUUUAUACAUAUUAAUAUUUUUUUGUAAAAUAUAUUAGUUUGAGUUUUAUUAAAAUUAAAAAUAAAUAAAAAAACUUAGUUUUAGUUUUAUCAAAUUAAAAAAAAAUGACUUAAUAUUUAGUUAUUGAAAUUGUAAAAAAGUGAUCAAGUAUUGGGUGCUUUGUUUGAAAUUUUUCAAAAUGAUAUUGUUUUUACCAUUGAAACCCUGUUAUAUACAGUGAUGGCUAAUUUGUCAAGUUCUACGAAGUUGGGAUACCCAGCGUUUUAGCAUAUAACAUAGCUUAGUAUUACAAGCAUAAUUAAUUAAAAUAAAGGCAAAAUAAGAGGAUAGCUUAGUAUUACAAGCAUAAUUAAUUAAAAUAAAGGCAAAUUGUAACAGCCCGUCCCUAAAAAUGACGAUUUUAUAAUCUUAACACGUGAGUUUAUGAAGAUGCCCUUCGAGGCAAAGUGUUGACUACCGCGUCGUGUCAUGUGAGACUCAUCUUCUUGGCGUAUUCUCGUUUUACUCGUCGCUACGGAUGCGUGGGCGCAAACGACACGUGAUUUGGAGCUAUAACAAAAGAGUUAUUAACAUUUAAAGUUAAGGACAUUUUAGUAAAUUAAUUAAUUUCAGAUUUUGUUGAGGGGAAAAUCUGGAGUGCCAUGUGGGUGGCCCAGAUUAAAGGAAAUGAGGAAUGGAUGGUGGAGGUGUAAAGGAAAGAAGAUAAAAGAAAAAUGAGAGGAAAUGUGUGACUAAUAGGGAGAUGAGAGAGUUAGGAUGGCCCAAUUAGAAACAAACGAAAGGAGGAAAAAGGAGAGAAGAGGGGAGCAGGGGAUCCCUUCAACCCGGUUCCACUUUCCGACCCGACCCGAUCCUUUUCAUCUUUUCCGGUGGUUUUUCGUCAGUUUUUCCGGCGAACCACGUUAUCUAACCCCGUUGAAAAUGUUCCACGACCUUCCCUCUACCAUUACAACCCAAAAUUGUAGAAAUUUAGCCAUGAAAGUAUGAAAACCGCACCGGUGGGUGCGGGAAACCUUUGUCGUCGAUUCUCCCAUUAUUGAAACGAUUUUCACCAAUUAUCACCACCUACAGCAUCCUCUUGAGGUCUGGAAUAAAGCCCAAACAAGUUUUGGGGCGUUGGAGUUCGUUUAAGGUCGAAUUGAGCACACCCAAAUUCAAGGGUUCCGUACCGUUCAUGGUGAUUUGAGGUGUUUCUCGGCCAAAUUGGCCUUAGUCACAAGUAUGAAAGUUGCUCCACUCGUUGAGAUCUUCAUUUAUGUGAAAUUUGAGAAUUUUUUGAAAUAUUUGGAUUUUCCAGCGAGUCGGGGUGGCGGACCGCCACCGGCAGCAGCGCAUGGCCAGUGGUCCACCAAUGUCAUUUUACGUUAAAUUGAUAUCUUGAUUUUAGAUUUGAUGUCUAUAUGUUAUGACUUGAUUAUGUGAACCUAGUUUGAUUAAGGUGCGUUAAUUGGUAAAAAUAUGAAACGACGAUCCGACCGUGGGAUCGUCACCAAACUUUAAUAUGUUAUAGUACAUAAUAUUUGAGAAUCAUAGGGACUGACAGAUAGGAAAUCCGAGAUACAGAUCUUCCCGAAAUGGAAUUGUAAGUUUGAAGAAUAAACGUUAACCGCCACUUUGUUUUGACUAUUGGUGGAGAUCCAACCGUUGGAUCAUAAUGAAAUUUUAGGAUGAUGUUUUAGAAGCAUAAUGUGGAUCUUUGGAAGUUACUGAUCGGAAAUCCGAGGAGUGAAUCUUCCGAAUUGAAUUACGUAGGGUUGUGGACCUUACCGUCGAUCGUUGACCGAUGAUCGACUUUUGGUCAAUGGGGCUUAAAUCAAUCUAAAACGUUUUUAGGGAUGUGUUUUACGUAAAUUACAUGAUCUAUUGAUAAGAAUUAUGAGAUGUGGUUUGAUAAUUGUCCUAGGUGCCGAUCGUUAGGAACGCUUCGAUGGUUAUGCUAGGAAAUUGUAGCACAGACUCCUUGUGAGUGAAUCUUUUCCUUCUUAUCAUAUAUAUAUAUAUAUAUAUAUAUAUAUAUAUAUGAUUGACAAUUCCACAAACGUUUAUAAAUUGAUUAUUGCAUAUAACUACUGUGAAUACUUUGAAGUACUUAUGCGAACUACGAAUGGCUUGAUCCGUGUUUAGGGUACGUAGGCAGUCUAACAAGACGUUAGAUGUAGUCAUACAAUAAUUGAGAUUAAACAAUUGAGAUAAAGCCUUGUUUGGGGAACUGGGCAAGGUGAAGGAAUUUGGUAAAAAGGUGAGAUUUAACCUUAUGAAUUGGUGAUUAAAUGUUGGUCAUAAAUCAAUGUGUAAAGAAUCAAGAAUUUGAAGUAAGGAAACGUAAGUAAUGAUAAUUAAUUAAACUAGUGUCUAGUUGGGCUUGUCACCUAUAAUUAUCCCCGAAAAUGAAUAAUUCGGGAGUAGGGCGUUACAGCUUCUGCAUUUUUAUGCCACAUUAUAUAUAUAUAUAUAAUUGGAAAUGCUAUAACAUGGUUGAGUAUCAGAUUUCAUCAUGGUUUAUCUAUAUGUAUAUUACCUGCACACAAUUAUUAUGAACGCGUUGAAGUGCAAAGGUGAAUGCACGACACCCAGGUAAGUUCAGGUGAGUUUAUGGUAUUAGUUGAAAUGAUGGGGUUAUGGUAUGACUACAUGUAUGUUUAGGUUGCAAUGAUAGGCAACUCCAACACUGUCGUACAGGUUGCCCAUGAAUUGUACAUGUUACAAUAGAUACAGUUAGAGCUCAUAAACCUACACCCCGGUGUUAGUACUCCCGCUCGUGGCCAGGGCACAGUCCUUCACGUGAUGUUCACCUCCCGCACCUUACGCUCACCUUGGAUCCAAGGUAGGUGCACAAUCAUGUCGUACCACUAUAGGUGGUUCCGACUCGUAGAUGACCCGCGAUUAUUUGCACAGUCUUCACGUGAUUGUAGCACUUGAGCGUAUUUAUUUACACCCAGUUCUAUUGUACAGACCACUUUAGGUGGUUCCGACUCGUAUGCAGGUAUACUUAUUAAGCUAUGGAUAAGUCGUACAGGUCACUAGAAGUGACUCCGACUUAUGAGCUAGCAUAUGUGAUGAGCUAGCAUAUGUGAUGAGAUAAGUGAUGAGUUAGUAUAUGUAAUGAGAUAUGUGAUGAGCUAGCAUAUGUGAUGAGAUAUGUGAUGAGCUAGCAUAUGUGAUGAGAUAUGUGAUGAGCUAGCAUAUGUGAUGAGUUAGCAUAUGUGAUGAGCUAGCAUAUGUGAUGAGAUAUGGGUAAGUCGUACAUGUCACUAUAGGUGACUUCGACUUGCGUGCUAGUAUGGGUUAUUAAUCACAUGAUUAUUGAUAUUACUGAUGAGAUGCUGUGUUGUGGUAUAUUUAUGAUCUUUCUGGAAACUAUGCAAGUGUUGUAACGAGGGGUUAUAAUGAGGUGUUGUAACGAGGGGUUAUAAUGUUUUAUAUGGUUUCUGUUAAAAUUUUAUUUCUAGGGUCACUCACCCUUAUUUUGUUUUCACCCUCUAGGUUUUAUUAGCUGAGCUUUCUUAUCGUCGAAGAUUCGUGGCGAUUCUUAGUAUUGGAGAUUAUUUCGAGAGUACGAUUCUUAAUUCACUUUACUGUACUUGCUUAAGCUGUAACGUCACGUGUGAAGUGGGUUCAUUUCCGCUUACCAGCGCAUUCUGGUAUUUAGGCACUCUUAGGUUUAAAUUUAUUCACAUUUUUCCACAUCAUCAAACUUUAUGGCUUUGUCACUCUUUAGGUGUCGGCCAGCACAGCUCGAUUUGGAGUCCUAGUGGACAUUCCGGGUCGGGGUGUGUCACAAAUGAAGAGGAUGGUUGAACUUGUUAAGUUUCUUAAGUGUGUCUACUUGAAGUGUGUUGCUAAUAAAUAUUUUGUUGUAGGCAUAAUUUACUGAACAAUUAUGGAGGCAGAGAGAGAGAGAGGGAAUAUGCGGCAUAGAGAGAGAAGAGAGAGAUGUGUAAUUGUGAGGUGUGUUCUAUUCCACCCCAUUGUACCUUUAUUAUAUUAGUAGGGAAAGUUAAUUCCUUACCCUUUUAGGAUUACAACUCUAAUAGGAAAAUAUCUAGUCUAAGAGAUAUGAUAGAAUCUCAUAAGGAUAUCCUAGAUAUGUUAGGAUUUACACAAUCAUAUUCCUAUUCCAAUAAGACUGCAACACAUUUGUAUUUUUUUAGAAUUUUUUUGAUAAUUUGUUGGUAUUCUCAAUUUUUGUUAACAUUGAAAAUAUAACGGUUCAGAUGAAAAACCUUUGGAAAUCCAACAGCUUGCAAGACGUUGGGCUGUGCUGAAGGAAGCUGGGCUGUCACGUGGAUGGGGCCCUCCCUCUCCCUCUUGUUGAUUCAAAGGGCGCAGGCCCGUGCAACAAUUGGCGAGGCAGCCCAUAGAGAUCCUGCGAUUCACCCAUUCGCCAUUUUUUCCACCGCUGGAGCACCAAAAUUCGGUCAAAAGGCAGGGGUAUCAAUGGCAAGGGCAAUUUGGCUUCCGCUGGAGGUGCUCUUUGUCGACUUUGUUUUUUCUCUCAUUUUAGCUUUUGCAGUAAUAUUGAAGUAAUCACUCCAAUUUUAUCCAAACUUUUGUUGUCCGUCAAUUUUUAUCAAAACUAUUGGUUAAUUUACAUAUUCAGACUAACCUUCUCAUUAUUUUUAGUAUUUUUAUCAUAAAUAAUAUCUGAAAUAGUCACAUUUUAUUCAACAACCACUCAAUUAAAAAUUAAUUAGUGUUGUUUCUAAACCAUUACAUCAAGCUUUUGUAGAUACACAUCAAUAUUGCAGCGAUCCGAGGCAUUGUUUUAGUGACGGUAGUACUUUCUACUCCUUGGAUUUGGUGAAUCGGAAAAGAGAAGAGUUACGAGUAAAAGUCCCUCGCAUUGUUUUGGGGAGAUGAAGAUGAUGAUCUUUUGUUUUUGUUUUUUAAUGAUUAAUCCACGCAGCAACAUAUAAUUAAAUUGUUGGGAUCUACUCAAGUUCCAUAUCACACACUAACAUAAAAUUUGACAAACGAAACGAAAUAUGUGUGUAGACAUCGAAAUUUCGUAAAUAAAUGUUGACCGAUAAAUCAAAGUGUCAACGCUCAUGUAUUACAUAAAUUUUACACGUAGCGUGUGACUCAACGAAAAUUGAAAUGAGUUGGAAAAGUCAUCAAAUAGGACACGUGUCAACACCUGGCAGAAACGACUUAUUUCAUCUGGGAUAUUAUAUUCAAAAUUAGCCAUUGGAAAAUUCUAUAAAUACAAGCCCAUUUCAUUCAUUUAAGGAGAGGAAUUCAUAUUACACCUUGAAGCUCUGAAGCUCUGAAACUCCGAAGCUCUCAAGCAUCCAGGUUCCCGAAGAAUCAAGAAAGUGUUCUUCGUUCUUCGUUCAUCGUUCUUCCAAGAUCAAGCCUCGACGGCCCUUGGAUCAACAAUCAUCCACCUUCAAGAUCAAGCCCCGACGGCCCUUGAAGAAAGCGUUCUUCGUUCUUCGUUCAUCGUUCUUCCAAGAUCAAGCCCCGACGGCCCUCGGAUCAACAAUCAUCCACCUUCAAGAUCAAGCCCCAAAGGCCCUUGAAGAACUUCCACCAAUUCAAGAUCAAGCCCCGACGGCCCUUGAAGAAAGCACCAUCGUUCAUCAUCCGUUCAUCCAAGAUCAAGCCCCAACGGCCCUUUAGAUCAACAACGUCGACAAAUCCACACAUCCAACCGUUCUUCAAGAUCAAGCCCAAAAGCCCUUGAAGAUCCGUUCAUCACUGUUCUUCAAGAUCAAGCCCAAAAGCCCUUGGAGAUCCGUUCAUCACUAUUCUUCAAAGAUCAAGCCCAAAAGCCCCUUUGAAGAUCCGCUCAAAUCCACCUUCAAGAUCAAGUCCACGGCCCUUGAAGAACGUUCAUCCUUAGAUCAAGCCCAACGCCCCUUUGGAUCAAUCGCACAUCCACAAAUCAACACCUUACGGAGAUCGAAUCAGAGGAUCAAAAUAGAGAGAGAUUGUAACCCAAAAUCAUCAAAUACAAAUAUUUGUUUGUGCGCGUUGUUCUUGUCUCUUUCGUUUCAGGAAUUUUCCGUGUUCACAAUGUGCUCUUGAAAUCAAAAUGAGGGCACUGCUCCAAGAACAAGAAGGGCACCUUGUCGAGGUCGCCAUCCGCCGUGAGGGAAAACCGGAAGAAGUUGGACAACAAUGAUAACAUCAAUUUGCGGCACCCAUAUCGGGACAUCACACUGUGAAAUAAAUAUUGAAAUAAAUACUCAAAACUCCUGGAAAGUCCUCGAGACAACAAACUUUCAUCUCCUUCAAACAUUUCAUUUUACUAAGUUUUAUCUUUGAAGGGAGGGAAAAAAAGAGAAGAGAGAAUCCUACUCCUUAUUCCUGAAUAUAUUCAAGAAUAGCUAUUGAAUAAAGAGAGAAUGGAGGGUGAUCGAAAGAGGAGGGAAGAGAAUUCUAGUUCCAAACAUAAAAAGGACCACAACUUUUAAAUUAUCAGCACAAUCAUCACCUAAUUGAAGAGACCAUUCACUGUGAAACAUAUUGUCAAUCAGUCUAUCUAUAUCUAUUUAUAUACCAUAUUUUUAGAGUAAGAUUCUCUCACCUCCUAUUACCAUCCCCUUCCAUCCUUUCAUCUCAUACUCUUUUUUUGUUGUCUUAUUCUCUAUAUAAAAAAAUUCAAAACAAGAUGUAUACGUGACGUAAUCGUAACCGUUUAAAUAAGAGGGGAUAGAAGAGAAGAGAGAUUAGGAGAAGGGAGAAUCCUACUCCCACAUUUUUCUUCUUCAUAAACAAAAGAGAGGUUCUAGAUUACUUGACUCUAUGCCUCAUUUUUUUCAUCAAGUAUUUGUGAUAAGUGGGUUCAUUUUCAAGUAUUUUAGUUUUUUUGUCAAAAUUGAGAAAACUGAAAAUCAAACAUUAAUAUGAAAAAUUAAAAAAUCAACAUAUAAUUAUUUAGAAAUCGCAAUAGAAAAGAAAAAAAAUGGAGGUUUGUGAUGAAAAAUCUUUUAUACUAAGUAAUUUAGUAUCCUUAUGCAUGAAGAUAAAUCAAUUUGUUCGUUACGGUCAUACUCUUUUUUGAAUUUUUGAACACAUUCUCCAUAGGGCCUUCUUAUAUGUUCCUUCUCCAAGCUCGGGUUAUGGAAGAAGUAAAAGAAGGAAUCGAAAAGAAAGUAUUGGUAACAACCGAUUUCAUUACGAGACAACUCUUGAUAUUCAUAUCAAUCUAUUAUGUACCUUUGCAUCUAGCAUUAGACAAUAAUUGUCAUAGCUUUACCAUAUUUUUUUGUUUCAUUUCUUCUGAAACAAUCUCACACACUUUUUUAUUAUGUGUCUACUACUAGGAAUUCAAUACGUAAUCUUAGCAUUCAAUAGUUAUUCCUAAAUAAUUUCAAUUUUCAAAUGAUCAACCAUUUCAUUUUACCAAGUUCAAUCAAUGUUAGUCAGAUUAGUCAACAUUUAUAUAUUUUGAUGCAACAACAAGAUGUUAUUUGUAACAAGUGAUUUUGUUAGUUGGUUAAUUGGUCACAAGUUAAUGUUCGGUUCAGUUUAGUUUUUCUCUCGAUUUUUUGUGAUUCGGUUUUUUCAAUUCUCUUUAGGGUCGGUUCGGUUUUGUUUUUUUAUUUAUACUUGAAUUUUAUUUUAAUUUAUUUUAAUUUAUUUUAUUUUAAAUCUGGAAACACCAAGAACAACACAAGCACAUAGUCAAUCAAACAACUAUCCUUCUCCACAAAUCAUAGUAAUAAUUACAUUCAUUGAGCUGAAAUGCAAAUAACUAACAAACUCACAAAAAUCAAAUAAAAACUACAAAUUGCUUACUCUUUUUCUUUGGGUUUCACUCGAAAAGUGUCGGUAAAAUUUAGGGUUUGCAAGAACGCAACUGAAAUCUAAAACGGAGGCCUUGUGGCCUAUGGGUUGCUAUUGAGUUCCAGUACAGAGAACCUUGCUUAAUCUCGAUCACGGUACAAAGUAUCGAGUACCUUUAGCACUGUAUUUUGGUAUGAUUGGUAGAACCAAAUUAAAAGCUAACAUCAACAACAACUACCAGAGACAAAAGCUCUUAUCAAUGCUUUGGAAACAUUUAUGUAUCUCCAAGUGUAAUGAUAUAAUUGGUUGGAAACUUGUGAUUUCGUAUCAAAUCAAUAAAAAGUUACAAUAUUGACAAUAUAUUAGCAAUUUUUAUGUUAAUUAUGAACAAGUCAAUCAUGUAGAACCAAAUUAAAAGCUAACAUCAACAACAACUACCAUAGACAAAAGCUCUAAUCAAUGCUUAGGAAACACAGUCCUGUAUCUCUAGGUGUAUUGAUAUAAUUGGUUGGAAAUUUAAAAGAAAAAUGGUGAUUUUGUAUAAAAUUGAUAAAAAGUUACAAUAUUGACAAUAUAUUUGACACACCCCGACCAAGAUCAAGGCAUGCUGGCCGUCACAUGAGAGUGACGUAACCAUGUGCACAGUGCGGAAGCAAUAAUGAUAAGAAAUAUAUGAAUAAUUAAAAACCGAAUCUACUAGAGUGCACUACUAAACAGGAAGUAUUAGGAGUAAGAUACAAAAGUAAAUACUCCUAAUCAGAGCAUAGAAAGUCUAGGUGCAAUCCAGUAGGACAAGUACUAAUUAUACAGUAUAAAAUGUCUUACAAUUAUUUAGAUAGGUCAGAACCGCCGAAGUCCUCACACCCAACAACUGCAAACUUACUUAAAACCUGAAGGGGCGCAAAAUAGAAAACGUGAGUGGGAAAAAACAAAUGUUUUACAAAACCAUUUCAUUUAUCAAUAUAUCUAACCCCUCGCUGUAAACAUGUAUAAUUUUUCCCAGAAUCAAGAUAUAAGCAUAUACAUAAAUAUAUAUAUAAAUAUAUCAAUUCAAAUCAUGCUUCACAUAAUCAUAUUCAUAUGUAUGUCAUGCCAAGAUAUAACAGAGUAAGCAACUCAGGUAAGAGUAAUUUCAUAGAAAUAUAACAUGUUAGCCGGAACCCCUGUAGUAGUCUGUACGGCUGAAUUCAUAGCUCAAAAGUCAAUCUAGCCGAAGUCACUACAAUGACCUAUACGGCAAUAUACUGCACAAGAGUCGGAACCAAAUGAAAAGAUCUGUACGACAAUAAUGGGUGUUGUUGAUGCACAAAAUCAGUGAGGACUUUGGUACAACAGAAAGUGUUAAGUUUGUGACAUUCUCUAGAUUACUCCGAUCACUAGUGUGGAUAAGUAUGUAAAUGGAUAAAGACAGGGAAGCAAACACAAGAUGUACGUGGUUCACCCAGAUUGGCUACGUCCAUGGAGUAAAUGAGUUCUUAUUAAUUGUGAAGGGUUUACACAAGUAUAUAGGUUCAAGCUCUCCUUUAGUGAGUACUAGUGAAUGAUUUAGUACAAAUGACAUUAGGAAAUAUUGUGAGAGAAUGAUCUCUAUUUAUAGAAGAGAGUUUCUAGUUUCAUUCUGACAUUGACACGUGUCAUGUUGUGAUUGGCUUCUGAUGUUGACAUGUGUUGCACUAUGAUUGGCUUUAGAUGUCAACAUGUGUCGCGUUGUGAUUGGCCUCCUGGUUUGAGGGAAACUCUUCUGGCUCCUUGACGGUAUAACGUUGAUCGAUGCUCAGUAGUUUCGGGAUUGGUCAAGUAUGGUACAAACAGGUGUAAUAUAAUCAUACUCAAUACUACUCUCACAUAAUAGCUGGGUGAUAAAUCGCUAGUCACCUAUGAGUCAGAACGAUAAUAAAGGUCUGUACGAAGACUGUGCACCUAAAUUGGAUCCAAUAUGACCAUAUGGUGCGGGAUGUGACAUUAUAUACAGGCUUGUGCCAUCACUGGCGGAGCUACACCCACGGCUACAGUAGGCUGUAGCCUAGGGAGGAUUUUAACAAACUGCUGGUAUAAUAGUUUAUAUAUGAGUUUGUUGUUGCUUAUUGUAUGUAUAAUAGCCCACAUAAAUCCUGCCAAAAUUAUUAGUUAAUGUGUUUCUUAAUUUAUAAAUAAUACUUUUAUUACCUUUUAUUAUUUUAUUAUUUUUAGGCUAAAAGUAAAAAUGGUAAAUUAAUACAUAAUUAGGUUUCUCCUAUUCCCCAUGCUUUUUACCUAUUCGUUCAAAACAAAAAAAUUAAACCCUCUACCCUAAGAAAAGAAAAACUAUGAAUCACCAUCAAAUUAUUUUCUAAUGAAAUUCAACACUAGAUAUGCUCUUCAUGUCUUCAUUUAACCUAUUUCUUGAUUCAAUUGUUCAUUCCAUAUAUCUACAGCACGACUUGAAUUGGUAUCCCCUAACCUUUUUUCUUUUGGGUACUUGUUAUCAACAAAAGUGAUAAUAUUUGUUCUCUUUCUAUUGCUUUUUUGUAUGCAUGUUUUAUUUGUGUAAAAAUUAGUUGGAAAGUAAUUAAUAAACUUGUUUGGAUUAUUAGUACUUCAUGUUCCUACUUUUAUGUAGAUUACUAUAUAAUUUUAUGUAGGCAAAAAAAAAAUUCAUAAGAUUAUAUGCUAAUGAUUUUAGUUAGCCCACCCAAGAAAAAUUUUCUGGCUCCGCUAUUAUGUGCCAUAACUCUGGCAAAAUCACAAUCACCCUAAGUGCAGUUUUAUGAGUUCAACGUUAUUCUAUCACAUAUCACAUCAUCGAUAAUUCACAUAACCAAACAUAACUCACAUGAGCUUACCUGAGCGUCCACAGUACCAUAAUUAUAUAUAAUGCAUCAUAUACGAAAUAUAAAUUCAUAUGCAUGGCAUUUAAGGUAUACUUUCAUUUAAACACAUAUUUCUGGGAAAAUAUCAAGUAUAUAAAUAUAUACUGAAAACCAAAAGCCCACUCAUUGGUAUGUCGAAGGGUCGUAGCCCCCGAGUCGCCUUUGAAUACUCUCGUCCUCGUGAUAAGUCUCACCUAUAUGCGAAUUAACUAUAAAAACGUUAUUUUAGAGCACAUACAAAAAAUUAGCUAAUAACUCUCAUACAAUGCUCAAUUUUUGUAUUUGAAUAUAUCACAGUGACCUACACAACCUCAAGAUCAUCCCUAAAUUUUUACAAUAUUUUUCUGACCCCUCACGCGCUGCCACGCACCGGCAAGGGCAACGCCUUACUCGCCCCCACGCGCGGCCACGUGACAAGCAUACUGAUGGCGUCAAUCAACAUCAUCAGGAAUAUUCUAGGGAAUAUUCUGUUAAAACCCAAUGGUAACUGUUAAAGAUGACUGACGGCAUGAGCAUAUUCUGUCAACCUUGACGGAAUAUACUCCUUUCUUCUCCGAUGAGUCGUCGGUCGCCGGCGACUUCGCCGAUUUCUUGGUAAAACUUUAAAUCGCUUAUUCUUCUUCGUUUCUUCGCCAUUUUUCAUGAAAUUGGUACCAAAAUGAAGCUAAUAACAUGUAGAAUCACUUUGUAUAAGUUUCAAGGCUUAAAAUCUACUAGUUUUUCCCUGAGAAAGCUCGAUAGUUCGGCUUACCUAGAUAUGCGUCGAUCUCAGCCCUCCGACGUCCAAUUCCUUCCAACGAAGUACCCCAAGACUCGUGAGGACCUCCUUAAGCUUCCUAUAAGCUUCAAAUUCCCUGAAACACAAGAUUUUACGUAUGCAUGAACAAUGCACAAAGUCGGAGCUAGGGUUUCCACGUGAAAUCGAAGGUUUCCUUACCUGAAAAUGGUUCCUUUGAAUUCGUAUGGUUCUCACGAACACAAUGGUGAUCUUAAAACCUUCGAUCUACAAGGUUUAAGAGGGUUUCUGGGUUGGUCCGUACGAAGAAGGGAGAGAGAGAAUGAGAAUCUGCGAGAGAGAGGGCACGGGAAGGAAAGAGAAAUAAGAUAGGUGUGUGUAUGGUCCAAAAGCCACCAAUCAAAACUAAGAAAAGUCUUAGUUGUAAUUGGGUCACCAAUCUAAAACAAUUUAACCCAAUAAUAACUUACACACAUCAUUUAACAUCCGAGGGUAAUUCCGUCAUUCUACGUCAUCGAGAAUAAUCUUCCGGGACGGGCUGUGACAAUAUCAGCAAUAUUUAUGUUAAUUAUGAAUAGGUCAAUCAUGUAUUUAAUACUUAAAUGUAUUUAAAAUAAACACCUUAUCAAUGUUUUCUGAACUGUGCUCGAUUUUUCUCCUUCGCUUUGGUUCUGUCCCAUUGGAUUUUUCAAGCAAGAUUUUAUCAAGGCAACUAUCAUUAACUGUGAACAUAAUUUAUCAUUGAGACACGAACAUCCAAGGGGGAGUGUCGUGGAAAAAAAUGUAGAUAUCUUUAUACGUUGUAUGGUAGUAAACCAUCAUAAACACCAUAAAUAUGUAGAAACGCCCUUGCGGUACCUUUGAAUGAUAACUCAUGUAUUUGUUGCCCUAUGUAAAGAUGGCUAAUGAUAAUGGAAGACUAAUUUUCUCAUCCCAAUCUCUCCUGUCUCUCUUAUUCUCUUUUCUCUAUAUUUUAUUUCCAACAAGUUGUGUUUUUUUUUUAGUAUUGUUAAGCAACCCAAUAGAUUUUAAUCGUAGUCUUUGUUUUUUUUCUUUUAUAUUUUUAAUCAAUUUCAGUUGCUUAUCAGUUCUAGCUAAUUGAGCUCUUUUACAGCAAUUUUUUUCUUUAAAUAAAAUUAUUAUUAUUAAAAAGAGUGAGAAAAUUCGAAAUUGUUACAAUAAUUUAAAAAAAAUAGGAGUUUCAAAUCAUGAAGGUAGAGGGAGUUAACAACAUUUUAGGGGGGGGUGUAGUCAAACUAGGAUUUUGAAGGAUUUUAAAAGUGAUAGAUUUGAUAGGAUUUAAGAUGAUUAAAGACUCUUACAAAAUUCAUAUGGAUUUUAAAGAAUAUGAAUGGAUUGCGGUGGAUUGUGGGGGAAGGAUUUGAAAUCCUAGGGGGUGAGGUUUGAUUCUUUUUAGUUUUGGUUAUAUAUGGUAUGCUUUCAAAUCCCAGAAAAUCCACAACUUUUUAAAAUCCUUUAAAAUCUUAAUUUUUUUAAUACACUUAGAUUUGGAUGGAUUCUAAAAUCCUUUAAAAUCUUUUAAUUGACUACACCUAGAUUUGAAUGGAUUCUAAAAUCUUUUAAUUGACUACACCUAGAUUUUAAUGGAUUCUAAAAUCCUUUAAAAUCUUUUAAUUGACUACACUAUGAUUUUAAAGUCUUUAAAAUCCUCUCAAAUCCAAGUUUGACUACACCCCCUAAAGAUUUUAAGGAAAACUAAUGAAAAUGGCUUGAAAACUUUGAGUUUUAACUAGGGGUGGGCAAACGGGUACAGGAACCGCGGGUAGGGGUGGGUAAUUCAAGUUCGGGGCAGGUAUGGGACAUGUCCAAUAUUUCUAAACACAAAACGGGGCGAGGCUGUUCGGGUAUAUGAAAUUAUCGGGGCGGGGCGGGUCUUAAAAUAGAAGGGAACGGGCCCCCAGCCUGACCCGUUUCUUUUCCUCAUCCCUAGUCUUCUCUAUCUCUCUUCCCCGACACUUUUCAUUUCACUCAAACCCGGCCCAUUUCUUUUCCUCAUCAGUCAUCCCUAGUCUUUUCAAUCUCUCUUCCCUAACUCCUUUCAUUUCACUCGUACCUCGAGACCUCCUCUUAACUCGCUCCCAGCCUCCCACCGUCCUAGCUCCGUACCUCGCCAUCAUCAUCGUCAGACCUCCAUCUCUCCUGAUUUACUCAUGUCUUCCUCGCUGCGUCCGCCGCCAUGUCUCUCUUUCUGUGACGAACUUAAAGGGACGGACGAAGUUGAACAACUCGAAACGACGCCUCUUCUGUCUGAAUUAGACCCAUAUUUGCAGCGCACGACUCUGCUCAUAGUCCUCUUCGGUUUUAAGGUAUUACGUUUUAGAGAUUUAGGAUUGAAAAUUAAAUUAGGGUUUUCUAGAUUUAGGGAUUUUGUUGGGUUCUUGAACCUUGACCUCUGUUAUGUUCCAAUUUCAAAUAUAUAUUGAAUUGAAUUUGAAUCGACUGUGUUUGAAACUUCUGUUGAAUUAAAUUGAAUUUGAGCAGGAGAAGAGGCAGAUGUGGGUUGGGCAAUGUCGAAUCUCAUUGUGGGUGGUGAGGUGGGCAUGGCGGGCGACAAUAUUGACUGGCAAUGGUACGGGCGGUGCUAUUAAGUUGCAGAAGAAUACGAAGGAGGGGGUGUGGGCAUGGGUGGAUAUCGCAAGCUCAAUUGAAUUUUUUCUGGUUUUGUUUGUGAUUAAUUGCUUGUAUAUGAUAGUUAUUGAUGGAUCUUGACAUGCCCAUUUAAUUGUUAUUGGCAAUGCUAGUUUGAUUGUAACAAAUUCAAACCGAUUGAAUUGUAUCCCAGAAAAAAAAAUCAAUAAAGGAACUGAGGACCCGGCCCGAACCAGCCCAUUUCAACCGGGCCAGGUUAGGUUCGGUUCUUAUAUUAGAAAAUGUUGUUCCCGGCCCGUUUCUCUUAAGCCCGGAUCCAGUCCGAUCACUUCGAAAUUGGCCCCAACCCGGCCCGGGCCCACCUCUAGUUUUAACGAUAAGGACAAAAUAAAGGGUAAAGUGAAUAGUACCAAGUUUGACUUUUUAGUGUAAAAAUGUAAUUUUUCGUUAAAAUAAGAUUUUAAUGGAUUCUAAAAUCCUUAAUUAAGAAAUUAGGCUUCAACCCAACUCAUCUUUGCAACGCCGGUUCCACUUCACAUCAACAGGCAAUGUUUUCUCCUCAACAAAUAGUAUUCUUUUAUGAGACAAAGACUAAUGAGGGUGAUAUAUAUAAUUAAUAAUAAUACUUGUGUUCCCUUUGUGAGUGAAUGCACUUAUUUUACCAUUCUCUAAUAAUGUAUCUUUAUUAUAUAAAUUUAUAUCAUGUGGAUAUCUUCCUAUAAAAAAGUUAUUCAAAUUGGAAAUCCUUACGUCAUCAAAAUAUAUAAAAAAAUGGACGAUCUCAUCGUAAAUAUGUUAGUUACUCACACUAUAACUUUGUAUAUUCCCUCACGUAGGAAACGCAAUAAUUAUCCUCUAAUUAAUUCUUCUUGAGAGUAGAAUUUUUAUUGUUGGUUUUUCGCAACCUUCAGACCUAAAGCUGAUAUGGACCUCUCAUUGUUUUUUGGGUUGCCGUUCUUAUUUUGCUUGGUCCUUUUACCUUUUCUAUAGUUGUUUAUCUAGUUCUUUUGAGCCUCGUACUAAUUUUUAAUGUAAUGAAAAUUAUCUUCGUGAUAAAAAAAAAAAUCAUUAGUCCUCGUAUGAACAUGCGAUGUAACACACUUUCAUGGAACAACAGAUGAUAAAGACGAUAUCCAAAUUUUCUCUGUGUUAUGUGGACUUUCCCAACCAAAUAAAUAAUAACCAAUAAACAAAUAAAUAAGAGUUUAACUUCAAACAUUGAGAAGCGAAAUUCCAACACUACGAGCCUAACUUUUGUCUUCAUCAUCAUCAUAGACUAGUCUCCUAUCCAUCAACUCCUACAUCAAUUUUUUUUUUUACUAGAUUGUAGCUCACUUUCAAAAGAGUUACGUAAAGUAUUUAAGCACCAUAAAAGAAAAUUAAACGACAACGAUUGACAUAAUAUUAGUAGUAUCAUGGUCUAAAAUAUUCAUAAUAUCUUGAUAUUUUUAUUGAAAUUUUCGUGUUUUUAGACUACCUAUAUUUUCAAUAUCAUCGAUAUUUUAAACCUUGCUAAGUCACUCAUGUAUCUUACCAUGCAAUGUAUAAAGUGUAAAAUAUUGUACUAAUUCAUUAUAUAUAAAUGAUUAUAGUGUGUUUAAACUUCUUUCAUUAAUUACUACAUAUUUUCUACACUCACAAUGUUUGCCAGCUCGCUAUAUAAUCAACUUAAAUCAAUUAUAUCUAUCAUGUAAUGCAUUUCCUUCCAAUUUUUUGUGAUAAACUAAUAGAUAAUUGACUAAAUAAACAUCCUGCAAAGUUUCAAUAAAAAUUUCCAAGUUUUUCUUACAAUUUCCGUAGUUUUUAUUCAAUUUUUAUCGAUAUCGAUAAUAUCCCGAUAUUUCCAUCGAAAUUUCCGUAUUUUUAGACUACUGAUAUUUCCGAUAUCAUCGAUAUUUUAUACCUUGGUAGUUAUACAUUUUAUCGGCCUCAUUUUUAUGCAACUUAUACAUUAAAUUAUUGUCAAAAUGUACAUAUAAAGUAGCUGAUCAACGAUGAGAUUUUAGGCAACCAUUUUCUUCUACGACGUCAAAGGUUGUAGAGGUGGCCAUGUGCACUACAUGCGUAAAUCAACUAGGGACUUGGAUCCUCUCUUAAGCCCAAGGAGAGGAUCCUCCUAACCAAAUGACUUGGAUUGUUGGAUGAAAAUCUAACGAUUACAAACAGAUGAUCUCUUUAAAGUUAUAAUAUUUAUUACCGUUGAAUUUUCAUCAAACGGUCAAAUAUCAUUGGUCAAAAGGGUCCUCUCAUUGGGCUCAGAGAGGACCCAAGUGCAUCAACCAGAACUAUUGCUAUUAUAACAAUUCAUGAAAUCAAUUAAACAAUAAUUUUCCUUCUGGCAGGCAUGUUAGUUAUUUCUUAUUUGGCCAAUUGCCUAGUGGAUUUGGUAGAUUUAACCUCUCCACCACAAACACAUUUAAAAAUUUCCAGAAAUCCGUAACGUAAAAUUUAAAAAUAAAUAUUAAUAACAGCAAGUUCUUUUCACCGACCGUGACCGAGAUCUGUCACAUAUCCAAAAUGUCACCUCCUUAUCGCAAAAACCAAAUUUGACUUGGGAUAAAUACCGUGUACAAAUUAAACGCGUUUCUCUAGCUUUUGCGUAAAGAGGCAACCCAACACUAAACUAGGAAAACGUUGGGUUGACAAAGAUACCAUGAAGAAUAAAGGGGUUAUGCAAUCCACUUUGCAAGAUAAUCAAAGUUUCCCGUUGUAGACUUGUCUUAACCCAACACUAAACUAAGAAAACGUUGCUUUCCCGUUGUAACAUGAAACAACAUUAAACAACAUUAAACAAUAUUAAAUAACAUUAAAUAACAUAAAAAUUAUACAACAUAAAAAAAACCAUUUAACAACAUAAAACUUAAAAUGCGUACUUCUUGCUUCUUGUGGCCUAAAGAUGUGCAACAAGAUCUUGAUGUAGGUACUUGUUUGUGGCACGAAAACGUAUCAUCCUAGCCGUUGGAUUUGAAUUUUUUUUGUUUUCGGCCAAAAAAUUUUAAAUUUAAAAGUUGAAGAUGGUGAGAAAUAUGAUCCUACACUGUUCAUUAAAAUAUUAAUUUCUUGAAUGACCAAAAGGCUAAAACAAGCCAUCCUUCGGUUGGAGAUGCCUAAGGAGAGACUAGAGAUAGAGAGUUUCCUAUAUAUGAUUUUCAUUAACAAGAUUGAAAUGAUUUCAGAGAGAAGAUCAAGUAUGGUUAUUUUUAUUUUGUAGAGUGUAGACAUUAUAACUAUACAUUCAUAAUAACAUGAGUAAUGUUAUAUUUAUCACAUUUGUACUCUUUCUCUGAUAAAGGUAGGGUUCAUCAACACAUGUGGGUUCUAUUUGCCCAUCAACACAUGCGGAUCUCAUUUUUAUUAGAAAAAUAGUACAAAUAUGGUACGGAAAAUAUGAUAAGAUCGCAAUUUUGUAAUAACAUAUAUACUCAACUAUUUAUAUACCGACCCAUCUCCUUUUAGUGUAGAUAAUAUCGUUUGUUAAAAAAAAUGUUGAACUUGUCAUAAUCAUUGAAUCCAUUUACCAUGAACAAACGGCAGUUUACUAAACUUGCCCUCAGAGUAUAUAUAAAAGGUGAAUCACAAUCUAUUGCAUUAAUAUAAGGAAACAAUUUAUAGGGUUUGACGGGUGACUUAAUAUGCUAUAUGGCACAAUGAAAAUUAAGUUCACACUUUAUCCCAAAUAAGGUGUUGCACCUUUAAUUUAUGGAUGCUGGUUUGACGUGUGACCGAAAUAAUCAAAUUGUAGCCAUUAAUCAUUUUACAAGUAAUAAUAUGUAGUUUUUACUGUUUACGAUUCACACAACAAUCUGCUAGGAAGUAGAAAAUGCAGUACUUGUCCCUCUCACAGAAGUCAUGAAUAAUUAUCAAAUUCAAAGAUAAAGAAAAACCACACAAUUUACAAGAGGAAAGAAAAUGAAGGGAUAAAGAAAGUAAGAAAGGAAUACCUCUAUGGGAGGACUCUUAUUUGCUUCAGAUGCCUACAAUAUUCAUCAUAUAAACACUGAUUAAGUAGUCAUCGAAAACCAAAACAAAUGUCGAACAUAGGGUGAAAAACAGAAAGAAUAACCGCAGCUCAUCAUACCAAUAGAGAUAGAACUGCCCGAUGCCCAAGUAUGACUGAAAAAUGGCAAUCCAAACAUGGCGCCUUCUAGCUCAUCAAACUGUCAAAACCUAGGUUCCACCAAAAAGAUACAAGUCACCUAGUUACUUGUAAAAUAAAAAUCUGUUUCAAAAUAGUGGAAAAUAUUAUUAACAUUGUUCAAAGUCCACAUUGUUGUACCUACCAAGAAACAAGAAGGAUUGUAUCUUAUCAUGAAAAAGAACAUAGGUACCUUUUCAAUUGUAAUUGUACAAAAAUGAGAGACCACUUCCGAACUUCUCUUGGAACUUCAAUCAAUUUCUGCCCACUUUUAAAUGCCUUGACAUACUUAAGCCUAUUUCUUUGAGCUUCAGUUUUGGCUUCUGAUGCCUUUAAAUUUCUUAAAGAUUCUUACCAAGUUUUACAAACUCACUUCUAUACAACCAUUUGUCAGUAUACAUACCAUUUUCUUUGAGCUUCAGUCUUUGCAACACCAAAACCCCCCAAAUAGACCCGGAAUUUUGCAAUGUGCAGGGAAUAUACAAAAAAAACCCUCCUAUCCAUCUAAAACGAAAUCAGAACCCAAACCACAAUCAAAAUCCGUAAAAUUAAUUUAGCCAACCCUAAAUCUAAUAAUUCUAACAAAUAUUAUAGUAUCAAUUGAGAGAGAAUUUGAGAAGAUACCUAGAGAUGAAAGGAAGAGCGUUUCCUCUGAUAGGGGUUCCGUGAAAGCAUCUGUUGACCAGAAAAGAAAAGGCAAAAAACCCCAAAUUACAUAUCAAGCAAUUAUAGAUAGAUCGAACCUUGAAAAUUGAAAUUUCAAACAAGAGAAAGGUUAUAAACUUACAACGAUCUGGGUGUUGGUUACUGGGUUUGGAUUUGGGUUUCUGAUAAGAGAGAGAAUCGUAUGAGGAACCGAUAGAGGAACUGCACCGGCAACAGAGAGCAACUGAUAUGGUGGAGAAUAGAGAUGGGCAAAAUAUCCCGGUUAUCCGCCCAUUUAAAGUUCACAGUUACGGUUAUGGUAAUUGAACGGUUAUGGGUACUACCCGUGGUUAUAACGGGUAUCUAUUGGUUAUGGGUAUUAUCCGCGGUUAUAACAGGUAUUCAUUUACCCAUUUAAUUUCAUAUAUGUAAAAUUUAUAAUAUUUUUAACAGUUAUAACGCGUUUUUGUAUUUGUUGCCAAACUUUUCGUAUACAAAAAAUUUGAAGCACAAGAAGCCAACAAGGAGAAAGAUCAAAGAGCUUACUUGAAGCUUAUGAUCUAUCCUGCGGUUAAUAGAAAGUACUGGUAUUAGUGUAGAAAAAUGUUUGUUUUUAGAAGCUUUAUUUUGUAAUCAUAUGAAUUAUAAUUAAAGACUUGCUUGGGUGUAGUAAAAAAAUAUCGUUUGUAAACUAUUAUUUCAAUUAUUAGAAUUGUAUGAUGACCUAAAUGAUUAAAAUAGAGAAAUGCAUGCUAAAAUGUAUUUAUAACAGUGUUUAAUUGUCAGAUUUUUUUUUUUUUUGUAAUUUUCAAGUUGUUAAAAAAAACAUGCAGAGAGGUGAAAAAAGGGAUUAAAAAAUGAUAAACGGGUUCAAAACGGGUAAACGGGUAAAUGAUUAUGGUUAAAUAGGUAAACGGUUAUGGGUAAAUGGGUACACGGUUAUGGGUAUGAGUAUAACCGUUUAUGCAAUUACCCAACGGGUAAACGGCUAUGUGGGUAUGAACAUAAAUGGUUAUGAGUAAAUAACCGCGGUUACCCGCCCGCUAUAACCAUUGCACAUCCCUAAUAGAGAACAUACGAGAAUAGCCGCUUGGAUGGUCAAUCCAAGAAGAGAAAAUCUUGCCACAAUCACGGUACUUGAAAAAAAAAACAAUUUUAAAGGAGGGAAACAAUCGCGCCUUUUUUUUAAUAGACUCUGUCGACGAUAUUCUUGACAAAUAGUCGGGUGAGCUUAUUUUUCACAACAUUUUAUUUAGGACUAGGUUCGGUUGGCAAAUCGUGUCAAAUUUCUUGUGCCAUUUGCCAGCCACAUAUACAUAAUUACCAAAAAUCAGUUACCGUUCGCCAACCAUCUUCUUGCGGUUGCCAAAAAUCGGUUCAACCAAAAUGAUUGGCUGGUUCGGUUGGUAAAUGGCACAACCGGUGGUUUCCACUUCUUCCUCGCUAUCUUCUAGUUGCAAGGGCUCAAUUUGAUUUUCAGAUUGGGAUGCUUGUUCGGUUGCAUUGUGUGGUUCAUUUUGGGUUAAUCCAUGUUGUGCACUAGCAAUUAAUUGGCUAGACUCCAUCAUCCUAAACAUAAGCAACACAUAUACAUUCAAAAUCAUAUAUAUGUACGUGUAUAUAUAGUAUCAGUAAUCAUCAUGUUAUCAAUUUUGUUAACAAUAUUUUCUAUAUUGAUUAUGGCAUGAAUCAUAUACAUAUACAUAUAUUUUUUAAACCCUAAAACUAAGGAGUUAUUUAUUUUCUAAGCCCUAAAAUUGAGGAGUCAAGCAUGUAAAAAAAUACUUAAAAUAUCUAAAUAGAAAAAGAAAAAAAAAAAAAAAAAUAUAUAUAUAUAUAUAUAUAUAUAUCGGUAGGUAUGGCAUACCGCCGACAUACAAAAUCAAUUACCAAAGCCAUGCCAUUAAUUGUCGGUUCGGUAAAAUGCCAACCGAUUAUGAAAAAAUGCCAAAACUAUACCAUACCAUUUUGAGCCAACCGGUAUGGUUCGGUCGGUAAAUCGGCUUAUGGCAAAAUUUCUCACCCCUAAUUUUAUUUGUCGCCUUAAACCUAUUGGUUUCUAGCCUACAAUUUGGAUAUUUUGUUGGGGAAAGAUUUUUGUACCAAUAAAAUUUUGCUUUGUCAGCUUAGGAUUUGUCGGCAAAAUGACAUUUUCUAGUCGUUAUAAUAUUAGGUAGAUCAAAUUUGUAAACUAUGUGAUGUGUCACCAAUAGGAAAAAAAUUCAGUGUGCUGAAAAUACAGUCUAGAACACCAAGUGUCAUAAUAUAUACUUGGUUGGAAAUUUUUUAUUUUCAAGUUUCCAACUAAUUGUAUUGUAACAGUUGGUGUUCCAAGCUAUUUUCUCGAUGCGUUGGAAAAUCUCUUCACCAAUUAAAAAUAAACAUAUUAAUUAACACUUAAGUAAUAAUCAAAGUAUCAACAACUACGUCAUAAAAUUUACGAAAUAUGAUCUUAAUUAAUGAUCUCCAUGGCAUUACCCUUUAUCUUAGCGUAUACGUACGCCUUCACAUGUUUAUUUGCUGAUAUGCAGCUUGAGUAAAAAUUUCUUUUUAAGAACAUAUAUGUGAAUAUAAACAUAUAUAUCUAGUGAUCCAUGUUGCGUUAUUUAAAAAUAAACAAAUUAAUUAAUUAAUAAAUGAACUGUGUGCAUGUCUGUGUAGAGUAAUCCAUAUGCAUGCUUGAAUCCUGAUCACCACGAAACCAUAAUAUAAGCUACUCAAGGCCCGGAAGCUAGGAUUGAAGAGAAAAACACCCAGUCAGAUUAAGCCAAUAUAUCAAAGUUAAUACUUCGAAAUGUAAGCUUUAAGAUAGAAAAAUCACUUACUACCUUGAGCAGUCGAGCUUCUUCAAUGGCAUGAAGCUUUUAGCAUGAGAUUGACUGCAUCACAACUAAAAUUUUCUCUUGGAAACUACAUAAGGAAUAGCAUGUAUACCUAUAACGUUGAGAAAGUACGCCAAUUUUUUCCUUCUGCACAUUCAUGUUUAAAAGUAAUCCUCAAAUGAACUUGCCCACAAUGAAAUGCAAUUUGAGGUAGUCGAGUGUGUUCCAUUUCCAUUCCAUGGGAAUUACUACUAAACUUUGAGAUGGUAAAGGAUUCAUGAAAUUUUUUACUUUUGAGAUAGCCUCUUUAACAUUUCUCGACUAUAACAAUGAGGGAAUACUUCACCUUGUAUCAAACAAGGGAGAGCGAAAAUCAACUACUAAUAGCAUCACAGAGCCAGCAGAAGAUUGAGGAGGCCAUGAAGAGGAGAGAGAAAAUACACUCUUUUUUUUUGUAAGGACAGAGAUAAUACAUUCAGUAAGGGGUACUGAUGUUUAUAUGCAAUGCUGAUUAGGUUUAAAUAGUCCUAUUUAUUCUGUACAGUGCCAAUAUUACCACCCGUUAGUACACUUUCAAGACACUGUACUCCAGUGUGUGCGCUAUGCAGUACGUAGUACUCCUCAUUUUUUGGGGAAAUUCAUUAUUGGUCUUCAUAUCUUCUUUAUUUUCCUUUUCCUCAUUGUGCCACGUGUUUAAAUCACUAAUUGUAGGUAAUCUUUCAAUUUAAUUAAAUCUUAUGUAAAAAAAGAUAUUUAAAUAUCAUUUAGUAUUACAAGAUAGUGAUAUUCCUCUUUAGUAUAAAAUUUUUAUAAUUAAAAGCGUUCAGUUUUUUAAUCUUCAUUUGAAUACUAUCUAUAAAGAAAAAUUAUUCGAAUAAGAGAUCGUUUAUGCAUUCAAAUGUACAAAAUGCAUCGACAGUGUGAGAACGAAUUAAUAUAUUUUUGAUGAAGUACAAUUAUUGAAUACAUUUGAAUGAUCAAAUGAUAUAUGAUUCAAAAUACAUAUUAAGAUAAUAAAUAUAAGUGAAUUGUUAUUAGCACUCCAAGAAUCUUAUUAUACACUCUAAAUUUUCUAUAUUUUGAAUGAAAAAUAAAUUUAUGAAGAGUGUAGAAUGAGAUUUUUUAAUGCUAAUAACACUUCUCUAAAUAUAAUUAUGAAAUUAAUAAAGUAAAGAUACAUGACCUCGUGAAUGAUGUAUGUAUUAUUCAAAAAAUUAUUAAAAACAAAUUGAAAAAGGACGCUGUUGUUGCCACCACUUAUGCAAUGAUCGUCGCUGCCAUCACCAACCCCCAACACCCCAUUACAGCUCAUAAAAGCACAUCAUAAGCAAUUUAUGAAAUAAAUUUACUGGAAUACUAAUUUCCCCCUUAGUUUAGGUCACCAAUGUUUAAAUUUAGGGGUGUGAUAUGCACAUACCUUUUUUUGCUUCUCUCACACUUUUUUUGUUGUUGUCGAAUCAGAUGAAUUGAAGAAGAUCAAUUGACAGAAAUUAACAAGGGGUGUAUGAAAAGUAAAAAUGGAUGUGUAGAUAACACAUCCCUAAAUUUAUCACAACUUUCAUUCCAAAUUUAAUUUUUAUGCGUAGUUUUGUUUGUUCAAAUUUACUUUGACAUUUCAAUUAGUAUUAAAAUCUAAUUUAAAUUUUAGCGUUCAAGCUAGAAAAAGUGUUCCAUUUAAUAUUUAAUCUCAGUUUUUCUCUUUAUUCUUUUAUUCCGAUUUGGUUGCAUCGUAUCUCCAUUUUUCUCGGUGUUGUAUGUUCAUAAGGCCUGGGAAACGUUGGCACGGAGUGAAGGGUACUCACUUUUUGGCCCAAAAUGCAUAAGGCAUGUAGAUAUGUUAAUCAAAUUUUGUAAACUAAAGGAUAUAGAAGUUGAUACUUAGAUUAUAAUUUAAGAUAAUACUAAAGAGACUAAAUUUGCAAACUAAAUGAUGUGUCACCAAUAAAAAUAAGCACGUUUAUCAACGCUUAAGUAAUAAAUCAAUCAUCAACUUUCAUGUCCUUUAGUUUCCAAAAUUUAAUAUACAAAUUUAGUCUCCCAAGCAUUACUCUAUUACUUAAGUAUUGAUUAACAGACUUAUUUCUUAUGGUGACAUAUUAUUUAAUUUACAAAUUUAGUCAACCCAACAUUACUCUUUUGAAAUUGUCUUGUCCACUGAUAUAAUUCUAUUUUUCUUGUGAUCAAAACUUCAAAUGUUAGCAAGUCGCACGUAAAGUCACUUCUGAGAGAAUGUGCUCACAUUGUAGUUGAAAGAUUAUGUGGCUAGCAACAUUACAAAUUUAAUUUGGUAUAAUUUAAAAUAUAGAUUGAGGAAAAAAUGAUCACAUUAACUAGAAACUGAAAAGGUUUCAGCACAGUUUGUUCAAGCAAGAAACUCAAUUUUGAUGCUACCGAUCUUAACAGCCUGAGCGCCGUACCUGGGCACUAAAGUCACCACCACACUCUCAUCAUCUUCAGCACCCAAAUCCUCCAACAGGUCCGUUAACCCCAACCUUAAACAACUCUUGCUCUUUUCCUUCUGCUUAUGUGGAACACUCACAAAACUCCCAGCAAACUCGCUCUUGUCGGGUCCACUCGGUGCCGCAUCCUCAUCGUCCACGUCAUUCACAUACACAUCAAACUUCACAGCCACAUCUUUGUCAAGCUCAAUCCCCUGAAUCACCAGUAUCUCCUCCUCAUCCUCUUUCUCCUUCUUGCUCCUCUUCUUCGGCUUCGGCCUUGACACCACCGUACUUAUCUUUGUCUCCAAAUUUAUUGGAAAAUCUUUACCCGCCACCACCUUCCCCGAUGACGUCGUCUCAGCGGCCUUCGCCACUCCAGCCGCCUUUGCCUUUCUCGCAAGCUUUGUCCGACGUGGCGUCGGUCUAGACUUGAGCCAUGGAAUCUCAACAUCUUCAUACGUAUACCCUAGCUUUUUAUUAUCAAGAGUGUCCCUCACCGUGACCCUAACAAGCUCAGCAUUCUCGUCAUAAAACAAAAACCCCGUAUCCAACCAAUCCUUAUCGUUAAUAUCUUUAUUUUUAGUCCCUAUACUUUUCCAAAUAUUCCACAUUCGAUCUAUAUUCGAAUGGUGCGAAAAAAAUAUUGGAUCCCUUGCAGCGGAGUAAAAAUUCCCCAUGUCUUCAAAAUUAGGUUGCGUGUUAUCUCCGGUCCAUGUAUGAACCGGACCAUGUGGGGUCGUUUCGAUUGAACCGGCCCCUGGAUCUGGUUCGGUGCCAGCCCUGUAGGGCGAACCAAAGAACAACAGCGGUUUCUUGGAGUUGGAAACCAUCUGCCUAUACAUGAUUUUGAGGUUGGCGUCGAUUUGAGCAUCCUUGGACAUUGUUUCAUCCGUGCCGUUAAAGUCAAGAUCGAUGAGAGUCGGCGGCUGAUGGCUGGCAGCGCGGAGCUCGUCGUAAAGCGGAGAGUCCGGGUUAGCGAACAAGGCAGGGAGUUGCAUGCCAGCUGGCGCGUCCCAGUUCCAAAACGGCAACGCGAACGUCGGAUCGUCUAUGAGUUUGGCCAAGAUUCUUUCGUGGAAGUAUAGGUAGUAACGAUGGAAGGGGAAGAAAAGCCAGGAUUGAUGGAUUUGGAGCUCGAGGUUGGGGAAGCCGACUUGAUCGUACGCGCCGUCGCAAUAGGCACAGUGGAUAUCGGCUUGCUGGGUGAAGCUACGCGGAUCGUCGUCCGGGAGGGCUUUCAUGAGCUCGAUGGCUUUUGAAUAUUUUUCGAUGUAGGCUUUAUCCACGGUGUGAGCUGCCGGCCUGACGCGGAGUUUGGUAGGGGAGGGGAAUUUGAAGUCUACGAUUUUUUGGGACGUUGGCGGGCAACAGUUGGUCGGGACUGCUCCACUUGGAAAGUCCGCACCUCCGCAUUUGGCUAGGUCAGGCGGCGACACUGGCUUUGCAACAGCGAAGGGGUCGCUGCCAAGACCAGCCACUCCACCGUACAGGCUUCCGAGACCUAUAAGUACAUGUCUUCUGUCUAGGUUUACUGGAGAAAGGUUUUCAUGGUCGUGAUCGUUGGAGCUAGUGGAAGGGUUUUUGUUUUGGUCACUACUAUUAUUCGUGGCUUUGCAUGAGACGGCUUGUAAAUUGGAAUGCCUAGGGUUUUCAAAUAAGGAAAUUCGGUGAUACUUUUGGGAGAAAGGGAAGAGAGAAGUUGUGGGGAUGAUACUUGUGGUGGAGGUGACGAGUGGAGCUGACAUAGAAGCCAUGGUUACUUGACUCUGAAUACUACGUUGUAUAGGCUUUGCUUUUAUAAUGUGUUCUAGGUUUUACUUUUCUUUGCACAGGUGGCAGGCCGUACACAUUGGCGGUCCUUAAGGGUUUGACGAGGAAUACUACGUAGUCAUUUAGUACAGGGCAACCAUGCACUAUAGCACGUGGCAUGUAAUAUUUACGUAGUCUCAGAAGGUGAAGCGGUUUUGGGCUUCUUGUGUACCAAUAAUAUUUACGUACUCAUUAUUCCACUGGAUGGAUUGCGUGCACGUGAUCUUUAUUCAAACAAAUCACUAUUGACCAUAUAUUGCAAUUGGUUAAUGUUAGGCAAAUUAAAUUUUUACAUCAAAUAAUGUGGUUGCUGAUUAUUGAAUUAUUAUUUAAGUUUGAUUAAUGUGCUUAUUUUUUAUCGGUAAUACAUCAUUUGAUUUGCAAAUUUGAUUUACCUAAUAUUACCAGUUAUAAUUUGUAUAAAUGGACUGGUACCUAACAUUACCAAUUGUAAUUUGUAUAAAUGGACUCGUACCUAACAUUACCGGUUGUCCCAAGAGCACACGCUACUGCUCAAGAAGCAAAGUUCUUAUUUGCCCAAAAAAAAUCAUGGUUUUUUAAUUGAUGCUCUCAUUUUAAUUUACUAGCCCCUUACUUGGCCCUUUUUAUUUAUCAUUUUAUACAUAUUAAUAUUUUGUUUGUAAAAUAUAUUAGUGUUAGUUUUAUCAAAAUUAAAAAUAAAUAAAAAACUUAGCUUUAGUAUUUAGUUAUUGAAAUUGUAAAAAAAGUGAUAAAGUAUUGGGUGCUUUGUUUGAAAAUUUUCAAAAUGAUAUUGUUUUUACCACUGAACCCCUGUUAUAUACAGUGAUGGCUAAUUUGUCAAGUUCUACGAAGUUGGGAUACCCAGCGUUUUAGCAUAUAACAUAGCUUAGUAUUUCAAGCAUAAUUAAUUAACGAAAAAUUAGUAUCCGGUCCCUAGUUUUUACUGUUCAUUGACUAAGACCUUAUUAGUUCUCAAAUUUUGAUUCAAGUCCCUAGCAUUAAUGUGAUAAUGAAUUUACAUGUUUAUUAUAUAAUUUUUUAAUAUAAAAAUUAGUAAUUAAUUUAGGGUUUAAUACUCACACCUCUAUUAAACUUCUAAUUAAUUUUCAAUUCAGACAUUUCCAAAAUAAUAAAAAAUUAAAUUAAAUUAAGUUUGUACCUAUUAGUUUUUUUUUAUAUAUAAAAAGAUUCUCAAUUUUUAAUCUUAAAUGUACAUCUUAAAUGUACCCAUUCUCAAAUAUAUCAAUUUGUUAUAUGUAAAAUGUACCCUUUUUUAAUAUAAAAUCCAUUCAAAAUUUUUAAUCCAUGUUUAAACUUAUAUGGGUACAUUCUUUUUCGUUGAUUUGAGAAUGUAUCCAUGUUUUGGUACAAUAAAUUUUUUGUUAAUUUUGGUUAAUGUACCCAUACAUAUAUGUACACACACACACACACACACACACACAAUAUAAUAGAGAGUAUAAUUUAUAUUUUAUUAUUUUUAAUCCCAUAAAUGAUGGGUUUUAUUUAAAAUCUCAUUAAUAUAAACAAUUAUAAAUUUCAAUUUUUAAUUUUUAAUUUAAAAAAUAUAGUAACUUACAUUAUUACAUUAAUGUCAGGGACCUCAAUAAAAAACUAAAAACUAACAAGGUUUCAAUCAAAGAAUAUUGAUAGCUAGGGACCACAUCCAAAGUGUCCCUUAAUUAAAGGGUAAAUUACAUAGUAACCCCUCAGGUUUGAUGUCUAUUACAACCCCAUACAACAUCUUUAAAACAUUUCACUUUCAUACCUCAAGUACUAUUUUAUUUCAAUAUAAUACAUCUGUUAGAUUUUCCAUCCAUUAAUCCGUUAAAUGCUGACAUGGAUACCACAUUUGUGCCACGUGGCUGCCAAAUGCGUGUCAUGUGGCAAAAAUAAUAAUUUUUAAAUUUAAAAAAAAAUGAAUCUUCAACCCAAAAAAAAAAAAAAAAAAAAAACCCCAAACCCAGAUCCCAUCAACCCCCCCCAAACGAUUAUCCCUUCCCCAUAUCCCCCAUCCCACCCCCCAACCCCCCCUCUGCGACCAACCUUACCAUAGCGCCCCCCAACCUCGCGACCCACCUCACUCAAGGCCCUAAUCCACACUACCUACAACCCAGAAACGAAAAAAAAAAACAAAAAACAAAAAACUCAUCUCCCUUUCCCUGCAACCCAAAUCCCAUCUUCCCUAAUGGGUAUGGAUUUAAGAAGUGGGGUGUGUAGAGGAGGGAAGAGGGUGGGUGCGGAGGAUGGGUAUGGUGGGUUGCAAGGAAGGGGGGUCGGGUAAGAUGAAGAUGGGUUUUUUUUUUCUCUCUCUCUUCUUCUUCUUCUGGGUUGCAAGUUGUAGGUUGGGGUUUUUUUUUGGGGGGGGGGGGGAGGGAGGGAGGGAAGACGACGUGGGGUUUGGUUUUUUUUUUUUAAUUUAUUUAGAAGAUUUAGGUUUUUUGAAAAAAAAAAAAAAAUUCCACGUGGCACAAAUGUGGCAGCCACGUCAGCAUUUAACAGAUUAAUAGAUGGAAAAUCUAACGGAUGUAUUAUAUUGAAAUAAAAUAGUACUUGAGGUUAGAAAGUGAAAUGUGUUGAUGCACAAAACCGAAGGUCUUUGAACAACGUAAAUCCGAUCGUGAAUAUGCAAGUAAUGUAAAUAACACAAGAUGUAUCGUGGUUCACUCCAAUGUUUGGGCUACGUCCACACUGAUUAUUGUAUUUCUCUGAGAGGUGAGGGGGAGAGCUUUGAGAAAGCUUAGAGCUUAGGGGAUGUGAGAAGGCUUAAGAAUUGGCCUCCCUUAUUUGUGAGGGUGAUGAGUCCUUUUAUAGAAUAAGGGAUCCUCACUUAUUACAUAUUUGCCCAUUCCUUUAUUACAUAAUUACAUUUAAGUCCCCUGAGUACUUGUACAAGGUCUAAAUACGGAGGCCCUAAGUAUGGUACAAACAGUAGUCCCCCAAGUCUUCAGUCAAGAGAGUCUUUUGGCUAGAGACUUGAAAUUCUGUCCAUGUGUGAGCCGAAAUAACUAGAUGUCGUCUAGAACUGAUAUUUGAUAUGCGGCAGUGCCCAUUUUGAAAUAAUGCUCAACUAGAAGUAGCACAUGCUGCGAGGCUGCUCUGCUUGUGUUGCCUUGGUUGGCUCGACUUGUGGCGUUGAAGGUGAGAGAGUCCCUUUUAUAGAAUAAGGGCUCGCUCCUCAUUACAAAGAUGAUGGGUUAGUUGGUGCUUGCGGUGAGGCGGAUGCUCAGCUGGCGGCGAUGCUCUCUAAUGAUAGUGAGGGAGUCCAUUUUAUAGAAUAAGGGAUCGCUCCUCAAUACAUAAAUAAUAGGUGCUCUCUAAUGAAAGUAAGGGAGUCCCUUUUAUAGAAUAAGGGCUCACUCUUCAAUACAUAAAUAAUGGGCUAAGUCCCCUAAGUAUUUUUUAUGAGGCCUAAUUGAGGCCCAAUAUAUGGUACAUAAUGUAGUCCCCCAAGUCUUCGGUCAAUAGAGUCUGUUGGCUGGAGACUUCAAAUUGAAUCCAUGUAUGGGCCGAAGUGGCGGUUGUUCGGAAGCGGUAUUUGUAUACCCUGCACUGAAGCUUUAUAGGUGAAGCUUUGCAAGUGAAGCUUUGAAGCUGGAGCUCAGUAAAUGAAGCUUUUGAAGCUAGAGCUUUUGUAAAUGAAACUUUUGAAGCUGGAGCUCUAUAAAGGAAGCUUUUGUAAAUGAAGCUUUUGAAGCUGAUUCACAUGAGUGAUGCUCAUGAAUGUUUAUGUUGAUUGAUAUGAGUGAUGCUUAUGGAUGUUGACAUGAGUGAUGCUCAUGGAUGUUGACGUGAUGCUCAUGAAUGUUAACAUGAGUGAUGCUCAUGAAUGUUUAUGUAUGAUUGAUAUGAGUAAUGUUCAUGAAUGUUUAUGUAUGAUUGACAUGAGUAAUGCUCAUGUAUAAUUUGAAGUACUGGGCAUACUUUUGAUUACCUGGUUGGCGAUAAUAGCGGCAGGGUGCCGAAUAAUUUUUUGUAGUACUGGGCGUACUUUUGGUCACCUGGUUGGUGAUAAUAGCAGCAGGGUGCCGAAUAAUUUUUUGUAAUACUGGUCGUCCUUUUGGUCACCUGGUUGGUGCUAUUUUGAGCUUAUGGGCCUUCGCCCUCUACACAACAUUCCAGCCUAUUUAUUUUGGGCUUUACCGUUUUUUUUAAUUACCCUAUGAUGGGGUUUAUACAGAUGUCUCCGAAAGAUAUGAAAAAUAAAUUACAUCAUUCAAAAAUAAAUCCGACCCUCUGCUCAAUGGGUCACGCCAAUAAUUCUUUUUUUUUAUGCAUGCCAUCACCACCGCAAUUAUGUCUGCUUCUUUUUAUCUUCUUUUGCUUUCUGCUUUUGCUUUUACUUUAUCUUUCUCUUUUGGCAUAUGGCAGACAACGCCAAAACGGAAUAAUGAAUUAUUAUGAGAACAUGAAUCUUAUCUUUUGCCUGGUUUUCCACUAGUGCUCGUGGUAUUCUCAGGAGAUUGGAUCUGGGGGUAGGCGACUACCCCAGCACCUUGCCCUGAUACGUAAUAGCCUGAUGUCCCACUGCCAUCUCCAUACUGGAAGGUGUACGAACAAUGGUUAUUCUGUGUGGAACAAAUAGAAUCCGAUUGAGAUUCAAGACUGCACCUUCGAUCUGAGCAAGAAAUGAAUUGUGACGUUGAUGAACUUCUAGGAGGAGAAGCAGAGGAUCUUUGACUAUGAUGAUCUUUGAAUUCCAGAUGAAACUGAAUAAAAUGCAGGUUGUGGAGCUUGAUGUGGGCCCAGAUCUGCUUGACAGCUUUGGGGCGGGAGGAUUCCUUGACACUGAGGAAGAUUCCCAGAGCUGGAGGGAUGAGAAUCGACUUCAUAAUCCCGAUGGUGGGUUUGUGCUUGGUCGAAAGAUCAUUUCUGGCAGGGGAAAACAUGUACCAUACCUAUUGCAAAUCUUGCAAAUUCUCUGCUUCUCCAUGGAAGAUGAAGAGCAUCGAAUCUCUGUUUUCUCUCUCUCUCUCUAAAACGUUUUCGUUAUAGAGUGCCCCAAUAGAAGUGGACGGGCAGUGAGCAUGCCAUUUAGUGCCUCCUCCAAGACAGUAACUGAUACGGUGGUCUUUAUUGGCACUCCAAGUUUACUAAAAAGGGCAGCAAAAAUAGUAUUUACAGCACCCAAACUUGAAAGAUCUAGCUCCAACUAGUGGCUUUCUGUUUCAACAGCCUGAAAGCCGGCAGUGUCAUACCGACGCCGUUUGUCUGGAUCAAAUAAUAUAUUAUAAGAAAACAUGACCUUCUUGAAGAUAUCAGCUGUUUUAGAGUCAUUAGCAUUUUUGUCAGGAUGGUACUUGAGAGCCAUUUUCCGGUAAGCACUUUUGAUUUCCUGGUUGGUGGAAUUCCUAUUGAGGCCGAGGACCGCAUAAGGGUUUUGUCGGAGCUGCUUCUUAGCUUCUUGCUUCUCCGAUUUUGAUCGGCUGCCCUGCAUUUUUGAAAUUGACGGUCAAUUUCUUCACAAAACCCUAGAAAUUGCCUCUCGAUUACCUCCGAAACACAUAAUUCACGACUCUUGGUUGAAAUUUUUUUUUUUCAUUUCAAAGAAGUGGCGGAGGUAAAUCAGUUGUCACAUAGCACCGGAGCAUGAGGAAAACCUAGAAAACCAAGAGGCAGAGAGACUCCAUGCACAUCUAACCUGGAACCUUGCAGGAGAGAGCAGAGAGAAAGAGACAAGAAAGAUUGAGGGAGAAGCGAUCUUGGUGCAUCGUCUGUGAUUCCUUGGUGAUUUGCUCGAUCGGGACUCUGAAUUCGUGCAAGUCAUUGCUGUUAAGCAAGAAUCGCGAGGAGUCGGAGAGCUUGGAAAUCGAGAAGGAGAGAGGGCCUUUAGUCAGGGCUUGGAGGGUGUCGGACUCCGUCGGCCAAGAUUGGUGCACGGUCACGGCGUCUGGGCCCAUGGCGGUUGUGUAAAUGGGGGAGGUUCUAGGAGUCCAAGAAAGAAGAAGAAGCAGCGACCAUAGAUCUGGGAGUCCAUGGCGCUUGAAAGAUACGGCGAACAAGUCGGACUUGCUGCUGGGCAGCUGGCGGUGAUAAUGUUGGUGCAUGGGUUUUGGAGUGGGAGUGUUUGGAAUGGGUUUUUUGUUUAGUUUCUAUGUGUUUUUUCACAGAGAGAGAGAGAGAGAAGUGAUGGUGUUUAAGGGAUGAGUUUUGGAGCUUAGUGAAUGCUUUUUCUGGAAAAGCCCAGUGAGGUUUGUGGGUUUUUGCAGAUUUUGCAGAUUCGCGGUGGAGGUGAAAGAAUGAAAGAGAACCGACACAACUUUUCGUAUUGAUUCCCACAUACGGCGCCAAAUGUUGAUGCACAAAACCGGAGGUCUUGGAACAACGCAAAUCCGACCGUGAAUCUGCAAGUAAUGUAAAUAACACAAGAUGUAUCGUGGUUCACCCCAAUGUUUAGGCUAUGUCCACACUGAUUAUUGUAUUUCUCUGAGAGGUGAGGGAGAGCUUUGAGAGAGCUUAGAGCUUAGGGGAUGUGAGAAGGCUUAGGAAUUGGCCUCCCUUAUUUGUGAGGGUGAGAAGUCCUUUUAUAGAAUAAGGGUUCCUCACUUAUUACAUAUUUGCCCAUUCCUUUAUUACAUAAUUACAUUUAAGUCCCCCGAGUAUUUGUACGAGGUCUAAAUACGGAGGCCCUAAGUAUGGUACAAACAAAAUGUUUUAAAGAUGUUGUAUGGGGUUGUAAUAGACCUCAAACUUGAGGGGUUACUAUGUAAUUUACCCUUAAUUAAAAUAAGGGCAAAUGAAGAGGAUGGUUGAACUUGUUAAGUUUCUUAAGUGUGUCUAAUUUAAGUGUGUUGUUAAUAAACAUUUAUUAUGGAGGCAAAGAGAGGGAAGGUGCGGCAUAGAAAGAGAAGAGAGAGAUAUGUAAUUGUGAGUUGUGUUUUAUUCCAUCCCAUUGUGCAUUUAUUUAUAUUAGUUGGGAAAGUUAAUUCUUUAACCUUUUAGGAUUACAACUCUAAUAGGAAAAUAUAUAAUCUAAAAGAUAUGGUAGAAUCCCAUAAGAAUAUCCUAGAUAUGUUAGGAUUUACACAAUCAUAUUCCUAUUCCAAUAGGACUGCAAAACAUUUGUAUUUUUUUAUAAUUUUUUUGAUAAUUUGUUGGCAUUUUCAAUUUUUGUUAACAUUGAAAAUAUAACGGUUCAGAUGAAAAACCUUUGGAAAUCCAACAUUGAAAAUAUAACAGUUUGACGUUGGGCUGUGGUGAAGGAGGCUGGGCUGUCACGUGGGUGGGGCCCUCCCUCUCCCACUUGGUGAUUCAAAGGGCGCAGGCCCGUGCAACAAUUGAGGCAGCCCAUAGAGAUCCUGCGUUUCACCCAUUUGCCAUUUUUUCCACCGCUGGAGCACCAAAAUUCGGUCCAAAGGCAGGGGUUCCAAUUGCAUGGGCAAUUUGGUUUCCGCUGGAGGUGCUCUUUGUCGACUUUGUUUAUUCUUUCUUUUUAGCUUUGCAGUAAUAUUGAAGUAAUCACUCCAAUUGUAUCCGAACUUUUGUUGUCCAUCAAUUUGUAUCAAAACUAUUGGUUAAUUUACAUAUUCAGACUAACCUUCUCAUUAUUUUUAGUAUUUUUAUCAUAAAUAAUAUCUAAAAUAAUCACAUUUUAUUCAACAACCACUCAAUUAAAAAUUAAUUAAUGUUGUUUCUAAACCAUUACAUCGAGCUUUUGUAAAUACACAUCAAUAUUGCAGCGAUCCGAGGCAUUGUUUUCUACGCCUUGGAUUUGGCGAAUUGGAAAAGAGAAGAGUUACGAGUAAAAGUCCCUCACAUUAAGAGGGCUCCUCCUCGGGGAGAUGAAGAUGAUGAUCUUUUGUUUUUGUUUCUUAAUGAUUAAUCCACGCAGCAACAUAUAAUUAGAUUGUUGGGAUCUACUCAAGUUCCAUAUCACGCACUAAUAUAAAGUUUGACAAACGAAACGAAAUAUGUGCUCUCGAAAGCAAAAUGAGGGCACUGCUCCAAGAACAGGAAGGGCUCCUUGUCGAGGUUGCCAUCCGCCAUGAGGGAAAACCGGAAGAAGUUAGACAACAAUGAUGACAUCGAUUUGCAACACCCAUAUUGGGACAUCAAACUGUGAAAUAAAUACUCAAAACUCCUGGAAAGUCCUCGGGACAACAAACUUUUAUCUCCUUCAAAUAUUUCAUUUUACCAAGUUUUAUGUUUGAAGGGAGGGAAAAAAAGAGAUGAGAGAAUCCUACUCCUUAUUCUUGAAUAUAUUCAGGAAUAACUAUUGAAUAAAGAGAGAAUGGAAGGGGAUCGAAAGAGGAGGGAAGAUAAUUCUAGUCCCAAACAUAAAAAGGACCACAACUUUUAAAUUAUCAGCACGAUCAUCAUCUGAUUGAAGAGACCAUUCAUUGUGAAACAUAUCGUCAAUCAAUAUGUCUAUAUCUAUUUAUAUACCACAUUUUUGGAGUAGGAUUCUCCCCCCUCCUAUUACCAUCCCCUUCCAUCCCCUUCCAUCCCCUCCUUUCAUACUUUUUUUUUUCUUAUUCUCUAUAUAAAAAAUUCAAAACAAGAUGUAGAUGUGUCGUAAUCGCAAUAGUUUAAAUAAAAGGAGAUGGAAGGAGAGAUAAAUUACGAGGGGAGAGAAUCUUACUCCCACAUUUUUCUUCUUCAUAAACAAAAGAGAGGUUCUAGAUUACUUGACUCUAUGCCUCAUUUUUUUCAUCAAGUAUUUGUGCUAAACGGGUUCAGUUUCAAGUAUUUUAGUUUUUUGUCAAAAUUGAGAAAACUGAAAAUCAAACAUUAAUAUGCAAAAUUAAAAAAUCAACACAUAAUUAUUUAGAAAUCGCAAUAGAAAAGAAAAAAUGGAGGUUUGUGAUGAAAAAUCUUUUAUACUAAGUAAUUUAGUAUCCUUAUGCAUGAAGAUAAUCAAUUCGUUCGUUAUGGUCAGACUCUUUUUGAAUUUUUGAACACAUUCUCCAUAGGGCCUUCUUAUUUGUUCCUUCUCCGAGUUGGGGUUAUGGAAGAAGUAAAAGAAGGAACCAAGAAGAAAGUAUUGGCAACAACCGAUUUCGUUACGGGACAACUCUUGAUAUUCAUAUCGAUCUAUUAUGUACCUUUGCAUCUAGCAUUAGACAAUAACUGUCAUAGCUUUACCAUAUUUUUUUGUUUCAUUUCUUCUGAAACAAUAACACACACUUUUUUAUUAUGUGUCUAAUACUAGGAAUUCAAUACAUAAUCUUAGCAUUCAAUAGUUAUUCCUGAAUAAUUUCAUUUUUCAAUUGAUCAACCAUUUCAUUUUUCCAAGUUCAAUCAAUGUUAGUCACAUUAGUCAACAUUUAUAUAUUUUGAUGCAACAACAAUAUGUUAUUUGUAACAAGUGAUUUUGCUAGUUGGUUAAUUGGUCACAAGUUAAUGUUCGGUUCAGUUCAGCUUUUCUCUCGAUUUUUUGCGAUUCGGUUUUUUCGAUUCUCUUUAGAUUCGGUUCGAUUUUGUUUUUUUAUUUAUACUUAAUUUUUUUUAAUCUGAAAACACCAAGAACAACACAAGCAUACUCAAUCAAACAACUAUCCUUCUCCACAAAUCACAGUAAUAAUUACAUUCAUUUAGCUAAAAUGCAAAUAACUAACAAACUCACAAAAAUCGAAUAAAAACUACAAAUUGCUUACUCUUUUUCUUUGGGUUUCACUCGAAAAGUGUCGGUAAAAUUUAGGGUUUGCAAGAACGCAACCGAAAUCCAAAACGGAGGCUCUGUGGCUUGUGGGCUGCUAUUGAGUUCCAGUACGGAAAACCUUGCUUACUCUCUAUCACGGUACAAAGUAUCAGUACCUUUAGCACUGUAUUUGGUAGAACCAAAUUAAAAGCUAACAUCAAUAACAACUACCAGAGACAUAAGCUCUUAUCAAUGCUUUGGAAACAGUCAUGUAUCUCCAAGUGUAAUGAUAUAAUUAGUAAGAAAUUUAAAAGAAAAAUGGUGAUUUCAUAUAAAAUCAAUAAAAAGUUACAAUAUUGACAAUAUAUCAACAAUUUUUAUGGGGUAAAUUACAUAGGACCCCCUCAGGUUUGAGGUCUAUUACAACCCCAUACAACAUCUUUAAAAUAUUUCACUUUCAUACCUCACCUACUAUUUUAUUUCAAUAUAGUACCUCCAUUACAUUUUCCAUCAAUUGAUCCAUUAAGAGCUGAAUUGGUUGCCACAUUUGACACGCCCCGAUCCCGAUAUCCUCGGGAUAUCAGGAUGGUCACGUGCUGGCCGACACCCGAGGGUGACGAAAGCCAUUUAUUGAGUGCAAUUGCUGAAAAUAAAGGAUAGAUAAAACUUAUAAAUGUAAAAGAAUAAGGAAUAUGCAUUUAAGGAACGUGUUCAGAGCAUACAACUAACUAGAACACUAAAAGAAUGAUAUAAAAUGGAAUGAAUAAAAGAAUGAGUCUUACACCAAGAGGACUCGAAGAUGCCGAUGCGGAAGUACCUUGAUUGUCGGGAUUGUACGCCUCGAUCCUAAAUCCUGAAGGGGGCGCAAAACAAACAUGAGUGGACCAAGUUGAUAUAUAUAUAAUAAAACAGUUAUCAAUAUACUAACCCCCAGGUUUAUGAAAACAAAUAUAUAAUGAUGAACAUAGGUUUUCCGAAACCUAGCAUGAUGUGCAGUAUCUCAAAUCAUAACUCAUAUAUAAUAAUCACUAGUGAAUUGUCCGAUAACCUGCAGGCCCCAUGCCGGCUCCCCGUCUCUGAGCAGACAGUCAGAGGAAAAUACACUUCAGGCCCCAUGCCGGCUCCCCGUCCCUGUGCUAAAUAGCCAGAGGAAACACACUCCAGGCCCUAUGCCAACACCAAACCGUCGCCCGGGACGGACCGGAAUCUAUUCCUACGUCCCGUAGCGGAAAUGACCACUAGGUAAGUACAAAACCAUUGAACAUACAUAUAUUGAAAAACAACUUCAUAGUAUAAAGUCAUCCAUCAUCUAUACUAUAAAGAGGUGUUCGAAACAUGUUCUAAAUAUCAUAUCGUCAUCCAUCAGAUAUUCUAUAAGAACACGGGUUAUAGGAAAAAUAGUAAUAAUUCAAGGUAGCCUCAGUAAGCAUGUUAUCUCAAAACGUUUCAUAAAACGUAAUCAUUAAAUCAUGCAUUUCAUGUAUGCAUUUCUACUAUUAAAACAUGCUUUUGAAGGGGUCCACUCACAGUACUUAGCCGCCGAAGAGCCACGCAAACUAACGUCACCAAUAUUGCCCCUAAGCACAUAAAUGGUCCAAUUAAUAAAACUAUAUAAUAGCAAUUGGAUUUGGGAAAACGGACGUUGGAAACGGAUUCAGAACGUCGAAUUACCCUAAGAAGGGUCCCGGACGAAAACCCGAAAAGUCAACUCUAAAGUCAAUGUUGACCGGAGGUCAACGGUCAAAUUAGGUCUAACGGGUUUUAGGCUUGAAAUCCGGAUUAGGGUUUAGGUUAAAUAGGAUUAGGAUUUAUUGGGUUUUGGAAUUCUAAGGUUUUUGGGUUAAAAGGGUUUAGGGUGAAAAUGGGUGGUUUGGGCUUAAUCCCAAACUCACACACAACACACACACACACUACACAAACCCUAAAACACACACACACACACGGGCUGCACUAGGGCAGCCCUCACAACACUUCACAAAGGCCCUAAGGCCUUAUUAAAGGACAGGGCUUUAAGCCCUUUAAAGGAUACUGGCCCAAGGCCCGUCAAAAUAAGGCCCGAGGCCUUUGGGUUUUAAAAAGAACAAGAACAAAUUUAAAAGAAAAGGGGCUGGGGUCUACUGGGCUAAGAUAUAACGGGCUUAAGGCCCGUGGGGUUUUCUAAAGGGCCUGAGAGGCCUGGGUUUGUCGAAGGAGAAGGCCGGAAUUUCGGCCGGAAAACCACCCAACUUUAAAUGGCCAUAACUUUGUCAAUACUCAACGAAAUCAAGCAAGACAAAAAUGAAAGUUGUAGCCCUUGAAGCGACGAAGAGAAUGGUUCCUCACACGACGUCUAACUCGCCGUGGUUUGGCCGGAAAAUGCCUCGAAAUCCGUCGGACUCGCCGGAAACUGGGUAAGAUUCAAAUGAGUAUAACUUCUUCAAUACUCAACGAAAUUAAGUGAAACAAAAAGGAAAGUUGUAUUACUCGACGAGACGAAGAGAUUGAUACCUUACACGCCGGCCAACUCGCUGUGGUUUGGCCGGAAAUGGCCUCGAAAGGGGCGGUGCUCGCCGGAGCUUACUCCGUGCCGUCGAACUCGCAGGGUAGGGUCCGGGGUUCGUUGCAAGCCUCUCUUCGAUGGUGACUCGGUCCUAGUGAGUCCAGGGGAAGAGAGAGAUGCGAAAGGUUGAGGGAGAGAGAGACGGGAGAGCUGAGAAAGAGAGAGCUACGGGAGGGAGAAACGAAGAAGAAGAAGAGAGAGAUCAGAAAACAUAAAAAAAAUAAACAAGGUGGGCCCCACGGGCUCACCAAUUAAGGCUUUAAAACAAUUUUAAAAUAUAAAAGAGGGUUGGGGUGUUUCAACAUUUGUACCACGUGGCAAAAAAAAAACCUAAAUCUUCUAUACAAAAAAACUAAAAAAACCAAAAAAAGCAAAAUCGAACACUCCACCCCGCAAAAAUCCUAGCAUCUUCCUUUUAUUCCCCACAACCCCAAAUUCCCCCCCAAAACCCCUAAAACCCAAACCCUAAUUCCUCCCCCACAUGAAGAAAAUCCCAGUCCAAUUCAAUCCCAAUUACCUCAAAUCCCACCAUAGAAACCCUAAAUUUUGGUUCCUCAAUCCCUAGAUUUCCCACGCCUCUGUUGCCUACACCUUAUCAAUCUUUAGCUUUCUCCCUCAUCCCCUCCAUGAACGACACUUUCUCUCAUCCGCUGUUCCCCAGCAACGGCACCGAUACCUACGAGGCCUGGUACGGCAACAUCCAGUACCUUCUCAACAUCUCCGCCAUCGGCUCAUUCUUAUGUGUCUUCUUUUUCACCUUGGUCAAGCUUUGAAGCGAUCGCCGCCGCAUGCCCGGCUCGUCCUCCCUCGUUGCUAAGCUCUUCGCAGUGUGGUAUGCUACCUGUCGAGAGAUUAUGCUCCCAUGUGGCGCUGAGGCCAUAAUACUCACGCACCCAUCUACACACCCACACCACCACUACCGUGGACUCUCUCUCACUCUCCCUCGUCUUUGUAGAGCUAGGUGAAGCCUAGAAACCGAGAACUAGCUCCAGCAAACCCCGUGAGUUUCGAGCCAGAUCCCUGCCGACUCCGACCAUCCCAUGACCAAUCUAAGGUACAAAACAUUUCCCCUUGACUCUAUGCUCUUUUUCGUAUGUAGAUCGUAGGGAAAAGCCCACAGAAUGAGAGAGAAUAGUGACCUGAGAGAGUCCACGGUGAUGGUGGUGUGUAGAUGAGUGCGUGCGUGGGUGUACUGUCGGGGAUAGAGUCUGAGAGAGAUAGAGAGUGAAAGAGUCUGAGAGAAGAGUGACUUGCGAGAGUGAGAGAUUCGAGAGAGACUCGGGAAAAGAUUUAUGGGUUUGGGUUUUUCUGGUUUUUUAUUUUUAUAAUAAUAGGGUUAAUAUUAUAAUAUUUUUAAUGUAUAAAAAUUUCUUUUUUGCCACGUGGCAGCCACAUCAGCACAAAUGUGGUAGUUGUAGAUGCAAAUUUCUUCCUCUUGAUCUUGGACAAUUUUGCACCUACAAAACAAUUAACACCUUAGGUUAAGGCCAAAAGCCUCACACACCCACAAUGAAUGGGGGGCUUUGGCCGAAGAACCUCUGUUGCCAAAGUUAGAAUUUAGAGAGAAAGAGUCUUUACAGAAUUUUGGGAUUUUUGCCAAAGUGUUGGAAUGGCUUUCUGGUGAGAACGGGAUCACUUUUAUAAGGAUAGGAAGUGGUCGGCCUAGCUAGGGUUUUUGGGUUUAAUUUAGGUUUAAUUCUUCAAUUUAUUUGGCUAAUUAAACCCUAAAGAAUAAAUUGGUGGUUACAAAAUUGAUUAUUUGUAUAAAUGGGGUAAUAAAAUGGAGAAAAGUGAAAAAGGUUAGGAAAAGGGAGGUAGCUAGCUUCUUAGUAGUUUUAGGUGUGAGUGGGUGUUUUAAUUGAUAAUUAAGGGAUUGAUUAGGUAAUUAAUCCCUUAAUUAAACAAUUUUUAGGGAAUAUGAAAGGAAAUUAUUAUUUAGCUAAUUGAUUAGCUAAAUAAUGGAAUACAAAAUAUAUAGAAUAAAUUAGGCUUUAGGUAUUACCUUAUAGAAAUGAUUUGAUGAAAUAGGCUUUAAAUUGUUAACUAUUUUGGGCACUUUUGACUUGGUUGAGGAUGAUUGUCUGCCGCUCGCACGUAGGAAUCUCGAUAUGCCUUAAGGGUAUUUUUGUCCUCUUUUACCCAAAAAUCCACGUGUCGCCUUGUGAUUAUUUUUGGCUCCACAAAUGCCCCCACACCUGUUGGGCUGCUCGCAGAAAAUGGCAGCAGGUGUAGAGAUCAUCUUGCUUUAGGAAACGUAGGACUACUUCCUCUUUAGAUGUAGAUUCUCUCUUUAAUAGGAAAUUAGGUUCUUCUAGGAAAGGGAAAUAAAUUUCUGUUAAAGCCUAUUUAAGUCUACCUUAAGUGGGUUAUUAAAUCAACUUUGGAGAGCGAUUUCUUAUACCCUACAAGAGAGAGGGAGCUUAGAGAAUAUUUGUUCCCCCUCUUCUAGCAAUCUUCUACAUCUUUCCCGUGCAAAGGAUCGUCUUUCGUUGAUUUCUUCGUCUUCUCCGUGCCGCACCGAUGUAAGAAAAAUUUAAUUUUUUGCUUAUCUUCUUCUUGGAUAGUACUAUUACAGGGCAACCGUUAAGGUAGUGCGGCACGUCUACUGGCAGGGGCUAGGAGUUGGCUCGGCAUCGGUCGAUGAGGCAUUAUGGCAGGGGCCACUGCUUAGGCUGUUUGGCUUGGCUAGAGCCAAUGGCAGCUUGUGCGGCUGGGGUCGCGGAUUGUGGCGUUGGGGCGCAAUGCUAGGCGAGCCACAUGGUUAAUGUCCUUUAGGCUCUUAGACCUUACUCGGGCCAGGCUAGCGACUGAAAGAAAUGAGGAGGUCGUGGGCCUCAUGGGUUGUUGGAAUGUUGGGCAUGCAGGCCUCCUGUCUGCUAGAAUGCUAGGUUGAGCUCCUCUGCUGAGUACCGUGAAUGGCGUUGGCUGCUUAGUUCUUUUUACAGAGAGAAAGGUGGGCUGCUCCCGAAAGAGGAAGUAAAGAGGAUCAAGGUGGAUGCAUUGGCUCGUCUAAUCGCUGUCGUGGAACCUCCUAUGAAUGAAGAUGGAAAUAAGAGAUCUUCCCUGCCUACUCAAGAGAUGCCGAUCGAGAAAAAUUGAAGACUUUCUCCACUGCUGCUCAUGAUGAUUUGUCUGCUGUCGAUAGGCCUGUGAUUGGCAUGACUUCUUCCAAUGGGAAGAAAAAUGAGGCUGCUAGAUCUGAUCAUGUGGUGCCUUCCAUGUUGAGAAUUGCUAGUACAAUUGUUGAUAAGAUUGCUUAGCGCAAAGGUUUUAUCAUGCCCCCAGUACCGAAGUCUGUACCAGGACUUUCGUUUGGAGCAAAGUCUGGUUCACCUUUGGAGAUACUUGCUAUUAUGAAAAGUGGUAAGGUGGACUCUGCUGCUAAAGUGGCGUCAAGGCCCACUCCCUUUGUUGCUGAGACUGAUUCGCCUGCUAGGAAGGAAGAUACUACUUGUAUGGGCAGCUGUGAGAAAUCCACUAAACUUGCUUCUGGGGAGGCUGCUGAGAUCAUUGUGCUUUUGAAACUAUAUCUGCUUGAAGACAUGGACGCUUGUGCCAAGUUUGUUGAUGGCGGUAGAAAGGUUGUUUACCUAAGUUCCUUUGCGAAACAUACGACCCAAUAUAAAAUGACUGCUCUGCUUACUAGGAUGCAUAAAUAGCAAGGUUGUCAAGGAGGUGGCGAAGAUUAUGGCAGCUAAAGCUUAUUCCUCAGUCGAGGAGAUCAAAAGGUUGAAUUAUGAGCUUGUUGCUUUGAAAGAAAUGGAAGAACUGCAACACGUUCGUGUUAGUCUGUUUGAGAAGAAUGAGCAGCUAAACGGUAAGAAUGAUGGGCUUGAGGUUUCUCUAUUUUUCCGGAAGACUUGCUUACUUUUACUUUUGAGGCUUCCAUUGGUGAAGUAGUUGGAGACGUUAGUGCCCAGGCUUAGGCAACCGGGGGUGAAGCACCGGAUGAUGCCGCUGCUAAGAACGUUACGGCUGCUGAAGGUGUGGAGACCAAGUAGUCGUGGGAUGUCCAAGCUGCUGUAGUGUAGUAUUUUAGGUAGCUUUUAUGAUUUUCUUUGUUUUUCCUUGUAGCUCUUGUUUUGCUUGAACUUCUUCGGCCUUUGCUAGUUGUAUAAACAUGUUUUCCUUCGCUUUUCUUCAUCUUCGCUUCUUUUGUUCAUGCCCUAACCUUUAGACUUGAUAGACCAAUGGCAGGCAUGCUACUUUUUUAUAAGCAGACAAGCUCGCGUAGCCUAUGCAGCCGUAAAUGUUGGUGUAGAACUUUGCAAAGUUGUUAGCCAUUAGGUUGGUAACCAGAUACCUUACUUACAGAAGUAGACAAGUCCGCAUAACCACUAGGCUAUUAACCUUGACUUUCUCCAAUUCUGUAGGUUGCGUAGCAAGUAUCACAACACUUUAGGAAUUGGUAUAGGUUGCUCCGCACUUGGCAGAGGUGAAGCCUAUCGACUACGUAGCAUGUCGGCAGUGGAUAAAACUUCCAUAUAUGCGCGCUAGCUUGUUUAACCUUUCACAAGAAUGUGCGGUUGUAUAAGUCUAGCACGGUUUUACUGCUUGAAGGGCAAGCCGUAGGCAGUCUUCCGGAAUCCGUAGGCUACCUUAAUGUACUCGGUAGCAGCUUUAGGGUUCCAGGGCAGCCGUCUAUAGAGCGUACUGCGUAAUGUGCCCCAUCCGUCUCUAGCUCCCGGUUCCCCACAGAUUAGACCAAGAGACCCAAAAUCCUUCAGUUAGUUAAGCCUUGAAAAAGACCAUUGUGGCUACUUCUAGGAAUCCCGGCUCAAGCCAUCGUACAUCUAGUUAUACUAGGGUAGCCAGGCUCAUCAGCGUCUGGAUAUUCGGAGUGUAAAGUUUAUCCUCCCGUCUUAGAGAGCUGACCCAUAUGAGUGUCGGGGAAUUGGUUUACCCUCUCACACUAGAGAGUAAUUAAUUUACCCUCUCGCACUGGAGAGCAAUUAGUUUACCCUCUCGCACUGGAGAGCAUGGUUGGUCCAUCGGGGGGCGCAAUUCCUGCGAUGAGUCCCUAAGAAGGGCGCAGUCUUCUUUUGAAGUGCAGGAAUGAUUAGUUGUUAUAAGCAUGUGAUCGAGUCAAGUUGUGAUUACUUCUAAAUUCCUCAUUGAAAAACGAGUGAAACGAACGAGAACUUAGCCGUAAGGUAGGAACUGCAUAACAACUGGAUAGUCCUCAACUUGUGUGGUGGUACCCAUCGAGCUUCUUGAGUCUUCGGGCUUUGAUGUAGUGGGAGGUUACACAUGGCACCUUUUCAGAUUGUAGGCGCUCUACUGCUUUUCGAACUUUUUUUUUGUUGUGUAAUUGCUCUUGCUGCCUACUCGGCUAAUCUUAUACAGACUUUCUCGGAUGAGAUUCAUCUUUUUGGAGCUUCUCUGCUGGCAGUGAUGAAGGCUUUUCUUAGGACUAGAUCUCUGGGCUGGAACUGCCAGAUUUUGGCCUUUUUGUUGUGGCUGGAAAAGAACCACUGCUGGUAAGUUGUAAUGCAGAUGAUAGUCUGCUCGCACUUCUCCUCUGCCAAAUUUAAGCUUGUGGCCAUCUCCUUUCGGUUGCUCGUCUUUUGGUGUUGCGAUGUGCCCAUAGACAUCCAGGGAGUUUGUCUGGCCAUUUUCUUUUCUUAUUGGUAGGGGAUUUCUUGUGGCAGUCGAGGAUCAUCUUAGUGGAUGUUUUGGCCAGCCUAUUGCCUUGAGGAUAUCUUGGCGUAGACAUGUGCUGCUUGAUGCCAUAUUUUUAGAAGAAUUUCGCCAAAUCUUUGCCCACGAAUUACGGGCCGUUGUUGGUGACGAUGGAUUAAGGUAUGCCAAAUCGGCAAAUGAUGCUCUUUCAUAUGAAGCGCUCUAUGUCCGUUUGAAUUGUGAUCGUCAUGGGCUCUGCUUCUACCUAUUUGGUGAAAUAGUUGGUUGCCACGAUCAUCAUGCAUUUGCCCUUAGUAGUCUGGCUGGUGAUUAGCUGGGAAUCAGAAUGAAUUGAAAGCUUUUUCACCACCAAGUCUUUUGUCACUCGAAGGCCUGCUAGUGGGGCUUUGUACUCUGCUUCGUUGUUAGGUGCUUUGACGCUUAGAGUGAUCGCUUACUCGAGCAUUGAACCGUCUGGGGUGGCAAGAACCACGGUUACUUAUAAGCCUUUGUAGUUGGAUGCGCCGUCGACAUGCAAAUGCCAGAAAUUUCCAUUGAGGGAGUAGGUAUGGCUAAAGUGUGCUCGGCUACCUUCGAAGCGUCGUUGGGCCGCUUUGUUACAUUGUCAAGGCUAGGUUUGAAGGCGCGGUAGAGAGUCGUGGAGCUGGGGCCAUGUUACAUGUAGCAGGAGAUGCUCAACUUCCGGUAUUAGGCCACUCUAGAGCUGAAUAAUGGAGCAAAGGUCGGCUAGGGUCGUAUGACGCGCAGCAGAAGGUAGUGCUCGACUGCUAGUACAUGUUGCUCUUACGUAGAAUCUUCUGAGGCGACGAGGACAAAACUUGCUUUUAAGUGUUCCUUCUAGUGUUCGUCUGCCCUUGGCGUGUCUUUUGGGCUGAGUUGUUGCGUUCGUCAGAAAACUUUGCAUCUGCCAGGGUUUACGUCUUUAUCAUCACGGGUUUGGAUUAGGCGGAAUAGUGCGUCAUGAUGAUGACUGCGUACAUUUGAAGGUAAAACUUAAGCUUUUGGGUUACAACAACUAUCACCAAAGUUAGCUUUUGAAUUUUUAAUAGCAUCGAGGAGAGCUUUUGAACUAUAAAAUACAUGUAGUUGGGCCCCCAACUCUUCUCGCAUGACGGUACAGCUUAUUUCUACUUUAGAUACCGUCAAACAUGCGAAUAAGUCCUCUGCUGCUUCUAGGGAGGUGAUGUUGGGUACUUCUUCAAGCCCUUGAAUGUGCAUUGGCGAGCCUCAUCCCAAAGUGCAUGCUUCUCUGCCAAAGAAAAAGAGUCUACCAGAGUUAGAUAUUCUUUCAUGAUCAAUUUUCUAAAUAGCGGUGGUCUGCUGGAAGGCCUUUUUGGAAGGCUGCUCUAGCUAUUGAGUCGCUGCAUCCGACUAUCAUUGCCUUCUCUGUUUUGAAUCUCUUCACAUAGUCACGAAGUGACUCCUUUGGGUUCUUUUUUACGUCAAACAAAUGGUCGGACUUCUUUUUGAUCGAGCAAUAAGAUGAAUAUUCUUUGGUGAAAACCAAAGAAAGUUCGUAGAAAUUCUAGAUAGAUUGUGGCGGCAGGGUGUAGAACCAAUCUUGUGCCUCGCCUUCAUAGUGGUGGCGAAUAUCUUGCACAUGAGAUCAUCGUUGUUUCGAUAAAGGAUCAUUGUGCUUCGGUAGCGCUUUAAGUGUCUCUUCGGGUCUUCAUCCCCUUUGAAAGAUAUGAAAUGUUGCAUACUGAACUCGCAUGGAGGCUCUGCCAGCUCGAUCUCAUCCGUGAAGGGUGACCUGCUUAUGUUGGUCAUGUUCCGUCGUAGUGCCUCGUCGGUGACCUUGUUGCGUUAGAAAUCAUGCAAUCGCUUGAUUAAAAGUCUCUCUACUUCUUCCUGAAUUUUCAUUUGUUAGGGUAGCAGAGCUCUCGGCUGCCCCUAGCCAUAACUUACUGGUCUAGGAUGCUCUUCCAUGUGUUUGGCUCGUAUACCGUGGAUGCAGUGUAUGUGGUGCGGUCCUAGUAGGUGAGCGAGUUCUUCGCAGGCUGCUAGUUGAACUUGAGCUGGAUUGAGUGACUACUUCUCUCCGUCCGUCGUGCUGCCUACUCCAAUGUGAGGUGAAAGAUGCUCCUUGCAGGCUUAGCCACGAAUGAACACUUUACCUGGAAGGUUGCUCAUGUUGACUAUCAGAGUAUGACCCUAACCGUGAAUGUAUAUUCACCCGUGGGCUUAGUCGAGAGUGCACGCUCCUCCGCGCGCUAAGACGAGAGUAUACGUUAUCUCGGGAGCCCAAUUGGGAGUGUACACUGCCCGAACGCUCGGCUCGUGGCUGGUCGAGUGGCUGCUUGCCGAAACGCUGCGGGAAAGGUUCGUCUGCCCUUGUCCUACUUCGGGAUACCUUGUUUGGGGCACGUUGGAUUCUGGUGCAUUGCAAAAGUUGAUUCACCAAGGUUGUCUGUUGUGCAAGGGUGCUCGUAAACGCUACGACUUGUCGAGACAAGUGUUGUUCGUCAUUUGGAUUGGAAUAGCUUGGAAGGAAUGUGCCUUCUUGGGCAGUGGAAGGGUGGUAGACUCCGGGCUCGAGAUUUGAGUUGGGAAAUGUCAAAUCUACGAAAAAAUGUGGUGAGAAUGCCCCCGGCUCGAUGGUAGGUCCGGAUGGUUGAGAUAGUCUUGGGCCGACUUGGGCUGCUUGGAAAGCCACGGGAGCAGGCUGGGCCACGAGAGUGAGCUGCUCGGCAGGAGUAGGCUGGGCUACGAGAGUGGGCUGCUCGGCAGGAGCAAACUGCUUGGAGUGUGAUGCACAUGGGUGCGAGGCUUGGGCUCGGCUUGGUAACACAUUGAGUUCGGGUUUGGCUUGGAGUGACAUGACUUGGGCCGUGGCCUUGGUGUCGUGAGCCUUGGAUGGCACGGCUCGGGCAGUGGUAGCUGUGCCAUGGACCUCGCCGCGGGUAGUGGUGACCGUGAUGGCCACCGCGGUGGUUGCCAUGGUGGAGCCCCGUAGUGAUGGUGCCGCUCCUAUGAUCACAUUUAGCCUCGUGGAUCGUCGUGGUCCCAUUUCUUGAAUAUUAGAAUUUUCACUUAUGGAAUUUUCUAAAUUUCUAGCCAUUAUAUUUUUCUUAUACGUUUUAUCAAAGAACCUUUGCAAAUAAAAAAUUCUAAUAAUAAGAACGUAUGAAAAAAUAUUCAAAUGGACUAGAAAAUAGAGAAAAACCUUUUUAUGCGAGAGUCUUCUACGAGUAUAGAUCUCAACUCUCAAUGAAAGCACCAAUUUGUGGAUGCAAAUUUCUUCCUCCUUGAUCCUAGACAAUUUUGCACCUACAAAACAAUUAACACCUUAGGUUAAGGCCAAGAGCCUCACACGCCCACGAUGAAUGGGGGGGCUUUGGCCGAAGAACCUCUGAUGCCAAAGUUAGAAUUUAGAGAGAUAGAGUGUUCAGAGAAUUUUGAGAUUUUUGCCAAAGUGUUGGAAUGGAUUUUUGGUGAGAAUGGGAUCACUUUUAUAGGGAUAGGAAGUGGCCGGCCUAGCUAGGGUUUUUGGGUUUAAUUUAGGUUUAAUUAGUCAAUUUAUUUGGCUAAUUAAACCCUAAAGAAUAAAUUGGUGGUUACAAAAUUGAUUAUUUGUAUAAAUGGGGUAAUAAAAUGGAGAAAGGUGAAAAAGGUUAGGAAAAGGGAGGUGGCCGGCUUCUUAGUGGUUUUAGGUGUGAGUGGGUGUUUUAAUUGAUAAUUAAGGGAUUCAUUAGGUAAUUAAUCAAUUUUUAGGGAAUAUGAAAGGAAAAUAUUAUUUAGCUAAUUGAUUAGCUAAAUAAUGGAAUACAAAAUAUAUAGAACAAAUUAGGUAUUAGGAAUUACCUUAUAGAAAGGAUUUGAUGAAAUAAGCUUUAAAUUGUUACCUAUUUUGGGCACUUUUGACUUGGUUGAGGAUGAUUGUCUGCCGCUCACGCGUAGGAAUCUCGAUAUGCCUCAAGGGUAUUUUUGUUCUCUUUUACCCAAAAAUCCACGUGUCGCCUUGUGAUUAUUUUGGCUCCACAACAACCACGUCAGCAUUUAACAGACCAAUGGAUGGAAAAUCUAACGGAGGUAUUAUUUUGAAAUAAAAUAACAAGUGAGGUAUGAAAGUGAAAUGUUUUAAAGAUGUUGUAUGGGGUUGUAAUAGACCUCAAACUUGAGGGUCCUAUGUAAUUUACCUAUUUUUAUGUUAAUUAUGAAUAGGUCAAUCAUGUAGAACCAAAUUAAAAGCUAACAUCAAUAACAACUACCAGAGACAAAAGCUCUAAUCAAUGCUUCGGAAACAUAGUCUUGUAUCUCUAGGUGUAAUGAUAUAAUUUGUUGGAAACUUAAAAGAAAAUUGGUGAUUUUGUAUAUAAUCGAUAAAAAGUUAUAAUAGUGACAAUAUAUCAGUAAUAUUUAUGUUAAUUAGGAAUAGGUCAAUCAUGUAUUUAAUACUUACAUGCAUUUAAAAUAAACACCUUAUCAAUGUUUUUUUAACUGUGCUCAGUUUUUCUCCUUCGCUUUGGUUUUGUUCUAUUGGAUUUUUCAACUAUCAUUAAUUGUGAACAUAACUGAUCAUUGAGACACAAACAUCCAAGGGAGAGUACCGUGGAACAAAAUGUGGAUAUCUUUAUACAUUGUAUGGUAGUAAACCAUCAUAAACACCAUAAUAAUGUAGAAACGCUCUUGGGGUACCUUUGGAUGAUAACUCAUGUAUUUGUUGCCCUACGUAAAGAUGGCUAAUGAUAAUGGAAGUCUAAUUUUCUCAUCCCAAUCUCUCCUGUCUCUCUUGUUCUCUUUUCUCUAUAGUUUAUUUCCAACAAGUUGUGUUAUUUUUUUUUUUUAGUAUUGUUAAGCAACCAAUAGAUUUUAAUUAGCAGUCUUUGUUUUUUUCUUUUAUAUUUUUAAUCAAUUUCAGUUGCUUAUCCGUUCUAGCAAAUUGAGCUCUUUUACAGCAAUUUUUUUCUUUAAAUGAAAUUAUUAUUAUUAAAAGAGUGAGAAAAUUCGAAAUUAUUACAACAAUUUAAAAAAAAGAAGUUUCGAAUCAUAAACACAGAGGGAGUUUACAACAUUUUAAUUAAGAAAUUAGGCUUCAGCUCAACUCAUCUUUGCAACGUCGGUUCCACUUCACAUCAACAUGCAAUGUUUCAGAAGGUCACGCGGUUUUGGGGUUGUUGUGUACCAAUAAUAUUAUAUAUAUAUAAAUUAGGAUUGAAGGAUACACGCAUUUUGUAGAGCUUAUUUUGUUAUGUAUUUUAAUGAUUUAAAUGCUUACGUUUUUCUUCACUACAAAUGAGUGAAUUAAUGAUUUUAGAAUUUGUCUAAUUUUUUACAUUGAUUAUUUAUGAAUAUUGAAUUGAAAUAUAGACGAUUCAAAAAUCGUUGAUAUACAUUACAAAAUGAACUCCACAAAAUAAGCGUCAAAAUAUGUAUAUAAAAUGGACAGCGUGAAAGGCUUGGAAAUUGGAAUAGGUUUGAAAAUUGUGCUUUUUGUAGCAAAUUGUAGCAAAGUUUGCUUGGACUUUCACAACCGUAUAAAUUAUGCCGCAGCACUCUCUAUUUUCUCUCUCGCUCUAUAUCGUGGUCCCUCUCUCUCGCCGUCCUCGAUUGCUCGAACUCACUAUCCUUUAUUGCUCGAACUCACCGUCCUCAAUUGCUCGAACCCACUGUCCUUUAUUGCUCGAACUCACUGUCUCCAACUUCCUCUGUUUGGUUCCCGAUGAAGAUGGUAAAACAGUAGGGGCAAGAAAUUAUGACAAUGUUAGAUUUGCAUAUUAAUCUGGUAGGGCUACAAUUCUCCAAUCCACACCCCUUCCAUCUAUGCUAGUGUUUGUACCCAAUAUUAGAUAUCCGGUCUGUGCAAUCGAGAUCGUUGAAUGAGAAAAAUUCUAAGCCGUGGGAUCAAAUAUAAUGAUGUGGAUUAAAUAAGAAAAAUUUAAAUGUUUAUCUUGGUUGAAUUACCAUGAUAAUAUUGUGGAAUUAUCUUCUGCAUAACGGGAUAGCGAGAAAAGUCCAAGGGUGUAGGGAAGUUGUGUGGCUGACUACCGCUUUUUUUUAUGGUGUCAUUAGUAGAGUAAUAUCACACUUAACAUUUAUUUGUACCAUCUCUCUAAUAAAGAUAAAGACCAUCAAUGCAUAAAUAAUGAUACAAAUAUAUAAUAAGAGUAUCAUAUUUGUAACUAGAAUAGGAGAAGAAAGACUUCAAGAUGGGGUCAGCCAAAUAAUUAGCGUCAGGAUAAAAAUAUGAGUAAUGAUAUUUGUAAACAUCGAAAUUUCGGUAAAUAAAUGUUGACCGAUAAAUCAAAGUUUCAACGCUCAUGUAUUACAUAAAUUUUACACGUAGCGUAUGUCUAAACAAAAAAUCGAAAUAAGUUGGAAAAGUCAUCAAACAGGACACAUGUCAACACCUGGCAGAAACGACUUAUUUCAUCUGGAAUAUUAUAUUCAAAAUUAGGCAUUGGAAAAUUCUAUAAAUAGAAGCCAAUUUCAUUCAUUUGAAGGAACCAAAAUCAUUAGGCAAAAUUCUUGAAGCUCUGAAGCUCUGAAACUCCGAAACUCUCAAGCAUCCAGGUUCCCGAAGAAUCAAGAAAGCUCUCUUCGUUCUUCGUUCUUCGUUCAUCGUUCAUCCUAAGAUCAAGCUCCAACGGCCCUUUAGAUCAACAAUCAUCCACUAAUUCAAGAUCAAGCCCCGACGGCCCUUGAAGAAAGUGUUCUUCAUUCUUCGUUCAUCGUUCUUCCAAGAUCAAGCCCCAACGGCCCUUUGGAUUAACAAUCAUCCACCAAUUCAAGAUCAAGCCCCAACGGCCCUUGAAGAAAGUGUUCUUCGUUCUUCGUUCAUCGUUCUUCCAAGAUCAAGCCCCAACGGCCCUUUGGAUUAACAAUCAUCCACCAAUUCAAGAUCAAGCCCCAACGGCCCUUGAAGAAAGUGUUCUUCGUUCUUCGUUCAUCGUUCUUCCAAGAUCAAGCCCCGACGGCCCUUGGAUCAACAAUCCACCAAUUCAAGAUCAAGCCCCAAAGACCCUUGAAGAACUUCUACCAAUUCAAGAUCAAGCCCUGACGGCCCUUGAAGAAAGUGUUCAUUGUUCAUCAUCCGUUCAUCCCGAAGAAUCAAGAAAGCCUUAUUCGUUCUUCGUUCAUCGUUCUUCCAAGAUCAAGCCCCGACGGCCCUUGGGUCAACAUCAUCAACAAAUCCACACAUCCAACCGUUCUUCAAGAUCAAGCCCAAAAGCCCUUGAAGAUCCGUUCAUCACCGUUAUUCAAGAUCAAGCCUUAACGGCCCUUGAAGAAACACUCAUCCUCAAGAUCAAGCCCCAACGGCUCCUUGAAGAUCCGCUCAAAUCCACCUUCAAAGAUCAAGCCCACGGCCCCUUGAAGAAACAUCCAACAGUUCAUCCAAGAUCAAGCCUCGACGGCCCUUGGAUCAACGAAACAUCUACAAAUCAACACCUUACGGAGAUCGAAUCAGAUGAUCAAAUUAGAGAGAGAUUGUAACCCUAAAUCAUCAAAAUACAAAUAUUAUUUUGUGCACGUUGUUCUUAUCUCUUUCGUUUCAGGAAAUUUUCGUGUUCACAAUAUUCUUACCAUCUAAAUAUACUAUAAUUUUAUACCAUCUUAUGUGGCAAUUGAGAUGGACUUCCACAUAAGUUUUAAAAAAAUCUCAUGUCAGCUAAGGUGGAUAUUUACGAUUUUACGAUUUUACUCAAUGAUUUUUAUUAAUAAAAUAAUUAAAAAAUAAUAAUGAAACCUACUUGCUCCCGUUUUCAAGCCUCAUCGCUGGGCCUCCUCCCUCUUCGCUCUCCAAUUUCACCUUCCUUCACCAACGAUCGAUGGUGCUCGACCCCCUUCAUCAUUGCCAACUGGCCGAAUAUCUUGAUGGUGCUCCCAGUGAUUGUUUUGCUCUGCCACCAAAUCAAGUUUGCAAUUUUAAUGGUUUAUGCCUUCUGGCCAAGUGUUGGAUUUGAUAGGUUUUUAAUUCCAGCAACAUUGAACAAAAAUAUGAAAAGGAUUGGAUACGAUAUUUUCCUCUGUUCUACUGCUGAGGAUUUUCCGAAUAGAAGAAGAUUUGGAAGACAACCUCUUUUCUUUUUUCUUCAUGGACUUUUGGUUAGCACCAAAAUCUUUUCCUAAUCCUCUAUAGGAAUGAAAAUUUCAUUCCAUGUUAUAUCCCGAUGUUGUCCAAGGUUUUGGCUUGAAUUUUCAUUGGAAUUAUCAUAUGUUGGAUCAGAUCAGGUGGAGAGAUGAAACGUAUCUAACAAGGAAGUUGAACGGGUAGGGUUUGAGCAAAAAUAAACAGAAAUUCCACCUAGGUUGACACCUAAGCUUCCACAUCAUGUGGUAUACUAAAUGUGGUAUAAUAAGAUGGUAAGAAUAGCAUUAUUGAAUGGGUAAUGUUAAGAGAAAUUUUUAGUUGUGACGGGAACACGGAUGGUACACCAUGCGUUUUUAUGUAAAUGGUGGAAAAUUUUAAUUUUUAAAUUAUUAACCUUUUAGCACACAUAUCCCACCAUUUAUAUGAAAACACGUGAUGUAUCACCUCGUGUGAUAGUCACAUUGAAAAAUCUCUCGUAAUGUUAGGAAAACUAAAUUUAUAAACAAAAGUUACAAAUUAAAUGAUGGGUUACCAAUAAGAAUGAUUACGUUUAUCAAUGCUUAAAUAAUAAAUCAUUCAUCAACUUCCAGUCCUUUAGUUUUUAAAAUUUUGUCUAACAUUACCCUUUCAAAACUCAUGAAAAUAAUUUUCAAUUUUUUUAACUGAAAAGUGAAAGUUACUAAACAAGAUUUCAGUUUUUAGCUUUCAAAAAAAUAAAAACAAAAGCUAAAAAUAAAAUGGUUAUCAAACAUCCCUAGAAGUCAUUCUUAGUGAUAGUAAGGUCAUCUCCAACCGAAAGAUCCAGGGGGCUAGAGGGCCGAAAAUAGUCUGAAAACCAUUUCCAAUCAAAGGCCAUGCCAAAGGGGUCGUGGACCCCAUUAGACAAAAAAGGGCCAAAGGGCCAACUGGCUGGCCCCAGUUCCAACAAUAACUAGAUGACGUCAGUUAACCGUUAUUUUUGAAUUUUUUUUUUAACAAAUUUUAACUUUCUAAGCCAUUAAACAACAUUAAAUUAAGUAAAAAAGAAAAUUCCUAUAACUUCCUAAGUCAUUAAACAAUAUUAAAUUAAGUAACAUGAAACAACAUUAAACAAUAUUAAACAAAAUUAAACAAUAUUAAACAACAUUAAAUAACAUUUAACAACAUAAAAAUUAUACAACAUAAAAAAAAACAUUUAAGAACAUAAAAUUUAAAUGCCUACUUCAUGCUUCUUUUGGCCCAAAGAUGUGCAACAAGAUCCUAAUGUAGGUACUUGUUUGUGGCACGAGAGCGUAUCAUCCUAACCGUUAGAUUUGAUUUUUUUUUGUUUUCGGCCAAAUUUUUUUAAAUUUAAAAAUAAAUUAUGUUUGACCUUUUGGCCCUCGAUUGGAGAUAGUUUUUUUUGUGACAUGACUAUGUUUAGCCCUAUGACCCUUUGGCCCUCAGUUAGAGAUGGUAAGAAAUAUGACCCAACAAUGUUCAUUAAAAUAUUAAUUUCUUGAAGAGCCAGAGGGCUAAAACGAGCCAUCCUUCGGUUGGAGAUGGCCUAAGAAGAGACUAGAGAUAGAGAGAUUCCUAUACUUAGCUGUGAGAGUUUCCUAUAUAUGAUUUUCAUUAACAAGAUUGAACUGAUUACAUAGAGAAGAAGAUCAAGUAUGGUUAUUUUUAUUUGGGAGACUUUGGAUGUGGUCCUUAGUUAUGAAUAUUAUUUGAUUGAAAUCUUGUUGGUUUUUAAUUUUUUAUCAAGAUCCCUGAAAUUAAUGUGAUAAUUUAUUUCUAUGUAAGUUACUAUAUUUUUUUAAUUAGAAAUUAGAAAUUUUAGUUGUUUAUAUAAAUGAGAUUUUAAAUUAAAAAAACCAUAAUUUGUGGGAUUAAAAAUAUUAAAAUAUAAAUAUACUAUUGUGUGUGUGUGUGUGUGUGUGUGUGUAUAAAUAUGGGUACAUUCAUCAAAAUUAACCAAAAAAUUUAUUGUAUCAAAACAUGGGUACAUUCUUCAAAAUCACAAAAAAAGAAAGAUAUUAGGCUUAAUAACAUUAGUAAAUUUCUUCGAUUAAACUUGACAUGGAUACAUUUUAAAAUCAAAGAAAAAAAAUGUACCCAUAUAAGUUUAAAAAUGGAUUAGAAAAAAAAAUUGAAUAGAUUUUAUACAAAAAAAGGGUACGUUUUACAUAUAACAAAUUGGUAUAUUUAAGAAUGAGUACAUUUUAAGAUUAAAAAGUUUUACAUGAAUGGGUUCAUAUAAUUAGCAUGGGUACAUUUAGCAAAAUAAAAAGUACAAAUACAAAAAAAUAUAUGUGUACAAAUACAAAUAAACUUUAAAAAAUAUGGGCACAAAAAGAAAUUAAUAUAUGGGUACAAAUUAAAACCGAAAAGAAAAUUGGUACAAGUUAAAAAAGAAUUACAAAUUAAAAAUGGGUACAAACUAAAACUAAAAAUAUAUGAUAAAAAAUUUAGUCAUAAAUAUAAAUAUACUAAUUGUAACAUUUUUAACAUUAAAUGAAUAUAUUUAGACAUAAAAAAUAUAUUUUAUUAUUGAAAUAAUUAAUGAUGUUAUUAAUACCCAAGGACCUUGAUAAAAAAUUGAAAAGAAAUAGAAUUUUAAUCAAUGGAGUAGCAAAAGAAAAGAUGAGAACCUAAUUUCUCCUUUGUAUUGUGUAGACAUUAUAACUAUACAUUCAUAAUAACAUGAGUAAUGUUAUAUUUAUCACAUUUGUACUCUUUCUCCAAUAAAGAUAGGGUCCAUCAACACAUGUGGGUUCUAUUUGCCCAUCAACACAUGCGAAUCUCAUUUUUAUUAGAAAAAUAGUACAAAUAUGAUAUGGAAAUUAUGAUAAGAUCGCAAUUUUGUAAUAACAUAUAUACUCAACUAUUUAUAUACCAACUCAUCUCCCUUUAGUGUAGUUAAUAUUGUUUGUUCAACCAAAAAAAAAAAAACUGAACUUGUCAUAAUCAUUGAAUCCAUUUACCAUGAACAAACGGCAGUUUACUAAACUUGCCCUCAGAGUAUAUAUAAAAGGUGAAUCACAAUCUAUUGCAUUAAUAUAAGGAAACAAUUUAUAGGGUUUGACGGGUGACUUAAUAUGCUAUAUGGCACAAUGAAAAUUAAGUUCACACUUUAUCCCAAAUAAGGUGUUGCACCUUUAAUUUAUGGAUGCUGGUUUGACGUGUGACCGAAAUAAUCAAAUUGUAGCCAUUAAUCAUUUUACAAGUAAUAAUAUGUGGUUUUAUUGUUUACGAUUCACACAACAAUCUGCUAGGAAGUAGAAAAUGCAGUACUUGUCCCUCUCACAGAAGUCAUGAAUAAUUAUCAAAUUCAAAGAUAAAGAAAAACCACACAAUUUACAAGAGGAAAGAAAAUGAAGGGAUAAAGAAAGUAAGAAAGGAAUACCUCUAUGGGAGGACUCUUAUUUGCUUCAGAUGCCUACAAUAUUCAUCAUAUAAACACUGAUUAAGUAGUCAUCGAAAACCAAAACAAAUGUCGAACAUAGGGUGAAAAACAGAAAGAAUAACCGCAGCUCAUCAUACCAAUAGAGAUAGAACUGCCCGAUGCCCAAGUAUGACUGAAAAAUGGCAAUCCAAACAUGGCGCCUUCUAGCUCAUCAAACUGUCAAAACCUAGGUUCCACCAAAAAGAUACAAGUCACCUAGUUACUUGUAAAAUAAAAAUCUGUUUCAAAAUAGUGGAAAAUAUUAUUAACAUUGUUCAAAGUCCACAUUGUUGUACCUACCAAGAAACAAGAAGGAUUGUAUCUUAUCAUGAAAAAGAACAUAGGUACCUUUUCAAUUGUAAUUGUACAAAAAUGAGAGACCACUUCCGAACUUCUCUUGGAACUUCAAUCAAUUUCUGCCCACUUUUAAAUGCCUUGACAUACUUAAGCCUAUUUCUUUGAGCUUCAGUUUUGGCUUCUGAUGCCUUUAAAUUUCUUAAAGAUUCUUACCAAGUUUUACAAACUCACUUCUAUACAACCAUUUGUCAGUAUACAUACCAUUUUCUUUGAGCUUCAGUCUUUGCAACACCAAAACCCCCCAAAUAGACCCGGAAUUUUGCAAUGUGCAGGGAAUAUACAAAAAAAACCCUCCUAUCCAUCUAAAACGAAAUCAGAACGCAAACCACAAUCAAAAUCCGUAAAAUUAAUUUAGCCAACCCCUAAAUCUAAUAAUUCUAACAAAUAUUAUAGUAUCAAUUGAGAGAGAAUUUGAGAAGAUACCUAGAGAUGAAAGGAAGAGCGUUUCCUCUGAUAGGGGUUCCGUGAAAGCAUCUGUUGACCAGAAAAGAAAAGGCAAAAAACCCCAAAUUACAUAUCAAGCAAUUAUAGAUAGAUCGAACCUUGAAAAUUGAAAUUUCAAACAAGAGAAAGGUUAUAAACUUACAACGAUCUGGGUGUUGGUAACUGGGUUUGGAUUUGGGUUUCUGAUAAGAGAGAGAAUCGUAUGAGGAACCGAUAGAGGAACUGCACCGGCAACAGAGAGCAAUUGAUAUGGUGGAGAACAGACGAGAAUAGCUGCUUGGAUGGUCAAUCCAAGAAGAGAAAAUCUUGCCACAAUCGCGGUACUUGAAAAAAAAAAAAACAAGUUUAAAGGAGGGAAACAAUCGCGCCUUUUUCUAAUAGACUCUGUCGACGAUAUUCUUGACAAAUAGAUGCUUCGUCGGGUGAGCUUAUUUUUCACAACAUUUUAUUUAGGAUUGGGUUCGGUUGGUAAACCGUGUCAAAUUUCUUGUGCCACUUGCCAGCCACAUAUACAUAAUUACCGAAAAUCAGUUACCGUUAGCCAACCGUCUUCUUGCGGUUGCCAAAAAUCGGUUCAGCCAAAAUGAUUGGCUGGUUCGGUUGGUAAAUGGCACAACCGGUGGUUUCCACUUCUUCCUCGCUAUCUUCCAGUUCCAAGGGCUCAAUUUGAUUUUCAGAUUGGGAUGCUUGUUCGGUUGCAUUGUGUGGUUCAUUUUGGGUUAAUCCAUGUUGUGCACUAGUAGUUGAUUGGCUAGACUCCAUUAUCCUAAACAUAAGCAACAAAUAUACAUUCAAAAUAAUAUAUAUGUACGUGUAUAUAUAGUAUCAGUAAUCAUCAUGCUAUCAAUUUUGUUAACAAUAUUUUCUAUAUAUUGAUUUUGGCAUGAAUCAUAUACACAUACAUAUAUUUUUAAAACCCUAAAACUAAGGAGUCAUUUAUUUUCUAAACUCUAAAAUUGAGGAGUCAAGCAUGUAAAAAAAUACUUAAAAUAUCUAAAUAGAAAAAGAAAAAGAAAAAAAAAUAAAUAUAUAUAUAUAUCGGUAGGUAUGGCAUACCGCCGGCAUACAAAAUCAAUUACCAAAGCCAUGCCAUUAAUUGUCGGUUCGGUAAAAUGCCAACCGAUUAUGAAAAAAUGUCAAAACUAUACCAUACCAUUUUGAGCCAACCAGUAUGGUUUGGUCAGUAAAUCGGUUUAUGGCAAAAUUUCUCACCCCUAAUUUUAUUUGUCACCUUAAACCUAUUGGUUUCUAGCCUACAAUUCGGAUAUUUUGUUGGGGAAAGAUUUUUGUACCAAUAAAAUUUUGCUUUGUCGGCAAAAUGACAUUUUCUAGUAGUUAUAAUAUUAGGUAGAUCAAAUUUGUAAACUAUGUGAUGUGUCACUAAUAGGAAAAAAUUUCAGUGUGCUGAAAAUACGGUCUAGAACACCAAGUGUCAUAAUAUAUACUUGGUUGGAAAUCUUUUAUUUUCAAGUUUCCAACUAGUUGUAUUGUAACAGUUGGUGUUCCAAGCUAUUUUCUCCAUGCGCUGGAAAAUCUCUUCACUAAUUAAAAAUAAACAUAUUAAUUAACACUUAAGUAAUAAUCAAAGCAUCAACAACUACGUCAUAGAAUUUACGAAAUAUGAUCUUAAUUAAUGAUCUCCAUUACCCUUUAUCUUAGCGUAUACGUACGCCUUCACAUGUUUAUUUGCUGAUAUGCAGCUUGAGUAAAAAUUUCUUUUUAAGAACAUAUAUGUGAAUAUAAACAUAUAUAUCUAGUGAUCCAUGUUGCGUUAUUUAAAAAUAAACAAAUUAAUUAAUUAAUGAACUGUGUACCUGUCUGUGUAGAGUAAUCCAUAUGCAUGCUUGAAUCCUGAUCACCACGAAACCAUAAUAUAAGCUACUCAAGGCCCGGAAGCUAGGAUUGAAGAGAAAAACACCCAGUCAGAUUAAGCCAAUACAUCAAAGUUAAUACUUCCAAAUGUAAGCUUUAAGAUAGAAAAAUCACUUACUUCCUUGAGCAGUCGAGCUUCUUCAAUGGCAUGAAGCUUUUAGCAUGAGAUUGACUGCAUCACAACUAAAAUUUUCUCUUGGAAACUACAUAAGGAAUAGCAUGUAUACCUAUAACGUUGAGAAAGUACGCCAAUUUUUUCCUUCUGCACAUUCAUGUUUAAAAGUAAUCCUCAAAUGAACUUGCCCACAAUGAAAUGCAAUUUGAGGUAGUCGAGUGUGUUCCAUUUCCAUCCCAUCGGAAUUACUACUAAACUUUGAGAUGGUAGAGGAUUCAUGAAAUUUUUUACUUUUGAAAUAGUCUCCUUAGCAUUUCUCGACUAUAACAAUGAGGAAAUACUUCACCUUGUAUCAAACAAGGGAGACCGAAAAUCAACUACUAAUAGCAUCACAGAGCCAGCAGAAGAUUGAGGAGGCCAUGAAAAGGAAAGAGAAAAUACACUCUUUUUUUGUAAGGACAGAGAUAAUACAUUCAAUAAAGGGUACUGAUGUUUAUAUGCAAAGCUGAUUAGGUUUAAAUAGUCGUAUUUAUUCUGUACAGUGCCAAUAUUACCACCCGUUAGUACACUUUCAAGACACUGUAAUCCAGUGUAUGCACUAUGCAGUACGUAGUACUCCUCAUUUUUUUGGGGAAAUUCAUUAUUGGUCUUCAUAUCUUCUUUAUUUUCCUUGUCCUCAUUGUGCCACGUGUUUAAAUCACUAAUUAUAGGUAAUCUUUCAAUUUAAUUAAAUCUUAUGUAAAAAAAGAUAAUUAAAUAUCAUUUAGUAUUACAAUAUAGUGAUAUUCCUCUUUAGUAUAAAAUUUUUAUAAUUAAAAGCGUUCAGCUUUUUAAUCUUCAUUGGAAUAUUAUCUAUAAAGAAAAAUUAUUCGAAUCAGAGAUCAUUUAUGCAUUCAAAUGUAUAAAAUACAUCGACAGUGUGAGAACCAACUAAUAUAUUUUUGAUGAAGUACAAUUAUUGAAUACAUUUGAACGAUCAAAUGAUAUAUGAUUCAAAAUACAUAUUAAGAUAAUAAAUAUAAAAGAAUUGUUAUUUGCACUUCAAGAAUCUCAUUCUACACUCUAAAUUUUCUAUAUAUUAAAAGAAAAAUAAAUUUGUGAAAAGUGUAGAAUGAGGUUUUUUUAAAUGCUAAUAACACUUCUCUAAAUACAAUUAUGAAAUUAAUUAAGUAAAGAUACAUGACCUCGUGAAUGAUGAAUGUAUUAUUCAAAAAAAUAUUAAAAACAAAUUGAAAAAGGACGCUGUUGUUGCCACCACUUAUGCAAUGAUCGUCGCUGCCAUCACCAACCCCCAACACCCCAUUACAGCUCAUAAAAGCACAUCAUAAGCAAUUUAUGAAAUAAAUUUACUGGAAUACUAAUUUCCCCCUUAGUUUAGGUCACCAAUGUUUAAAUUUAGGGAUCGUGAUAUCCACACACAUUUUUUACUUCUUUCACACUUUUUUUUUCGGUUGUCGGAUCAGAUGAAUUGAAGAAAAUCAAUGAACAGAAAUUAACAAGGGGUGUGUGAGAAGUAAAAAUGAAUGUGUGGAUAACACACCCCUAAAUUUAUCACAACUUUCAUUCCAAAUUUAAUUUUUAUCCGUAGUUUUGUUUGUUCAAAUUUACUUUGACAUUUCCAUUAGUAUUAAAAUCUAAUUUAAAUUUUAGUGUUCAAGCUAGAAAAAGUGUUCCAUUUAAUAUUUAAUCUCAGUUUUUCUCUUUAUUCUUUUAUUGGGAUUUGGUUGCAUCGUAUCUCCAUUUUUCUCGGUGUUGUAUGUUCAUAAGGCCUGUGAAACGUUGGCACGGAGUGAAGGGUACUCACUUUUUGGCCCAAAAUGCAUAAGGCAUGUAGAUAUGUUAAUCAAAUUUUGUAAACUAAAGGAUAUAGAAGUUGAUAAUUAGAUUAUAAUUUAAGAUAAUACUAAGGAGACUAAAUUUGCAAACUAAAUGAUGUGUCACCAAUAAAAAUAAGCACGUUUAUCAACAAUUAAGUAAUAAAUCAAUCAUCAACUUUCAUGUCCUUUAGUUUCCAAGAUUUAAUAUACAAAUUUAGUCUCCCAAGCAUUACUCUAUUACUUAAGUAUUGAUUAACAGACUUAUUUCUUAUGGUGACACAUUAUUUAGUUUACAAUUUUAGUCUACCCAACAUUACUCUUUUGAAAUUGUCUUGUCCACUGAUAUAAUUCUAUUUUUCUUGUGAUCAAAACUUCAAAUGUUAGCAAGUCGCACGUAAAGUCGCUUAUGAGAGAAUGUGCUCACAUUGUAGUUGAAAGAUUAUGUGGCUAGCAACAUUACAAAUUUAAUUUGGUAUAAUUCUAAAAUAUAGAUUGAGGAAAAAAUGAUCACAUUAACUAGAAACUGAAAAGGUUUCAGCACAGUUUGUUCAAGCAAGAAAUUCAAUUUUGAUGCUACCGAUCUUAACAGCCUGAGCGCCGUACCUGGGCACCAAAGUCACCACCACACUCUCAUCAUCUUCAGCACCCAAAUCCUCCAACAGGUCCGUUAACCCCAACCUUAAACAACUCUUGCUCUUUUCCUUCUGCUUAUGUGGCACACUCACAAAACUCCCAGCAAACUCGCUCUUGUCGGGUCCACUCGGUGCCGCAUCCUCAUCGUCCACGUCAUUCACAUACACACAUCAAACUUCACAGCCACAUCUUUGUCAAGCUCAAUCCCCUGAAUCACCAAUAUCUCCUCCUCAUCCUCUUUCUCCUUCUUGCUCCUCUUCUUCGGCUUCGGCCUUGACACCACCGUACUUAUCUUCGUCUCCAAAUUUAUUGGAAAAUCUUUACCCGCCACCACCUUCCCUGAUGACGUCGUCUCAGUGGCCUUCGCCACUCCAGCCGCCUUUGCCUUUCUCGCAAGCUUUGUCCGACGUGGCGUCGGUCUAGACUUGAGCCAUGGAAUCUCAACAUCUUCAUACGUAUACCCUAGCUUUUUAUUAUCAAGAGUGUCCCUCACCGUGACCCUAACAAGCUCAGCAUUCUCGUCAUAAAACAAAAACCCCGUAUCCAACCAAUCCUUAUCGUUAAUAUCGUUAUUUUUAGUCCCUAUACUUUUCCAAAUAUUCCACAUUCGAUCUAUAUUCGAAUGGUGCGAAAAAAAUAUUGGAUCCCUUGCAGCGGAGUAAAAAUUCCCCAUGUCUUCAAAAUUAGGCUGCGUGUUAUCUCCGGUCCAUAAAUGAACCGGACCAUGUGGGGUCGUUUCGAUUGAACCGCCCCCUGGAUCUGGUUCAGUGUCAGCCCUGUAGGGCGAACCAAAGAACAACAGCGGUUUCUUGGAGUUGGAAACCAUCUGCCUAUACAUGAUUUUGAGGUUGGCGUCGAUUUGAGCAUCCUUGGACAUUGUUUCAUCCGUGCCGUUGAAGUCAAGAUCGAUGAGAGUCGGCGGCUGAUGGCUGGCAGCGCGGAGCUCGUCGUAAAGCGGAGAGUCCGGGUUAGCGAACAAGGCAGGGAGUUGCAUGCCAGCUGGCGCGUCCCAGUUCCAAAACGGCAACGCGAACGUCGGAUCGUCUAUGAGUUUGGCCAAGAUUCUUUCGUAGAAGUAUACGUAGUAACGAUGGAAGGGGAAGAAAAGCCAGCAUUGAUGGAUUUGGAGCUCGAGGUUGGGGAAGCCGACUUGGUCGUACGCGCCGUCGCAAUAGGCACAGUGGAGAUCGGCUUGCUGGGUGAAGCUACGCGGAUCGUCGUCCGGGAGGGCUUUCAUGAGCUCGAUGGCUUUUGAAUAUUUUUCGAUGUAGGCUUUAUCCACGGUGUGAGCUGCCGGCCUGACGCGGAGUUUGGUAGGGGAGGGGAAUUUGAAGUCUACGAUUUUUUGGGACGUUGGCGGGCAACAGUUGAUCGGGACUGCUCCACUUGGAAAGUCCGCAGCUCCGCAUUUGGCUAGGUCAGGCGGCAACACUGGCUUUGCAACAGCGAAGGGGUCGCUGCCAAGACCAGCCACUCCGGCUUUGCAACAGCGAAGGGGUCGCUGCCAAGACCAGCCACUCCACCGUAGAGGCUUCCGAGACCUAUAAGAAGAUAGAAUUCAGUUCUUGGCAGUAGAGGACUCUAUUGCAGGGAAAAACUGAUUUGAAUUAGGAAGGCUUAAGUAGUUUUCCAUAAGGAUUUUAAUAGGGAAUCCAUAUUCUAAUAUGAGAAGGAUAUGUGUGUACAUAUAUAUAUAUAUAUAUGGCAAUCUCUUCUCUCACAGGUGUGUGCUCUUUUGGAACUAAGCCCUAUUCUUAGUUUGAGUGAUAAAUACCCUGACAGAGAGAAGAAGAAUUGAUGUGCUUUUCAGGUUGAUCGAGAUCCACCAUGACUGCAUCAAACGGGAGUUCUACAGGUUAGUAUAAUUAGGUUUUAUUUGGAUUGAUGUUUUGUGUCUACUUGGUUGUAGUUUAAGUAACUGAAUCUUGCAGCUAGAUUUUGGUUUACAUGUGGUAUCAGAGCCAUAGAUUCAUGUUCUUAAAUUCAAUCGAUAAAAUUGAUUGAAUCCAAAAUAAAAUUCCGAUCUUCAGACUUCGAAACAGGUUCUGGUAGUUAAAAUUAGGAAAAGAAGAAACGGUGCGUUUUGAUUAAAAUAUGAUGAUUAAUACUUGACCGUUAAGAGCUAAUAAACUAUCUUCUCUUCCGAAUUGGGAAUACAAAUCGACAUCUAUCGAUUUCGAUUUCGGGGUUUGAAAAACUGGGUUAUAUGACAUCUAUCGAUUUCGAUUUCGAGGUUUGAAAAACUGGGUUAUAUGAAUUGUUAUUGAGUAUCCACAAUUUAUAUUAAUUGCUUCCGCUGCUGGGUGUUGAUGCUCAUAGAACAAACGGGUAUGUCUCCUGAACAUUGAAUUGAAAUUUGUUUUUUAAUCAAUCUUAUCUUGAAUUUCAUUAUGUUCUACAGCAUGAUUCGAAUAGUGAGCAUAAAAAUAUGCUUAUUUAUGCUGAUUAGUCCUAUGUUUAUGCGUUUUUCUCUAACCAUCUAUGGAAGGGAGUUCUUCGAUAAGAACCUCUGCAGAUUUCACUUGUUUUAUGCAGAAAGUUUUAUGAAGAACUGUUCAUUUGAUAAAGAUCUGCUAAAACUGUGUUCUUAAAUGGAAAAAUCUUUUAUUCUAUAUGUGCUUAUCAAUUCUUCAUUGUUAAGAUUAUAUAUAUGGAUAAAAGGUUUUGAUGAUAUGAUGUACAAAGGAUUGUGAGAUGAAAUCUGGAACUCUAAACGUUCUUCUGUGAUUCAUUGUGAUUUCAUUGUGCUACAGUGUCUGCAAUAUCAAUGAAGACUCUGAAUUUGGCUAACAUCCCAAUUCUUACUGGUGGGGGAAAUUACAAGAAGUGGAGAAGGGAAAUCAGUUUGCUGUUGACUCUAAACGAGUUUGAUAUAGCAAUCGAGAAUCCCAAACCCGUGGUCAAUGAUCAGAGCAGCACAAGGGCUGAAAAGGCAGAUUUUGAGAGAUGGACAAGGGCUAAUAAGGUAGCAUUGUCCAUCCUUGAGAGUGGCAUGACUGAUACAAUCAGAUGAGGAAUUAAGAAGCACGAUUUGGCUGCUGAUUACCUAAAAGCUAUUGAAAAGAAAUUUCAAGAAUCUGAAAAAGCUGAAGUGAGUCAGUAUAUGUCUUUAUUAACUACUUACAAGAUGGAGGGUACAAGCUCUAUAAGGGAUCACAUAAUGAAGAUGACAUAUGCUGCAGAAAGACUCAAUGCAAUGGAUAUAAACAUAGGUGAAAAGCAGUUAGUAUUCAUGAUUCUUCAAGCACUUCCCAGUAAAUAUAGUCAGUUGAAGAUCUCCUACAAUACUCAAGACAAAAACUGGGAUAUUGAUCAGUUGAUUGCACAGUGUGUGCAAGAAGAAACUCGUCAAAAACAAGAAAGAGGCAAAGAAGUUGAGGACAUCAACUUUGUGCAAACUAUAAAUGACAAAAAGCAGUUCAACAACAGAAGCUUUUCUGGUUCUGGUAAGAGUUCUAAGCCUUUUAAAACUUCUAAUAAGUUCAGUAAUUCUGCUAAAGUAGUUGACUCCCCUAGAAAAUCUAUCAAGUUUAAAGCUAAACCUAAAGAUGUGUCUAAAUUAAAAAUGUUUUUGGUGCAAAACUAAGGGCCAUUUAAAAGUUAACUGUGAAAUUUUCAAAGAUUAUGUAAAGAGCAAAGAAAAGGAACAAGUACUUGUCUGUAUUGAAUCAAAUUUGUGAAGUAUACCUGUUGAUUCUUGGUGGUUUUGAUAUACCGGAUGCUCAGUGCAUAUAACUAAUUCUUUAAAUGGUUUUCAAAAACAAAAGGAAUUUGGAAAUGCUACAUAUAAUGUUUUUGUUGGGGAAGGAACUAAAGUUGCAGUAGAGUCAAUUGGGAUAGUCAAAUUAGUCUUAUGUUCUGGUUAUGUUUUAGAGUUGAAAGAUGUGUGCUAUAUGUGCCUAAGAUGAGAAGAAACUUAAUUUCUGCCCUCUAAAAUUGUAAAAGAUGGUUUUUCUUUUCUUGGUGAUGAUGAGUGCCUCAAAAAUUUUCAAGAAAAACUGUCCUUGUCCUAACACUAUUUUAGGGACUGCUUUUUUGUCUGAUAAUUUAUGGAAUCUAAAUUGCACUGUUAAGGCACUCAAUCACACGAUUUUCAGCAUUAGUACUAAGAGAAUGAUAGGUCAGGAUACUUCAUACAUUUUAUGGCACAAAAGACUAGGACACAUCUCUAAAGAAAGGAUAAUUAAGCUGUAAAAAACUGACUUGAUUCCAAAAUUAGAUCUUUCUACUGCAACUGAAUGUGUUGACUGCCUAAAGGGUAAAAUGACCAAUUUUAGAAAAACAGAUGCCAAAAUGAGCCAGGGGUUACUUGAAAUCAUACACACUGAUAUCUGUGGUCCUUUUCCAGUUAAGACAAUAUGUGGAAACAAGUAUUUCAUUAAUUUCAUAGAUGAUUUUUCAAGGCUGGGAUAUACCUUUCUGAUUAAUGAAAAAGCUGAUGCCCUUAAGUGUUUUAUAAUUUACAAAACUGAGGUUGAAAAACAGUUAGGCAAGGUUAUUAAAAUUGUUAGAUCGGAUAGGGGAGGUGAAUACUUUGGCAGGUACACUGAAUCCGGGCAGCAAAAGGGACCAUUUGCUCUCUAUCUCGAGAAGAAUGGUAUUGUGGCGCAGUACACCACACCUGGAACGCCUCAACAGAAUGGUGUUUUUGAAAGAAGAAACAGGACUCUUAUUGGUAUGGUUAGAAGCAUGAUGUCCAGAUCAAAAUUGCCAGGAUUCUUGUGGGGAGAAGCUUUGAAAACAGCUAAUCAUAUAUUGAAUCGAGUUCCAAGCAAGGCAGUAUCUACCACACCCUAUGAGUUAUGGCAUGGGAGAGUUCCUAGUUUUACUUAUUUCCAUGUUUGGGGUUGUAAAGCAGAAGCUAAGUUAUAUAAUCCUAAUGAAAGAAAGCUGGAUUCAAGGACUCAGUCAUGUUAUUUUAUUGGCUAUCCUGAGAAAUCAAAAGGAUACAGGUUCUAUAUCCCUCAAGGUCACACUCGGAUCCAAGAGACACACAAUGCAGUUUUCCUAGAAGAUGAAGAUGUCUCUCAUUUGUCAAGGGAAAAUUUCAUAUUUGAAGAGAUGCAUUCAGAUGGUGGGGACCAUGUGACAAUGGAUUAUAAUAUCGGUCUCAUUGUUUCCCAAUCAAUCAUCAAUUGCCAUUGAAGAUAUGAGUGAAGAUUUAGGAGUUCCUGAUGACAACUCUGUAGGAGUUGAUUCCACAACAUAAGCUGCAACAAUUCCUUUUGCAGAAGCAUGUGAACCAGUUGCUGUUCCACCUCCAGUUGAAAUCAGAAGGUCACAAAGAGCUCGGAAAACCACUGCAAGCAAUGACUAUGUGUACUUAUAAGAGACUGAGUUCGAUAUUGGUGACAUUUGAUGAUCCUCUUACAUAUACUCAGGCAACUGAAAGUCCUCAAGCAGUUCUUUGGAACAAUGCAAUGAAGGAUGAGUUAGAUUCAAUGUCCAAAAACCAGGUUUGGACAUUGGUGGAAUCCAACUCUGAAAUUAGGCCAAUAGGCUGCAAGUGGGUAUAUAAAACCAAAAGGGAUGCUGCUGGAAGAAUUGAAAGAUAUAAAGCAAGGUUGGUUGCUAAGGGGUUUACUCAAACGGAGGGGAUCGACUAUAAUGAUACUUUCUCUCCAGUUUCCUCCAAAGACUCCAUGCGAGUUAUCAUGUCUUUAGCUGCCUACUUCGAUCUUGAAUUACAUCAAAUGGAUGUAAAAACCGCUUUUCUUAACGGAGACUUACAAGAGGCUAUAUACAUGAAACAACCUGUUGGAUUUGUUGAAAAGGGGAAAGAGAAUUUAGUAUGCAAGCUCAAUAAGUCCAUAUACGGCUUGAAACAAGCAUCAAGGCAAUGGUACCUAAAGUUUGAUCAAAUUGUCUCUGCAUAAGGUUUUGUAGAAAACAAACUGGAUGAUUGUAUAUACAUUAAGUUCUCAGGUUCCGAGUUCAUCUUCUUAGUACUUUAUGUUGAUGCCAUUCUCCUAGCUAGUUCAUGUCCCCAAUUGCUUCAUAGCAUUAAGAGAAUGCUAAGUGAUAACUUUGAGAUGAAAGAUCUUGGAGAAGCACAUUAUGUACUAGGAAUAGAGAUUGUUCGAGAUAGGAAAAUGAGGCUCCUUGGUUUAUCUCAAAAGGGGUACAUUGACAGAGUGUUGGAGAAAUUUCAUAUGGCAAAUUGCAAUUGUGGUCAGGUUCCAGUCAAUAAAGGUGACAAGUUUUCGAAGAUUCAAUGUCCAAGAUCUGAUUUGGAGGUGAAGAAAAUGCAAGCUAAGCCUUAUGCCUCGUUGAUUGGAAGUCUUAUGUAUGCAACUAUCUGUACAAGGCCUGAUAUUGCCUUCAUAGUUGGUAUGCUAAGACGAUUUCAAGCAAAUCCUGAGAAGCACAUUGGGGGUGGCAGCCAAGAAGGUUCUUCGAUACUUGCAGAGAACCAAAACUCACAUGUUAGUAUAAUGGCCGAACUGAUUCUUUGGAGCUCAGGGGGUAUAUACUCGGAUUUAGCUGGAGAUGUGGAUGACAGGAAGUCCACAGGGGUUAUAUCUUCAUACUCAAUGGAGGGGCAGUUUCGUGGAAAAAUGCAAAGCAAACUAUUAUAGCCACAUCAACUAUGGAAGCUGAGUUUGUAGCCUGUUUUGAAGGCAUGAAACAGGCAGCAUGGUUGAAGAAUUUUUUGACAGAUUUAAAGAUUGUGAAUUCGGUUCAGAAACCAGUAACAAUGUUCUGUGAUAAACAACUCGGCUGUGUUUUUUGCUAAGAAUAAUAAAAGGACUUCAGCAUCUAGAUUUGGAUGGACGAAGUUUCUUAAGGUCAGAGAACAAGUCAAGAAAGGAGUUAUUGAAGUACAGCACAUUAGCACUACUAUGAUGAUUGCUGAUCCCUUGACUAAGGCACUGCCAAUUGGAGAAUUCAAGAAACAUGUUUCUUCAAUAGGAGUACUAGAAGGUUUUGAUCAGUGGGAGUAAUCACGUGUGUGUUAAAGGCUUGGGAUUGCAGAAGCAGAAGUAUAUAUGUGUUUCAAGAACUGUAUGUGCAAUUCUGACAAGCUGAACUAAGGAUGCUUUAUGUUUUAACUUGCUUUAGUUAGUUUGUUAAGGUUGUUUGUGUUUUAAUAAGUGUCCUUGUCUGCUACUCAAUACUUUGGCUUUCAGGUGUUGAGGUACGGAUACUGGACUGAGUUAGAAUUUAGUUUCAUUAGUAACUUUGAAAGAACAGUUUGUCUGUUUUUUAAGUUUGUGGUUAAUGAUGUUAUAUAGUCAAUUACUAUGUUGCUUUUCUGUGAAGAUUAAUGUGUGUUGUGAUCUUUUGAAAAGUGGGAGCAUAAUGUUUGACGGUUUAUGUUAGUCAUGAGUCAUAUUUACAAAUUGAAUAUAUGUGAGCCUUGAAUUAAUACUACAAUUUGGUUGUGGUCUGAGAUUCUUGGUUUCUAUAUUUUGAGAUGUAAUGGGACAGUGGUCAUGAUGGUUAAAUCUUAGAUGAGGUUAUGUGAUCACUUCUUAUGAUUGGUGACGGCAAGGUUUGAUCUUUGUCUCAUGUUCAAGUGGGAGAAUGUAAGAAUGUGAACAUGAGAUAAGAUGAUCGGAUAUUAGUUGUUUGAGUCCAAUCCGAAUAAGAAAGCCUCUAAGAAGAUGGAAUUCAGUUCUUGGCAGUAGAGGACUCUAUUGCAGGGAAAAACUGAUUUGAAUUAGGAAGGCUUAAGUAGUUUUCCAUAAGGAUUUUAAUAGGGAAUCCAUAUUCUAAUAUGAGAAGGAUAUGUGUGUACAUAUAUAUAUAUAUAUGGCAAUCUCUUCUCUCACAGGUGUGUGCUCUUUUGGAACUAAGCCCUAUUCUUAGUUUGAGUGAUAAAUACCCUGACAGAGAGAAGAAGAAUUGUUGUGCUUUUCAGGUUGAUCGAGAUCCACCAUGACUGCAUCAAACGGGAGUUCUACAGGUUAGUAUAAUUAGGUUUAUUUGGAUUGAUGUUUUGUGUCUACUUGGUUGUAGUUUAAGUAACUGAAUCUUGCAGCUAGAUUUUGGUUUACAUAUUUUUCGAUGUAGGCUUUAUCCACGGUGUGAGCUGCCGGCCUGACGCGGAGUUUGGUAGGGGAGGGGAAUUUGAAGUCUACGAUUUUUUGGGACGUUGGCGGGCAACAGUUGGUCGGGACUGCUCCACUUGGAAAGUCCGCAGCUCCGCAUUUGGCUAGGUCAGGCGGCAACACUGGCUUUGCAACAGCGAAGGGGUCGCUGCCAAGACCAACCACUCCGGCUUUGCAACAGCGAAGGGGUCGCUGCCAAGACCAGCCACUCCACCGUAGAGGCUUCCGAGACCUAUAAGUACAUUUCUUCUGUCUAGGUUUACUAGAGAAGGGUUUUCAUGGUCGUGAUCGUUGGAGCUAGUGGAAGGGUUUUUGUUUUGGUCACUACUAUUAUUUGUGGCUUUGCACGAGACAGCUUGUAAAUUGGAAUGCCUAGGGUUUCCAAAUGAGGAUAUUCGGUGAUACUUUUGGGAGAAAGGGGAGAGAGAAGUUGUGGGGAUGAUACUUGUGGCGGAGGUGACGAGUGGAGCUGACAUAGAAGCCAUGGUACUUGACUCUGAAUAAUACGUUGUAUUGGCUUUGCUUUUAUAAUGUGUUCUAGGUUUUACGUUUCUUUGCACGGGUGGCAGGCCGUACACACGUGGUCGGUCCUUAAGGGUUUGACGAGGAAUACUACGCAGUCAUUUAGUACAUGACAACCAUACACUAUAGCACGUGGCAUGUAUUUAGAGAUCGAGAGAGAAUUGGGUAAGGUUCACGAGGGAUUGUAGUUUCAGAAGGUGAAUUGGUUUUGGUCUUCUUGUGUACCAAUAAUUUUUACUUAGUCAUUUAGUGCAGGACAACCAUGCACUAUAGCACGUGGCAUGUAUUCAGAGAUCGAGAGAGAAUUGGUUGGGUAAGGUUCACGAGGGAUUGUAGUUUCAGAAGUUCAAGCGGUUUUGGGCUUGUUGUGUACGGCUGUGGGUCUGCUGUCACGGACUCUCUGUCUCAUUUGUGUCUUAUUUUUUAUUUUUUGACACGUUUUAACGUCAAAUCAUUAUAGCAAUGUUAUGCAAUUGGGAGCUAAAUGACCGAUGCUCUUAUUUUUUAGUUUGCUUUUUUUCCAGAUCUGAUCAAAUCAUGAUAGCAAUGUUAUGCAAUUUUCAAGAGGGAGAGAUGCACCUGGGAGAGAAACGGUACGGUGACUUCUAAAUCACCGUCCAACAGAACAAUUCUCAGUAGAGACUACUAGAGAGAGAUGCACCUCACCAAUGAAAAAUUUAACUGCAAAAAUUCUGGGUAUCGGGAGUUGUGGGGUGGGUCUUGGCAGUUUUCUUAUUUCUUUGAAUUUUUUAUAAUUUAUUUUAUAAAAGUAACAGUGUUUUGUGGGGGUUAAAUUGUAAAACACGUGUCAUCAAACUAAAUAAAGAGACACCAAAGAGACAUGGAAUUCGGGACAACAGACCCACAGCCGUUGUGUACGGAGGCAGACUCUCUGCUCUCCUACUUUCUGUGUCCUCCUGUUUUGUGUAGUCACGAUUAAAUCACGUCAAUAUUUUAUAUUAUUAUUUUAUAGAUAUAAUAAGACAAAAAAGAAUAGUAAUUUAAAAUAUUAACGUGACUUAACUGUGACCACACGAAUAGGAAGGCAUGAGAAGUGGGAAGGCAAAGAAUAUGCCUCCGUUGUGUACCAAUAAUAUUAUAUAUAUAUAUAUAUAUAUAUAUAUAAUUAGGAUUGAAGGAUGUAGAGCUUAUUUUGUUAUGUAUUCUAACAAUUUAAGUGCUUAUCUUUUAGGUUUUCUCUUAAACAGCAUGCCUAUAAAAAAUCACCAAAAUUCAAACCAUAUGACCAUUAGAUCCAUAGUCAUUUUAGUGUUAAAUGAACUUCACAAAAUAAGUCUCAAAAUAUGUAUAAAAAAUGGACAGCGUGAAUGGUUUGGAAAUUGGAAUAGGUUUGGAAAUUGUGCUUUUUGUAGCAAAUUGCAGCAAAGUUUGCUUGGACUUUCACAACCGUAUAAAUUAAACUGUUCGCUUUGUUGGGAAAAACAAGUUUGCCGCUGGUCUUGGGUUCCAAGAUCGGCCAAUUUGACGGCACACUUUUUGGCGUUGAGAAGCAGUACGGAGAUGUGCAGAUUAACUUGGAUUGAUACUCCUCCAUCUUCGUUGGUUCGUGUAUUGAACAAAGAUGGCCUUCCUUGCCCUCCUUAAUAUUUUUUGUUCUUCCUGCAGUGGAGGCGGUGACGCCUUGCUCUUGGUGCAGCGUCUAGUGUUCUGUACCCUCCUCUUCUGCAUAUGUUUGUAUUUCCCCUCGUUGCCCCUUCUAAGUGGGCUUCCUAUUGUUUUGGCUUCGGCCCUGGUUAUGAAAUAUUUCCAAUCUUACCCAAAAAAAAAAAAAAAAAGAAGAAGAAGAAGAAGUCAAGCACGGUGGGAGACUGGUCAUAGUUUCUAGAUUGAUGCUCUAAUUCUAAUGUUAUACAACGCGUACGCUAAAAUAUUUUUAUCAAAAUAUUAGUUUUAGUGUUAUCAAAACAAUAAUGUUAUUCUUACCAUGUUUUUGUAUCACAAUUAUAUACCACCUUAGAUGGCAUAUGAUGUAGAUAGCCACAUCAUUUAAAUUAAUAAGCAUUUAAUUUCAAAUGUUAAUCAAUAAUUAAUAAAAUGAUUGUUAAUUAAAUGAUGAUUAUGGUAUACAAGGAGUCUCCUUCUUCCUUCCCCUUUCCAUUCUGCUUUUUCUUCCUACCACUUUCUGUUUUUUUUUUCAUGCCAGUUUUUGUAUUGAUUUCUAUUGAUUUCCAUGAUUAUGGUCAAUCUUUAUAGAAUUUACUCGUAUACCACAACCACCAUUGAUUUCUAUCUCUAGACUCAUGCCCCGUAGCCCUAAUCCUCAUUCCCCUUCAAGUAUUUCUGUCUCCAAUCUUCUUUGGUACUCCAUGGUUGUUCAUCUCGUGAUUUUUUUUUAUUAUUUCAUUAAGUAACGCCUAUUAGCUUUCAUGCGAAUUAGGAGUCAAAAUCAAAUUUGUCUAUCGGAUUAGGGUUCAUGCCCAAUUAAGUUACUAACGCAAGAGAGAUUUUGAAGUCUACAAUUUUCCUUAUUUAAGUGUUUUAAUUAAUAAGAAAAUUGAAAUUAAACGAUUUAGCUUGUCCAACUCAUCUGCCACCUAAGAUGGUAAAUAAAUGUGGUAAGAAUAGCAUUACUCUUAUCGAAAUUACAAAAAAAAAAAAAAAAAAAAAAAAAAGCUGAUUCAAUAUUUAGUUAUUAAAAAAAAUAUAAAAAAAGUGAUCAAGUAACUAUCCAAUACCCAUGUAUUGGGUGCUUUGUUUGAAAAUUUUCAAAAUGAUAUUGGGCUCGUUUGGAUAUGUUUUUAAAAUGACUGAAAGCGUUUUUAGAGAAAAUAUUUUUUUGAUUCCAAAAGCACUUAAAGUGUUUUCUGCAAAAAGCACUUAAAGUGCUUUCUGCAAAAAGCACCAGUUAUGUGCUUCUUCCUAGAAGCACUUUAAGUGUUUUUCAAGCAUUUACUUGCUUUUUUACUAAGGAUUGGUUCCAAAAACAUUUUCACAAAAAGUGUUUUCAGUCAUUUUAAAAGUACAUUCAAACGAGCUCAUUGUUUUUCCUAUUUUAAUCAAGUGCGUCGUCCCCUGUUGAGAAUGAAUCUCAUAUUAUGGGGAGAGGGGUCUUGCAUGGAUGAGAGGAGGGACCUUGCAUGAGCUUAUAAGUAAGUUGGGUUACUCUCUAUAUUGCCAAGAGAAAUUUUAUUUGGACCUACUUUUCCUCUCUCUAAACCCAACUUUAAUAUUUUGUUACCUAAACUCUCUAGUUUACCCUCAUAAAUUAUAAACAUAAAUAAACUGGAAAAAGAAAAACUCAUCAAACCUAUUUCCCAACUGUUCUGGCGUCUCUUCCCUGUAUUUGUUGGGUCUAUCUCCCUCCCGACUGUUUUUUUUCCCUGAUAUUCUCUGUGUGUUCCCCCACCUCUCCCACACCCACCGAUUCUUUGUGGUGGCUAUUCCACCCAACGUCCAGUGAAUCUUUCCAUUUUUCUUCUAUUGCGCGUGAUAGGGCCUUGCUGUUAAUAGGCAAAACUAAGCGGCAUCGUCGACUCUGUAAGCGACUUGUUGCAGAAGUCCAAAAUGGAGUCAAAAGGAUUUUGUAUUGGGUCGGGUUGUUGAAGGCGAUGGCUGAUUUAGCAAUCUCGCCUAACUACUUCUAUAUGCAGGAGAAGGAAGAGGGAGGAAGGUCUAAAGUGGUGGUUGAGUGGUGGCGAUGUAUGUGGGUUCUAUCUCGGUUGAAUGGGUGUAGAAAGAUAUUUAAUUUUCAGUUUCUUAUUUUAUUUUGUAUAAGGGAUAAUAUCGGAAUUACAUAAAAAGUUUUUUUUAUAGCUGGGUGUAGAAAUAGUAUUGUUGGGUCUAAAUAAAAUUACCCUAUUGCCAAACAUAGUAUUGUUGGGUCUAAAUAAAAUUACCCUAUUGCCAAUUAGCUUUGUUUGAAAAUUUUCAAAAUGAUAUUGUUUUUACCAUUGAACCCUUGUUAUAUACAGUGAUGGCUAAUUUGUCAAGUUCUACGAAGUUGGGAUACCCAGCGUUUUAGCAUAUAACAUAACUUAGUAUUACAAGCAUAAUUAAUUAAAAUAAAGGAAAAUGAAGAGGAUAGCUUAGUAUUACAAGCAUAAUUAAUUAAAAUAAAGGCAAAAGUAACAGCCUGUCCCUAAAAAUGACGAUUUUAUAAUCUUAACACGUGAGUUUAUGAAGAUGCCCUUCGAGGCAAAGUGUUGACUUGUGUUGACUACCGCAUCGUGUCAUGUGAGACUCAUCUUCUUGGCGUAUUCUCGUUUUACUUGUCACUACGGACGCAUGGGCGCAAACGGGACAUGAUUUGGAGCUAUAACGAAUGAGUUAUUAACAUUUAAAGUUAAGGACAUUUUAGUAAAUUAAUUAAUUUCAGAUUAUGUUGAGGGGAAAAUCUGGAGUGCCGGUGGGUGGCCCAGAUUAAAGGAAAUGAAGAAUGGAUGGUGGAGGUGUAAAGGAAAGAAGAUAAAAGAAAAAUGAGAGGAAGUGUGUGACUAAUAGGGAGAUGAGAGAGUUAGGAUGGCCCAAUCAGAAACAAACGAAAGGAGGAAAAAGGAGAGAAGAGGGGAGCGGGGGAUCCCUUCGACCCGGUUCCAUUUUCCGACCCGACCCGAUCCUUUUCAUCUUCUUUGAUGGUUUUUCGUCGGUUUUUUCCGACGAACCACGUUAUCUAACCCCUUGGAAAAUGUUCCACAACCUUCCCUCAACUAUUACAAUCCAAAAUUGUAGAAAUUUAGCCAUGAAAGUAUGAAAACCACACCGGUGGGUGCGGGAAACCCUUGUCGUCGAUUCUCCCAUUAUUGCAACGAUUUUCACCAAUUACCACCACCUACAACAUCCUCUUGAGGUCUGGAAUAAAGCCCAAACAAGUUUUGCACUACUACAAUAUUAGCUUUAGAUGGCAGAUGAUGGUGGCGGAUUUAGAAAAAUAUUGUCGGAUAAAUUAUAUCUGACACAUUAUUUAAUUAGUGGUGAAUAUAAGAAAAAUCAUGUCGGUUAUAACCGACAUAAAUUCGUGGCAGAUACUAGCAGAUAUUAAAAAACUCAUGUCGGUUAUAACCGACAUAAAUUCCUAGCGAAUAAUUACUGACAGAUAUUAUAAAACUUCUGUCGGUUAUAACCGACAAUAUUUUUGAAUUGGGGGAAUUUAAAAUUUUGGGAGGGAAUUUAAAAUUUUGGGAGGGAAUUUAAAAUUUUGGAGGAAAUUUUGGGGGGAUUUUUACCCAUAUUAAUUCAUGGCGGAUAAUUACUGACGAAUAUUAUAAAGCUCAUGUCGGUUAUAACCAACAAUAAUGAAAAUGUUUAUGUCGAUUUUUAUUAAAAAAAUGUUUCUGUCAGUUUUAACCGACAUUAAUGAAAAUAUUCCACAGUAAAACCCCUACUUCUUCUCCUUGUGCUGGUGCCUUCUCCCUUCCCCCUUCUUUCCCCCUUUUCUCUUCUCCUCAUUUCCUUUUCCUUUGUAUUUUUGAUUUUGACAAGGUCUCUCCUUUAUUUGAUUCUUUGUUGUUCAUCUCUCACAAAUGUAGAGAGAGUAAAGGAGAUGCUUAGAGCGCUUUCUUUGUUCCUUUUUUUUUUCUUUUCAUUUUUUCCCUUUUCAAACUCCGACUAUGUCUUACAUGGCCGGUCCCAAGCCCGGAUAAAGGAGGAGGGGGAGGGCGUCAGGUAGUCGACAGCCGGCACUCCAUGAUCACGUCGAAUCCUUAUGAAAAUGAAUCCAGAACAAAAUCGCGCUAAAGCUAGGGCGCCACCCGUAAGUGGCGCGCUGUGUGGCCCGAGCACAGUGAUAAGUGAGCAAGGGUCGCUGUAUCUCCAUCGGCACUCGGAUGCAGUGUUAAAUGAGCAAGGGGGCCAUAGAAACUUCUUUUCGAACGACUCCACUCAAAGUUGUUUGGGAGCAUAUGCUCCUAUCAACUUUACCCGGGACACACAAAAGAAGUACUUUGAUCCUAUUAGACGGGGGAGGGUGAAGAAGCUAGGACAGAAGGGUAGAGUUCAAGAGAGCAAAAUGCGUUUAGGAACGUGGAAUAUAGGAACCUUAACGGGAAAAUCUAUGGAAGUAGUGGAAGUUAUGGUGAGGAGAAGGAUAAAUAUUAUGUGCCUACAAGAAACUAAGUGGGUUGGUAGUAAGGCAAAGGAUCUAGAAAACUCAGGGUUUAAACUUUGGUAUUCGGGCACAAAUAGAACGAGAAACGGUGUUGGCAUCAUCGUGGACAAGACCUUGGUACAAGAUGUUGUAGAUGUCAAGAGUGUAGGAGAUAGAAUCAUGGCAAUCAAGAUUGUAAUAGGACAAGAACUUAUCAAUGUGAUUAAUGCGUACGCACCUCAAGUAGGGUUGGAUACGAGUUCGAAGGAGAAAUUUUGGGAAGAUCUUGGAGACUUGGUGCAAGGAAUUGCUCAGACGGAGAAGUUAUUUAUAGGAGGAGAUUUAAAUGGACACGUGGGCAGGGAGACAGGCAACUAUGGAGGUUUUCAUGGUGGCCAUGGUUUUGGGGAGAGAAACGAGGAUGGGGAAGCUAUCUUGGAUUUUACAAUGGCAUAUGAUCUCUUCUUAGCCAACACCUUCUUUAAGAAGAGAGAAGAACAUGUGAUCACCUACAAGAGUGGGUCGUCAAAAACACAAAUAGAUUUUCUUCUAAUGAGGAAAGGGGAUCGUAUAACUUGUAAGGAUUGCAAAGUUAUACCAGGAGAGAGCGUGGCUAAUCAACAUCGCUUGUUGGUGAUGGAUGUACAUAUCAAAAGAGUAAGACAAAAGAACAAGACUUGGAAGUGCCCAAGGACUAGAUGGUGGAAUCUAAAAGAAGAAAAACAAGUCAUUUUCAAAGAGAAGGUAAUCACCCAAUGUGUGUGGGAUAGAGAGGGGGAAGCUAGCCAAAUGUGGGAUUUCAUGGCUAGUUGUAUCCGAAAAGUAGCAAAAGAGGUAUUAGGAGAGUCUAAGGGCUUUGCCCCACACUAAAAGGAAUCUUGGUGGUGGAAUGAGGAGGUACAAACAAAGGUGAAGGCUAAGAAGGAAUGUUGUAAAGCCUUAUACAAGGAGAGGACCGAUGAAAAUGGUGAAAGGUAUAGAAAAAAAGCGAAGCAAGAGGCGAAGAAAGCUGUCAGAGAAGCUAAGUUAGCGGCUUACGACGAUAUGUAUAAACGACUAGAUACCAAAGAAGGAGAGUUGGAUAUCUAUAAACUAUCUAGAGCAAAGGAAAAGAAGACAAGGGACCUAAACCAAGUGAGGUGCAUCAAGGAUGAGGAUGGAAAGGUUCUUGCUACAGAGAACGCGGUUAAAGACAGAUGGAGAGGUUAUUUUCAUAAUCUUUUCAAUGAAGGACAUGAAAUGAGUGCUUCUUUAGGGGAGUUGAGUAACUCAGAAGAGUGUAGAAACUACUCUUUUUAUCGUCGAAUCCGGAAGGAAGAAGUGGUUGUAGCUUUGAAGAAGAUGAAGCAUAAAAAAGCAAUAGGCCCAGACAAUAUACCAAUCGAAGUGUGGAAACUUUUGGGAGAGACAGGUAUAACAUGGCUCACUGACCUUUUCAAUAGGAUUUUGAAAACGAAAAAGAUGCCAAAUGAGUGGCGAACGAGCACUUUGGUGCCUAUCUACAAGAAUAAGGGCGACGUACAAAAUUGCAUGAACUAUAGGGGUAUUAAGCUAAUGAGUCAUACAAUGAAGCUCUGGGAGAGAGUCAUUGAGCAUAGAUUGAGGCAAGAGACACGGGUUUCGGACAACCAAUUCGGGUUCAUGCCAGGGCGCUCAACCAUGGAGGCAAUCUAUCUCUUACGAAGAUUGAUGGAAAGAUAUAGAGAUGGGAAAAAUGAUUUACACAUGGUCUUUAUAGAUUUGGAAAAAGCGUAUGAUAGGGUCCCAAGAGACAUUCUUUGGAGGAUUUUAAAGAAGAAAGGAGUACGAGUAGCAUAUAUCCAAGCUAUAAAGGACAUGUAUGAAGAAGCAAAGACUGCCGUAAGAACUCAUGAAGGACAAACCGAAAGCUUUCCCAUAACUGUAGGAUUACAUCAAGGCUCAUCCUUAAGUCCUUACCUUUUUGCGUUGGUAAUGGAUGAGUUAACAGGACAUAUUCAAGAUGAUAUUCCUUGGUGUAUGCUUUUCGCAGACGAUAUAGUGUUGAUAGAUGAAACUCAGGAAGGGGUAAAUGCAAAGCUUAACCUUUGGAGAGAAGUGUUGGAAUCUAAAGGUCUUCGCCUAAGCCGAUCAAAGACAGAAUAUAUGGAGUGCAAGUUCAGUGCAAAUGGAGGCCAAAACGAGUUAGGGGUGAGGAUCGGAGAUCAAGAAAUACCAAAGAGUGACCGUUUUCGUUACCUAGGAUCUAUCUUGCAAAAGAACGGAGAAUUAGAUGGAGAUCUCAACCAUAGAAUACAAGCUGGAUGGAUGAAGUGGAAGAGUGCAUCUGACGUGUUGUGUGACCGUCGUAUGCCACUGAAGCUCAAAGGAAAAUUUUAUAGGACGGCAAUAAGGUCGGCGAUGAUUCAACUUGGCGGGUUCGAGCAAAUAGGCGUUGGGCCAUAUUAGACACAGAACCUGCACACUGAACACUGAGAGCUAGCGAAUCCUUAACAGCUAACUCAUCAGACCGUUUGGAAAGUAGUCUGUUAUCUUUGGGAGUGAGAAGGUUCCUGGCCACCACCGCAGCGGUCAUAUCAUUCUUCAUCACGGAAUCCCCAACGGUAAGAGGACCAGUAGGGGAGACAAAGGAUGGGCGCCAUAUGUUGUCUGGAGAAGGCGGGGCUGCCUCUUCAACAAGGUUCAAGUCAAAAAACGACGGUCGGAGGGCCAGACAUUUUCAAAGGUGUUGAAGAGAGAAGAGGUCGGACACAAAUCAAGAUCUUAGAAGUGCAAGAAUGAAGCUUCUACUGGUGGAGAUUCAAGUGUGCUUUGGAACUUAAUGCCAGCCCCUAUAAAAAUCUGCACUCGACGGAGCUUCAGAAAUCGAAGAGGCGUUUGCUUUCUCAAAAGCUGGGCUGCUUAGAGAUCACGAGGGUUGAUCUCAGGAAUCGAAGAGGCGUUUGCUUUCUCAAAAGUUGGGCUGCUCAAAGACCACGAAGGCCGAUCUCAGAAAUCGAAGAGGCGCUCACUUUCUCAAAAACUGGGCUCCCCAGAGACCACGAGGGCCGAUCUCAAAAAUCGAAGAGGCACCUACUUUUCCAGCCUUGUCAGCACCUGUCACACGCACACUCAGCUUUGCGGAAAUUAUGGGCAUUCUGUCGAAGACUUCUGGGGAAGUAGAAAACACAUGAAUCUUACUGUUCAAUCACCCACUUCCCACACGCAAUAAUAGCUCAUGGGUACCACAGAUAACUUUGCCAAAGUUCUCUGCCAAAGUUGAGCACGUGAAGCUUGCAGCUCCCACUACAUCGCUCUGACCAAGAAGGGUAAAAAGAAUAGCAAAGAAACAGCACUAACAAAGUUUAGACCCAUAAAUUUUGAAGGUCUAGCUACCAUAUUAUUACCCACAAGGGUAAAGGAACAGUACCACUGCUGGAUAAUUGGAAAGUCCCUAUGUGUCAACCUCUGUGCUUCGUGGCAAGGUAGACUAGCAAACAUGCCCAACCUUUACUCACAUUCGAGAAAACACUCCCAAUAAGAUUGCUUGCUCCAAAAUCGAAGAGGCACCGUCCUCCGAAUCUCGAGAGCCAGACUCCCAACAUGACUACUUUCUUAAAAAUCGAAGAGAGGGUAAAGGAACAGUACCAUUGCUGGAUAAUUGGAAAGUCCAUGUGUGUCAACCUCUGUGCUUCGUGGCAAGGUAGACUAGCAAACAUGCCCAACCUUUACUCACAUUCGAGAAAACACUCCCAACAAGAUUGCUUGCUCCAAAAUCGAAGAGGCACCGCCCUCCGAAUCUCGAGAGCCAGACUCCCAACAUGAUUACUUUCUCAAAAAUCGAAAGAGACACUGCUCCCCGAAUCUUCGAGAGCCAGACCCCCAGCAUGAUUGCUUUCUCAAAAAUCGAUGAGGCAUCGUUCUCCGAAUCAAUCGAAGAGGCGCUCGCUUUCUCAAAAGCUGGGCUGCUCAGAGACCACGAGGGCCGAUCUCAGAAAUCGAAGAGGCACUUACUUUUCUAGCCUUGUCAGCACCUGUCACACGCACACUCAGCUUUGCAGAAAUUAUGGGCAUUCUGUCGAAGACUUCUGGUGAAGUAGAAAGCACAUUAAUCCUACUGUUCAAUCACCCACUUCCCACACGCAACAAUAGCUCAUGGGUACCACAGAUAACUUUGCCAAAGUUCUCUGCCAAAGUUGAGCACGUGAAGCUUGCAGCUCCCACUACAUCGCUCUGACCAAGAAAGGUAAAAGAAUAGCAAAGAAACAGCACUAACAAAGUUUAGACACAUAAAUUUUGAAGGUCUAGCUACCAUAUUAUUACCCACAAGGGUAAAGGAACAGUACCACUGCUGGAUAAUUGGAAAGUCCCUGUGUGUCAACCUAUGUGCUUCGUGGCAAGGUAGACUAGCAAACAUGCCCAACCUUUACUCACAUUCGAGAAAACACUCCCAACAAGAUUGCUUGCUCCAAAAUCGAAGAGGCACUGUCCUCCGAAUCUCGAGAGCCAGACUCCCAACAUGACUACUUUCUCAAAAGCGAAGAGAGGGUAAAGGAACAGUACCAUUGCUGGAUAAUUGGAAAGUCCCUGUGUGUCAACCUUUGUGCUUCAUGGCAAGGUAGACUAGCAAACAUGCCCAACCUUUACUCACAUUCGAGACAACACUCCCAACAGGAUUGCUUGCUCCAAAAUCAAGAGGCACCGCCCUCCGAAUCUCGAGAGCCAAACUCCCAACAUGAUUACUUCCUCAAAAAUCGAAGAGACACUGCUCUCCGAAUCUCGAGAGCCAGACCCCCAGCAUGAUUGCUUUCUCAAAAAUCGAAAAGGCAUCGUUCUCCGAAUCUCGAGAGCCAGAUACCACAGACCACUUUUUCAAAGUGCUCUGACAGAGUUAAAACAUGUGAAACUGGCAGCUCCCACUACCGUGCUAUGACCAAGCAGGGUAAAGGAAUAGCAUUACUACUUGUUGUUAGGGAGACUCCUAUAUAUGUCGACCUCCAUCCCCAACGGACAGGCAGACCUGCAAAAAUGCUCAACCCUUCAUCAUAUCUGAGUGGGCACUCCCAACGAAGCCUUUCGAAAUAUUCAGCUUUCUUUCCCCCCGAUAAUACCUCUGCAAACAAGCUAUACUAGAGCAAGAAUAUCUCAUAUCAUCAGGGUUAAAAGCAAGAGUAUCCCAUAUCAUGCUUUUUCCCUGUCUUUUCCUUUGGCCUUGUUUUUACCUGCAAGACAAGGAGAAAGAGAGCAAUCAGUCAGCACUUGGAAUCAAGCUUCCAACCAGGAAAUGACUGCCUGGAACCCCUUACUUGGCAUUGCUCUCGAGUACUCAUCUUCAACAUCUUAUGUUUCCAGGGAAGAUUCUGCAUCUGCUUGAGGAACAGAUAGGGCAAGUGCGAAGGAUACAAGGAAGCAUGCGGAGACAAGCGUAACAGCACACGUGCCGAUACAUCCAUUACUCUGUCAAAAGCAAAAGUAUCCCAUAUCAGCAGGGUGGAACGUACUCUAGAUUUGAUGGACUUGUUUUGACCCUCAAAUUCUUCAGUCGGCCUUAUAUUCUGGAGGAAACCAGAAAACCCUCCAGCUCAGUUCAAGAAUAAGCCUGUGGAAAGUUACUUCUUCAAAAGCAAAAGUAUCUCAUAUCAUCUCUUCUCAUUUUUCUUCUCUCUUUAUCCUUCAUGCUGCUGCAAGAUGGGGAGAAGGUGAACAAUCAGUCGGAGCUCUGAUUGCUUACCUUGUCUGUCACCUCUUUCAGCAGACCCCCUAGCUCGGCGACUUGGGGGACUCCUACUAAAUGGUUUGUAUCGCGCUUGACCAAGCCUGAAACUACAAGUAAGCUUCAAGUGAAAUUGAUACAUUACCUUGUGCAUCUCCACCAGUUAAAGAUACCACCCCUGGAUGGAGGAAGAGUACUUCCAGAGAAGAUGCCACAUCUACCUAUGAGACAGAUAAGGCAAGUCAAGACGACACCACACUCCGAUACUUAGAAGUUUCGUGAUUAUGAGAUCAUUCUCCCACAAUAUUUCCUAAUGUCAUUUGUACUAAAUCAUUCACUUGUACUCACUAAAGGAGAGCUUGAACCUAUGUACUUGUGUAAACCCUUCACAAUUAAUGAGAACUCUUCUAUUCCGUGGACGUAGCCAAUCUGGGUGAACCACGUACAUCUUGUGUUUGCUUUCCUAUCUCUAUCCAUUUAUAUACUUAUCCACACUAAUGACCGGAGCAAUCUAGCGAAGAUCACAAAAAGCGACCGUUUUCGCUACCUAGGAUCUAUCUUGCAAGAGAACGGAGAAUUAGAUGGAGAUCUCAACCAUAGAAUACGAGCUGGAUGGAUGAAGUGUAAGAGUGCAUCCGGCGUGUUGUGUGACUAUCGUAGGCCACUGAAGCUCAAAGGAAAAUUUUAUAGGACGGCAAUAAGGCCAGCGAUGUUGUAUGGCACAGAAUGUUGGGCGGUGAAGCAUCAACACGUACACAAAAUGGGUGUAGCGGAGAUGAGGAUGCUUCGUGGGAUGUGUGGGCACACGAGAAAGGAUAAGAUUGGGAAUGAGGAUAUCCGAGGUAAAGUAGGAGUAGCCGAAAUUGUAGGAAAGAUGAGAGAAAAUCGGCUCCGGUGAUUUGGACAUGUGCAAAGAAGGCCGACUGACGCUCCGAUUCGAAGAUGUGACUACGGGACAGAGGUUCAGGGCCGAAGGGGUAGAGGAAGACCUAGGAAAACUUUGGAAGAGACUCUAAGAAAAGACUUAGAGUACUUGGAUCUAACGGAGGACAUGACACAAAACCGAGCGCAAUGGCGUUCUAGGAUUCAUAUAGCCGACCCCACUUAGUGGGAAAAGGCUUUGUUGUUGUUGUUGUUGUUGUAUUUUUUCCCUUUUCAAAAUCGAAAUGUUCUAAAUUAUUUCACUAAUCCUUGCUAGUUUGAACUGCAGGAGUCUGUCUCUGGAUUUGAAAGAUUAUCUGGACUUACAGUUUUGAAGAAUUGGGAUUCUAGUGUUACACAUAUUAUUGCAUCGACAGAUGAAAAUGAAGCAUGCAGAAGAACCCUUAAAAUUUUGAUGGGUAUCUUGGAGGGGAAGUGGAUUCUGAGUGUGGAGUGAGUUUUACUGUUUUCGUUUUAAUUGUUCUUCCUCAAGUGCUUGGACUUUACAAUUGUAAUGAGUACAGAAGCCGAAAUGAGAUAUUGAUAUACAUGUUCACAUUGCUGAUAAUUCGUUAUCCGUCUGUUUGUGUAGGAAUUAAUGCUUGCACAUAAGUAAUGAAACUAGUUAAUGAGGAGCCUUAUGAAAUCAACGUUGACAUUUAUGGAAUCAGGGAUGGUCCUCGACUUGGUAGACUAAGGCUGCAGAACAAGGUUAGCUUUUCCUCGAGUUUAACUAUCAUCACGAAAACUUUAGAUUUUCAUGGAUUCACCAUAGGCAUUGUUAAUCUUGUUCAGUCCAUAAAUAGGUUACACACUUAUCUUAACAAAGGUGAGACCUUCUCAAUUCCUCAUCGAGAUGAAUCAAGAGCAUAAUUGUAGCAGUGAUCAAGAGCAAUUUUUUUAUGUUUCUUCCAAAUUGUUGAGAUGAAUCAUCUGUGUUUUGUUCUAAUAAUCUUACAAAUUUGUUGAGCAAUUUUUGUAAAGUCAGAAUCUUUGGUUUCGGUUGUGAGGUAUCUGAUUUGGGUAUAUGUGUUUUGCAGGGCACGGUGGUUGUGGCGGAGGAAGAUUAGGAUUGACGACAGAGCUCUGGCCAUGAACUAUCAGCUCUGUCUUUCUCUCUCUAACUAUGAAUUGAAUACAAAAGUCUGUGUUGAUAUGGAAAAUGUAGCUCAAAAUUAUUACACAAAUGGCAAAAAAAAAAAGUUCGAGUGUGGAGUUUCACUUACUGAUACAGGGCUUUUGAAACAGGGUUGUCUAGACUGUAGAAGAAAUCCAUGGCUUUUGGAAGAGGGGAUGUUCCAAAUCUAUCUUUUCUCCCUCUCUAAUGUUCUUCGAGGGGUUCUUGUGAUGCAAAAAGUGGUUUAUAUAUAUUUUUUAUUAUUAAUAAAUUUUCUGUCGGUUUUAUCAGACAAUAAUUCUUUUAUUUAUUCUUAUUAAUAAUUUCUCUGUCGGUUAUAUCUGACACAAUUUCUGUCGAUUUUAGAGUAUUUUCUAUCGAAAAUUUCAUUUCCUGACGCAUCAAUUAUGUCGCUUAUUAUAUCCGCCACUGCACUCAUUUCAUGUCGGAUUUUGCUUAAUUUCCAACAGUAUUAUACAUUUCUUGUCGGUUUUUAAACCGACACUAAUGGGUACUUUUGUAGUAAUGUUGGGGCGUCGGAGUUCGUUUAAGGUCGAAUUGAGCACACCCAAAUUCAAGGGUUCCGUACGGUUCAUGGUAAUUUGAGGUAUUUCUCAGCCAAAUUGUCCUUAGUCACAGAUAUGAAAGUUGCUCCACUCGUUGAGAUCUUCAUUUAUGUCAAAUUUGAGAAUUUUUAGAAAUAAUUGGAUUUUCCAGCGAAUCGGGGCGGCGGACCACCACCGGACAGCGCAUGGCUAGUGGGCCCCCAAUGUCAUUUUACGUUAAAUUGGUAUCUUGAUUUUAGGUUUGAUGUCUAUAUGUUAUGACUUGAUAUGUGAACCUAGUUUAAUUAAGGUGCGUUAAUUGGUAAAAAUAUGAAACGACGAUCCGACCGUGGGAUCGUCACCAAUCUUUAUUAUGUUAUAGUACAUUAUAUUUGAGAAUCAUAGGGACUGACGGAUAGGAAAUCCGAUAUACGGAUCUUCCUGAAAUGGAAUUGUAAGUUCGAAGAAUAAACGUUAACCGCCACUUUGUUUUGACUAUUGGUGAAGAUCCAACCGUUGGAUCAUAAUGAAAUUUUAGGAUGAUGUUUUAGAAGCAUAAUGUGGAUCUUUGGAAGUUAUUGAUUGGAAAUCCGAGGAGCGAAUCUUCCGGAUUGAAUUACGUAAGGUUGUGGACCCUACCGUCGAUCGUUGACUGACGAUCGACUUUUGGUCAAUGGGGCUUAAAUCACUCUAAAAUGUUUUUAGGGAUGUGUUUUACGUAAAUUACAUUAUCUAUGGAUAAGAAUUCUGAGAUGUGGUUUGAUAAUUGUCCUGGGCGCCGAUCGUUAGGAACGCUUCGAUGGUUGUGCUAGGAAAUUGUAGCAUAGACUCCAGGUGAGUGAAUCUUUUCCUUCUUAUAUAUAUAUAUAUAUAUAUAUGAUUGACAAUUCCACAAACGUUUAUAAAUUGAUUAUUGCAUAUAACUACUGUAAAUACUUUGAAGUACUUAUGCGAACUACGAAUGGCUUGAUCCCUAUUUAGGGUACGUAUGCAGUCUAACAAGACAUUAAAUGCAGUCAUACAAUAAUUGAGAUUAAACAAUUGAGACAAAGCCUUGUAUGGGGAACUGGGCAAGGUGAACGAAUUUGGUAAAAAUGUGAGAUUUAACCUUCUGAAUUGGUGAUUAAAUGUUGGUCAUAAAUCAAUGUGUAAAGAAUCAAGAAUUUGAAGUAAGGAAACGUAAGUAAUGAUAAUUAAUUAAACUAGUGUCUAGUUGGGCUUGUCACCUAUAAUUAUCCCCAAAAAUGAAUAAUUCGGGAGUAGGGCGUUAUAGCUUCUGCAUUUUUAUGCCACAUUAUAUAUAUAUAUAUAUGUGUGUGUGUGUGUGUGUGUGUGUGUGUGUGUAUAAUUGGAAAUGCUAUAACGUGGUUGAGUAUCAGAUUUCAUCAUGGUUUAUCUAUAUGUAUAUUACCUGCACACAAUUAUUAUGAACACUUUGAAGUGCAAAGGUGAACGCAAGACACCCAGGAAAGUUCAGGUGAGUUUAUGGUAUUAGUUGAAAUGAUGGGGUUAUGGUAACUACAUGUAUGUUUAGGUUGCAAUGAUAGGCAACUCCGACACUGUCGUACAAGUUGCCCAUGAAUUGUAUAUGUUACAAUAGAUAGAGUUAGAGGUCAUAAACCUGCACCCCGGUGUUAGUGCUCCCACCCGUGGCUAGGGCACAGUCUUUCACGAGAUGUUCACCUCUCGCAUCUUACGCUCACCUUGGAUCCAAGGUAGGUGCACAGUCAUGUCAUAAAGACCACUAUAGGUGGUUCCGACUAGUAGAUGACCCGUGAUUAUUCGCACAGUCUUCACGUGAUUGUAGCACUUGAGCGUAUUUAUUUACACCCAGUCCUGUCGUACAGACCACUUUAGGUGGUUCCGACUCGUAUGCAGGUAUACUUAUUGAGCUAUGGAUAAGUCGUACAGGUCACUAAAGGUGACUCCAACUUAUGAGCUAGCAUAUGUGAUGAAAUAUGUGAUGAGCUAGCAUAUGUAAUGAGAUAAGUGAUGAGCUAGCAUAUGUGAUGAGAUAUGUGAUGAGUUAGCAUACGUUAUGAGAUAUGUGAUGAGUGAUAUAAUCAUAAUUGCAUACAUUUUCAUGCCCUUUUAGUUUAGAUUUUUGUUAUCCUUUUGAGUGAAUUUAGUUUGUUUCACUUAGUUUUAUGUUUUUCUUAGAUUUGAAGUGUGAAGAUGAAGAAAGAAGAAAAAAGAGCAUUUUUAGCGAUUGAAAUGAGUUUGGCAUGCUGGAAGCAGAGGCUAUUUGUGCGGAUCAGCCAACUUUACGGAUUAAACUGUACUUCCUUAGAAUGCCAGCUGUUGAGUCUUAUACCAUUGGAAAGAUAUGAAAGUUAGCUUUCAGAGGAAUUUUACGAUUCGUGAUUCCGAGUUUCCUAGAAGACGUUAUAGUGGUUUUUCUACCAGAUGUCUGCCAGCAAGGUUUUACGCGGGAUUUGCAAAGAGAUUCCAGAUUUACAAAGUUUAAUUAAAGGAAACAAGCAGAGAAAAAAGAAGAGGAAGCUUUUAGAAAAGUUCAGGACUAUUCUAAACGGUGCAUAGUUAAUAUAUUUAAUAGUUUAGUGUGCCACAUCAUCAAUAAACUAAUCUAAGUCAGAAGAGAAAUUCAAGAGUCCCAUUCAAGUAAGUAUUCCAGCAGUUUUAUUCAGGAAUAAAGGAGGGCAGACCGUCGGACUUUAGGAGCGGACAGAGAGAGUUUUUGGGUUUUCGAAGGUGCAGAGAAGAGGUCGCAGCAAGGAGUGAAACAGAGUCGCCGAUCAUCUGGGCAAUCCAUCACCAUCGUGUGGAAGUAUUUUAUGUUUUUCAGAUUUUUAAUUAUGUUUUCAGAUUUUAUGAGUAACUAAACUCUUUUUCUAAGGUUAGGAUGAUGCCCUAGCAUGGAUGUUUAUGGUUUGUAAUGUUAUUCAUUGGAUUUCCAGUUUCUUUUAGAUGAAUGCUUAAUCACUGUUUGAAUUGUUACUGUUUGUUUGAGUUCUUUGAUUGAUCACCUUAGGACUUUGCAUCUAGUAAGAUUGGAAGAUGAAUUUGAGACUGAACUAACAAUAUAAUUCAAUUAGCUUCUUGUGGUUAAGUGUGGUAAAUUACAUUAUUGCUUGAAAAAGAAUAAUGGUUUGUUUGGGUCCCUUGUUUUCUAGAGGGUAAAGAGUCCUACUUGUUAAAUUUAUGCCUUAACUAGGAUAGACUGCUUGUUAGGAUAUACGACCUCUGCCUAAACUAGGAGAGAAUCAUUCACAUAAGGAAAACUAUGGUCUAAUAUGCCUGACAAGGACUUAGAUACGGGAAUUAUCAUCUAAAGAAUUGAAAGAUCCAUUGAAUGCAUUGAAACCUAAACUAGAUUGCUUGUGGUUGAUUCCGAAUCCCUAGAUUUUCAUCACUUGCCUUAAAACACAACCGUUUCUUUUCUUUAAUUUCAGUUUUUACUUAAGGUUCUGUUUUUGUUCAUUUAUAAAAUCAUCACAACAAAUUUUUUACAUCUUUGAUUGACUUAUUAAUUAAGAUCGAGUCUAGUUCGUUGUUUGGGUUUGUGUGUCUUUAAUAUAAUUAGAUUUGGUUUAGUUUAUCAAAUUGGAGAUUGAAUUAGAAUCCUCGUGGGAACGAUACUUGGACUUGCAAAACGUUAUAUUACGACUAUCUUGUGCACUUGUAAGUUUACACCAAGUUUUUGGCGCCGUUGCCGGGGACUCUAAUUGAGUCCCCCAAUUUGAUAUCAUAUUCCAUAUCUAAUAAGUAGUUUAUUGUAGAUUAUUCAAUUUGAUUUUGUUUUGUUCUCUAGUUUCGAGUAAGAGUCAUAACUAUUAAGAUAAGUAAAAGUAAUUUUCGUCACUGUUUUAUUUCAGUUUUGUAUCACUGUUUCGACACAGUUUUGGACUAAACUAUUCGAUUUUUUACCAGGAAUAUUGUGUAUCGUUGGAAAGCCCCAGAAGUCUAGUUUUCAACCCAAAAAACAGAUCAAUGAUUGGAUUUUUGAGCUGCAAGAAAUGUACAAAAUACUGAGCAGUGGUCAAACAAGGAGCACAGUCUGGUCGUAUAUGCAAGGUAGACGUUCGUUGCAAUUUGAGUUGAUUCAUAUAGACCAAGAACUUGUGCGUACUUUAAGAGAACAGUGGAGGCAGCGAGUGUGUCAAGAACCAGCCAUGGAGGAAGUAGUUAAUAAUGGUGGAAAUAAUCCUCCACCAUUGCUACCACCACAACCAAGGCUCAUGCGUGAUUAUACAAAGCCAACGGAGUACAACGCACCGUCAUGCAUUGUUUUGGCUCCAAUUGCGCAGCGAUUUGAGAUUCGUCCACAAAUCUUUCAGUUGCUGCCUAUAUUUCUUGGGAAGGAGGAAGAAAAUCCAUACCAUCAUAUCAAGGCGUUUUUCAAGCUAUGUUCCACAUUCACAUUCACCAAUGUUACUGAAGAGCAAAUUCGACUUCGGUUAUUCCCAUUCUCUUUGAGGGAUAAAGCAAGCAGUUGGUUGGAUUCUCUUCCCGAAGCAUCUAUCGACACAUGGACAAAAUUAUCGAAGAAGUUUUUGUCCAAGUUCUUCCCCGCUCGAAGAACCAAUGCUCUGAUCAAUGAAAUCAUGAGCUUUCGACAACAAGAAGGUGAACAGUUUCAUGAAAGUUGGGAGCGCUAUAAGGACUUGUUUCUUCAAUGUCCUCAUCAUGGUUUCAACACUUGGCAAAAGGUUCAUUAUUUUUACAAAGGUUUGAACUCUCAAUGUAGGAGUUUGGUUGAUUCAACGGUUGGUGGAACCUUGAUAGACAAAACUCCAGAAGAUGCCAUACAUGCCUUUGAAACUAUAUGUGAAAAUUCUGAGCAUUGGGAUUUUCCUACAAAAGAUUUGAGAGUUCCAACUGCAUCGUCAACAAAAAAAGGAGGCAUUUAUGAAGUUAAUACAAGGACGGGCUUAGAGGCACAAGUGGCAGCCCUCACCAAGCUUCUCACACCACUUGUAAGCAAGAUAGCCACGCAGCCAUGUACUUUAUGUGCGAGCAUCGCCCAUGACAUGGAAAAUUGUCCAACAAAUGCUAAUCUAGAAGGCAUCCAAGAGGUCAAUGCAUUUAGUGGGAGGCCCCGGAAUGAUCCAUAUUCUAAUAAUUAUAACCCGGGAUGGAGAGAACAUCCAAAUUUUUCUUAGAGAGAUUCACAAAAUAGCAUGGGAUCAUUCACUUCAACAAAGCAAUAUCAGCAACCUUAUCAAGCUCCUCCAAUUCAACAAAAAGACUCGUCUAUCAAGGAUAUGUUAUCUCAACUCUUAAAGAAAACUGAUCGGUAUGAACAUGAAGUUGUGUCGCUUAGACAAAGUCAGACGGUGUUGGAAAAGGCUCGAUCUAAUUUUGAGACUCAGUUGGGACAGAUAGCUACUACUUUGAACAAGCUGGAGUGAGCACAAGGGCAAUUUCCAAGCCAAACUGAAACAAAUCCUAGGAAUCAAAAGCAUGUUCAAGCUGUCACCACUUUGAGGAGUGGAAAGACGAUUGGUAAUAAUGUGGAAAGUUCAAAAAUUAAUAAGGAAGAAGAUGAAGGGGUCAGCACAUAUCGGGCAGCAGCUUGACAAGACAAGCUAAAAAAGAGAAGUAUAUGGGAGAUAUUUUAGAGCAAUUUAGAAAGGUGCAGAUUAAUAUUCCUUUUCUCGAUGCCAUCAAACAAAUUCAAUCAUAUGCGAAGUUUUUGAAGGAACUUUGUACUAACAAGAGACGGUAUGAAGAACAUGAGGAGGUGAAGUUAUCAGACACGGUUAGUGCGGUUCUUCAAAGAAAAUUGCCACCAAAACUUCAAGAUCCUGGUAGCUUUACAGUCCCAUGUGUCAUUGGAGAAAGAAAAUUCGAAAAAGCUUUGCUUGACUUGGGAGCCAGUGUGAAUUUGAUGCCCUAUUCUGCUUAUAAACACCUCAAAUUAGGCGAACUAAAGCACAUAUCCAUUUCUCUACAAUGCACUGAUCGUUCUGUGAAAUAUCCAAGAGGGAUUGUUGAAAAUGUACUUGUGUGUGUUGAUCAAUUUAUUCUUCCUGCUGACUUCAUCAUUUUGGACAUGGAAGAAGCCGAAAUUCCUGGUCGUGACUUGCCUCUCAUUCUUGGCAGACCUUUCAUGGCUACUGCAGGUACGAAGAUUGAUGUUAAAUCGGGAUUAUUAACUAUGACUGUGCAAGGUAUUACUGUAGAAUUUCAGGUCUUCGAAGCAUUGAAGAAGCCCAUGGAUCUUUAUGACUGCUUUCGUGUUGAGGUAGUGGAUCCAAUUAUAAAAAAAAACAUUCAUUGAAUCAAGCAUCUCAGAUCCUCUGGAAGUUUGUAUCUCUCAACAUGGGAUGAGUUUUGAAAAGGCUACCAUCAUUGAAGCAGAACGAGAUCUCAAUGCCGUAACGUCCUACUCUCUUAGAUGCCAGCCCAAAUUUGAAGCGUUGCCACUCACAAGCCAAAAUUGUACCAUCCAUUAUACAACCUCCAAAGCUUGAAUUGAAGCCUCUUCCAGAGACUUUAAAGUAUGCAUAUUUGGUGAUUCAGAGACUCUUCCUGUGAUUAUAGCUGCUGAUCUUAACCAAACAGAAGAGGAAAAGUUGAUGCAAAUGUUGAGGGAGCAUAAAACAGCAUUGGGAUGGAGUAUUGCAGACAUAAAAGGAAUUAGUCCUCAAUUUGCAUGCAUCGGAUAUAUCUUGAGGACAAGUCAAAGCCUUCUAGAGAGGCACAGCGACGUCUAAAUCCACAUAUGCAAGAAGUGGUUCGGGCAGAAGUUCUUAAAUUACUGAAUGUCGGCAUUAUUUAUCCUAUAUCUAACAGCAAAUGGGUAAGUCCACUGCAGGUUGUACCACAGAGAUCUGGAAUUACAGUUGUCAAGAAUGAAAAUAAUGAGCUUAUACCCCAGAGGACUGUCACGGGUUGGAGAAUGUGUACAGAUUACAGAAAGAUCAAUAAUUCAACUCGAAAAUAUCAUUUUCCACUCCCUUUCCUUGAUCUCAUGCUUGAGAGACUUGCAGGCCAUAGUUAUUAUUGUUUUCUUGAUGGCUAUUCCAGAUAUAAUCAAAUUCCCAUAGCUCCGGAAGAUCAAGAAAAGACUACUUUCACAUGUCCAUUUGGAACUUUUGCCUAUCGACGAAUGCCUUUUGGGUUAUGUAAUGCUCCCGCAACAUUCCAAAGAUGCAUGAUGAGCAUUUUCUCAAACUUGGUGGAAAGGUGUAUCGAAGUGUUCGUGGAUGAUUUUUCCGUGUUUGGGUCAUCGUUUGAUCAAUGUCUUCAUCAUCUUUCAUUGGUGCUCUAACGGUGUCAAGAAACCAACUUGAUUUUAAAUUGGGAAAAAUGUCAGUUUAUGGUGAAAAGUGGUAUUGUUCUUGGUCAUGUAAUUUUAGCUGACGGAAUUGAAGUUGAUAAAGCUAAGGUGGAGCUGAUUUCGAAGCUUCCUCCUCCCACUUCUGUAAAAGAAGUUCGAUCCUUUCUCGAGCAUCCAAGUUUUUAUCGCCGAUUUAUUAAAGAUUUCUCGAAAAUCACCAAGCCACUUUGUGAUCUGCUUGCUAAAGAUUCUGUGUUUAAUUUAAAUGGUGAGUGCUUACAAGCUUUUGAGACCCUCAAGAAAGAAUUAACACAAGCCCCAAUCAUAAAAGCUCCAGAGUGGUCUCUUCCUUUUGAAAUCAUGUGUGACGCCUCUGAGUAUGCAAUAGGUGUUGUGUUAGGGCAGCGAGUUAACAAACUUCCUCAUGUUAUAUUUUAUGCUAGCCGAAUUCUCACUUAACAACUUUCAUAUCCCUUAGUUUCCAAAAUUUAAUAUACAAAUUUAGUCUCCCAAGCAUUGCUAUAUUACUUAAGUAUUGAUUAAUAGACUUAUUUCUUAUGGUGACACAUUAUUUAGUUUACAAAUUUAGUCUAUCUAACAUUACUCUUUUGACAUUGUCUUGUCCACUGAUAUAAUUCUAUUUUUCUUGUGAUCAAAACUUCAAAUGUUAGCAAGUCGCACGUAAAGUCGCUUCUGAGAGAAUGUGCUCACAUUGUAGUUGAAAGAUUAUGUGGCUAGCAACAUUACAAAUUUAAUUUGGUAUAAUUUUAAAAUAUAGAUUGAGGAAAAAAAGGAUCACAUUAACUAGAAACUGAAAAGGUUUCGGCGCAAUAUGUUCAAGCAAGAAACUCAAUUUUGAUGCUACCGAUCUUAACAGCCUGAGCGCCGUACCUGGGCACUAAAGUCACCACCACACUCUCAUCAUCUUCAGCACCCAAAUCCUCCAACAGGUCCGUUAACCCCAACCUUAAACAACUCUUGCUCUUUUCCUUCUGCUUAUGUGGCACACUCACAAAACUCCCAGCAAACUCGCUCUUGUCGGGUCCACUCGGUGCCGCAUCCUCAUCAUCCACGUCAUUCACAUACACAUCAAACUUCACAGCCACAUCUUUGUCAAGCUCAAUCCCCCGAAUCACCAAUAUCUCCUCCUCAUCCUCUUUCUCCUUCUUGCUCCUCUUCUUCGGCUUCGGCCUUGACACCACCGUAGUUAUCUUCGUCUCCAAAUUUAUUGGAAAAUCUUUACCCGCCACCACCUUCCCCGAUGACGUCGUCUCAGCGGCCUUCGCCACUCCAGCCGCCUUUGCCUUUCUCGCAAGCUUUGUCCGACGUGGCGUCGGUCUAGAGUUGAGCCAUGGAAUCUCAACAUCUUCAUACGUAUACCCUAGCUUUUUAUUAUCAAGAGUGUCCCUCACCGUGACCCUAACAAGCUCAGCAUUCUCGUCAUAAAACAAAAACCCCGUAUCCAACCAAUCCUUAUCGUUAAUAUCUUUAUUUUUAGUCCCUAUACUUUUCCAAAUAUUCCACAUUCGAUCCAGAUUCAAAUGGUGCGCAAAAAAUAUCGGAUCCCUUGCAGUGGAGUAAAAAUUCCCCAUGUCUUCAUAAUUAGGUUGCGUGUUAUCUCCGGUCCAUGUAUGAACCGGACCAUGUGGGGUCUGUUCGAUUGCACCGGCCCCUGGAUCUGGUUCAGUGCCAGCCCUGUAGGGCGAACCAAAGAACAACAGCGGUUUCUUGGAGUUGGAAACCAUCUGCCUAUACAUGAUUUUGAGGUUGGCUUCGAUUUGAGCAUCCUUGGACAUUGUUUCAUCCGUGCCGUUGAAGUCAAGAUCGAUGAGAGUUGGCGGCUGAUGGCUGGCAGCGCGGAGCUCGUCGUAAAGCGGAGAGUCAGGGUUAGCGUACAAGGCAGGGAGUUGCAUGCCAGCUGGCGCGUCCCAGUUCCAAAACGGCAACGCGAAGGUCGGAUCGUCUAUGAGUUUGGCCAAGAUUCUUUCGUGGAAAUAUAGGUAGUAACGAUGGAAGGGGAAGAAAAGCCAGGAUUGAUGGAUUUGGAGCUCGAGGUUGGGGAAGCCGACUUGGUCGUACGCACCGUUACAAUAGGCACAGUGGACAUCGGCUUGCUGGGUGAAGCUACGCGGAUCGUCGUCCGGGAGGGCUUUCAUGAGCUCGAUGGCUUUUGAGUAUUUUUCGAUGUAGGCUUUAUCCACGGCGUGAGCUGCCGGCCUGACGCGGAGUUUGGUAGGGGAGGGGAAUUUGAAGUCUACGAUUUUUUGGGACGUUGGCGGGCAACAGUUGGUCGGGACUGCUCCACUUGGAAAGUCCGCAGCUCCGCAUUUGGCUAGGUCAGGCGGCGACACUGGCUUUGCAACAGCGAAGGGGUCGCUGCCAAGACCAGCCACUCCACCGUACAGGCUUCCGAGACCUAUAAGUACAUGUCUUCUGUCUAGGUUUACUGGAGAAGGGUUUUCAUGGUCGUGAUCGUUGGAGCUAGUGGAAGGGUUUUUGUUUUGGUCACUACUAUUAUUUGUGGCUUUGCAUGAGACAGCUUGUAAAUUGGAAUGCCUAGGGUUUCCAAAUGAGGAUAUUCGGUGAUACUUUUGGGAGAAAGGAGAGAGAGAAGUUGUGGGGAUGAUACUUGUGGUGGGGGUGACGAGUGGAGCUGACAUAGAAGCCAUGGUUACUUGACUCUGAAUAAUACGUUGUAUGGGCUUUUGCUUUUAUAAUAUGUUCUAGGUUUACUUUUCUUUGCACAGGUGGCAGGCCGUGCACACGUUGUCGAGGAAUAGUACGUAGUCAUUUAGGAGAAAAAUCUAAUUGUGACGGAGGUGACGAGUGGAGCUGACAUAGAAGCCAUGGUUACUUGACUCUGAAUAAUACGUUGUAUUGGCCUUGCUUUUAUAAUAUGUUCUAGGUUUUACUUUGAGGAAUAGUACGUAGUUAUUUAAGAGAAAAUUCUAAUUGUGAUUGGAAAUACAAGUGGUAUACCACGUGUUUUAAUAGAUGUAGUAAGAAAUUUUAUGUUUUAAGUUAUUAAUUUUUUAGUAUACAUAUCACAUCAUUUGUACAGUAACACAUGAUAUACUACUCCGUGUAUCGGUCACAUUGAAAAAUCUCUCGUCAUUUAGUACAGAACAACCGUGCACUAUAGCACGUGGCAUGUAUUUAGAGAUCGACAGAGAAUUGGGUAAGGUUGGCGGCCCUUAAGGGUUUGACGAGGAAUAGUACAUAGUCAUUUAGUACAGGACGACCAUGCACUAUAGCACGUGGCAUGUAUUUAGAGAUCGAGAAAGCAUUGGG